GGGGAAUGAAUGGAUCAAGGAAGGGAUGGACGGAGGAGACGAUGUGGAUAGUGGUGGUGGGUUAGGCGAUACGUACGGCAGUCGGAGGAGAAGGAAGGCCCUGGAGAUCGAGGGAUCCAAAGCCUUCCCACAGAGGAGAGAUGGAGGAAGGAGAGGGUAGGAGAGGGAGAGGGGGAGGCUAAGUUUGGCGCGCGGGAAACCAGGAGGCCUGGGUUGGACGUGCGGAGCACCACGUACUUUUUAAGCCCGGAGCGAGAGGGAGGGGAGGGGAGGGGAGGGGAGGGGAAGGGAGGNNNNNNNNNNNNNNNNNNNNNNNNNNNNNNNNNNNNNNNNNNNNNNNNNNNNNNNNNNNNNNNNNNNNNNNNNNNNNNNNNNNNNNNNNNNNNNNNNNNNAAAAAAAGAGGAGGUGGGAAGGGAAGGAAGGACUCCCACCCACCAAACCAAGUCCAACUAGGUUUGGGGGGGAGCCUUCCCCCUUGGACUCGGCCGACCCUCUUGGGGCUCCUUGAGCCCCAAGGCAAGGUCCCCUCCCUCCCACCUAUAUAUACGGAGGUUUUAGGGCUGAUUUGAGACGACUUUUCCACGGUAGCCCGACCACAUACCUCCACGGUUUUUCCUCUAGAUCGCGUUUCUNNNNNNNNNNNNNNNNNNNNNNNNNNNNNNNNNNNNNNNNNNNNNNNNNNNNNNNNNNNNNNNNNNNNNNNNNNNNNNNNNNNNNNNNNNNNNNNNNNNNNNNNNNNNNNNNNNNNNNNNNNNNNNNNNNNNNNNNNNNNNNNNNNNNNNNNNNNNNNNNNNAGAGUGCCGUCACGCUGUCGGAGAACUCUUCUACCUCUCUGUCUCUCUUGCUGGAUCAAGAAGGCCGAGAUCAUCGUCGAGGUGUACGUGUGCUGAACGCGGAGGUGCCGUCCGUUCGGUACUAGAUCGUGGGACUGAUCGCGGGAUUGUUCGCGGGGCGGAUCGAGGGACGUGAGGACGUUCCACUACAUCAACCGCGUUCACUAACGCUUCUGCUGUACGGUCUACAAGGGUACGUAGAUCACUCAUCCCCUCUCGUAGAUGGACAUCACCAUGAUAGGUCUUCGUGCGCGUAGGAAAUUUUUUGUUUCCCAUGCGACGUUCCCCAACAAAUAUCACCUAGCUUGAUAUGUUCACGAAUGAAGUGAUGGCGAAUAUCAAUGUGCCUAGUCUUGCUGUGUUGAACCGGAUUGAGAGAAAUCUUGAUAGCACUUUGAUUGUCGCAUAGGAGAGGCCCUUUGUCACAAGUGACACCGUAGUCCUUUAAAGUUUGCCUCAUCCAUAGCAACUGGGCACAACAACUUGCAACUGCUACAUACUCAGCUUCGGUGGAGGAUAGUGAGACACAAUUCUGCUUCUUUGAAGACCAACUUACCAGUGAACGACCAAGGAAUUGGCAUCCUCCAGAGGUUGACUUCCUCUCCACACAGUCUCCUGCCCAAUCUGAGUGAGAAUAGCCCACUAGGUUAAAGCUUGCUCCUUUGGGAUACCAUAGACCAAAGUUUGGGGUAUGAGACAAAUAUCUAAAGAUUCGUUUGACAGCCAUGUAAUGGCUUUCCUUUGGUGUGGAUUGAAACCGUGGACAAAUCCCUACACUCAAAAUGAUAUCUGGUCUAGAUGCACAAAGGUAAAGGAGGGAUCCAAUCAUGGAGCGAUAUACCUUUUGAUCCACUGCUUUACCAUUGGGAUCACUGUCAAGCCUGCAUCGUGUUGGCAUGGGAAACUUGACCGGCUUGACAUCCUCUAGCUCAAACCUCUUGAGCAUGUCUUGAGUGUACUUGGCUUGUUUGAUGAAAGUCCCUUCUAAGCCUUGUUUGAUCUCGAACCCGAGGAAGAACUUCAACUCACCCAUCAUAGACAUCUCAAAUUUCUCGGUCAUCAAUGCAGCAAAUUCUUCAUUCAAAGAUUCGUUAGGAGAACCAAAAAAUGAUGUCAUCAACAUAUAGUUGGCAUAUGAACAAAUCCCCUUUGACCCUCUUAGUAAAAAGAGUGGGAUCAAUCUUCCCAAUUUCAAACCCACGAUCUUGUAACAACUCAGUAAGAUACUCAUACUACACACGUGGGGCUUGUUUAAGGCUAUAGAGUGCCUUAUUAAGUUUGUACACAUGAUUGGGGAUCUUGGGAUGUUCGAACCCUGGGGGUUGUUUGACAUAGACCAACUCAUUUAAAGGGCCAUUAAGAAAGGCACUUUUCACAUCCAUUUGUUGUAAUUUGAAAUUAUGAUGAGAAGCAAAUGCAAGCAGCAUGCGAAUAGAUUCUAGACGAGCAGCACGGGCAAAGAUUUCACCGUAGUCGAUACCCUCGACUUGGGAGUAGCCUUGAGCCACUAAUCUUGCCUUGUUUCGAAUCACAAUCCCAUUGGCAUCUUGCUUGUUUUUGAAGAUCCAUUUGGUCCCGAUGACAUUAUGUUCCUCCUUUGGCCUUGGCACUAAAUCCCAGACUUGAUUGCGCUCAAAGUUGUUGAGUUCUUCAUGCAUGGCCAUAAGCCAAUCCUCAUCAUCUAGCGCUUCCUGUACCUGUUGAGGUUCACAAUACGAAACAAACGCAUGAUGCUCACAAUAAUUCCAAAUUUGUUGACAAGUGGAUACUCCCCUUUUCAAACUACCAAUUACAUUCUUCAUAAGACGUGACUUGACUCUCAGCUUGUUCGCAAUCUUGGCUGCGCGACGCUCCAAGAGUUCUUCAUUGGAUAACUGGGGAACAUCGACUUGAUUGCUUUGCUUGCCCUUGCGUUUUGAUCCUCCCUUGGCGCCAGUACCCUUUUUAGGCGCUGCAGAAGGGAAUUGAGAGACAACAUCCUGGUCAACUUGAUCUUCGACUUGAGCAGGUUCACUAGUUUGUCCUUGUUCUUGUGGUUGCUCUUGAUCUUGAUCUUGUGCUUCUAUUUGGUCUGGAUCAUGUGGUUGCACUUGAUCUUGAUCUUGAGCAGGUUCGGAACCUUGGGUGAGUGCUUGUACCUCAUGGGACAUGUCACCAUCUUUAGGCAAUUGGUCUUGUUCUUGAUUUUUUCAACUUGUUGAGGGUCUUCUCUUUGUUCAUCGGAAGCGUGUGGGACUUGUGAGGAUGAUGGCUCCACUUGAGUAGAGCAUCGUCCUCCUUCGGCCACAAGGGGUUCCUAAAUGGGGAGUAUUUGACCAAUCCCCAUUCUUCGUAUGGCUUGGGGAGGAAUUUCAUCACCUACAUUACAAAGACCACUUUGCUUCACUUGGGAGCCAUUAUUUUCGUCAAACUCCACGUUAGACGUCUCCUCAAUGAGUCCGAUGGACUUGUUGAGGACACGGUAAGCAUGAGAGUUUGUUGCAUAAUCAACAAAGAUGCCCUCAUGUGCUCUAGAAUCAAAUUUAGCUAAACGAGCACCUUUCUUGAGAAUGAAACACUUACACCCGAAUACCCGGAAGUACUUGAGAUUGGGUUUGUUUCCGGUGAGAAUCUCAUAUGGGGUCUUGUUCAAGCCUUUGCGGAUAUAGAGCCGAUAGGAUGCAUGACAUGCUGUGUUGAUGGCUUCGGCCCAAAAGUUAUAUGGAGAUUUGAAUUCCGCCAUCAUUGUUCUUGCAGCGUCCAUCAGUGUCCGGUUCUUCCUUUUUGCCACACCAUUUUGUUGAGGGUAUAUGGUGCCGAAUAUUGAUGUUUUAUUCCCUCAUCACCUAGAAACUCAUCCAAGGUGUAGUUCUUGAACUCGGUGCCGUUGUCACUUCUGAUCAUCAAAAUCUUUGCUUCAUGUUGACGUUGAGCUUCAUUAGCAAAGUUGAUAACAGUUUGUUGAGUCUCACUCUUCCUCUUGAAGAAAUAUACCCAGGUGUAUCUUGAGUAAUCAUCAACAAUCACCAAGCAGUACUUUCUGCCCCCAAGACUAUCAAAUGAUGGGGGACCGAAGAGAUCCAUAUGAAGGAGCUCCAACAGUCUCUUAGUGUAAAUGAGAGUCGUUGGACGAUGAGCAGUUUCAUGGAUUUUUCCUUCAAUGCAGGCACUGCAAGCACGAUCUCUGGCAAAACUCACAUUUGUUAGUCCACGAAUAUGGUCCCCUUGAAGGAGACUUUGCAAAGAUCUCAUAUUGACAUGAGCUAGUCGGCGAUGCCAAAGCCAGCCCACGUCAACUUUAGCCAUUAGACACGUCGCAGUCUUAGUGGGUCGCUUUGAAAAUGUCACCACAUAGAGACCAUUUUCGACAUGUCCAACAUAGGAUACUUUAAGAGUCUUGCUCCACAAAAGGACCACAAUAUCAAGAUUAAAGAAUGUGGAAAAGCCCAUAAUUGCAAGUUGACAAACCGAAAGUAAAUUAUAAGCCAGGGACUCAACAAGCAUGACCUUCUCAAUAGAUAACUCUUGAGAGAUGACCACCUUACCAAAUCCCAAUACCUUUGACGAUGAUGCAUCGGCGAAUUGGACAUGGGUGGGCAUAGAUGGGGAAGGAUGCACAUCCACCACUAAGUCCUUGCUUCCGGUCAUAUGAUUUGUUGCUCCACUAUCGAGCAACCAUGACACCCCACCGGAAGCAAACUCCUGCAAUAGAUCAAGGCUUGGUUUUAGGUACCCAUUUUUGAAUGGGUCUUUUAAUGUUAGAGACAAGGGUAUUAGGAACCCAAAUAGCACAUUCAAUGCCCUCAUAGUAAGAACCAACAAAUCUGGCAUAAACAUGCCCAUCACCAGCACGAAAACAUAGGAAGGAUUUAGUUUGUCGGCUGUGUUGGUAGGAAUGGUUUUGCCCUUCUUGAUGCUCCCAUUUUCCACCUUGUUCAUGUUCACCUCCUGAGUCCCUUCGCCCUCUUUGACAAAGAUGUCCAUGAGGGUGGGGGAUCUGUUGUUCAUGUUCUUCCUUUUUUCUUUUAGACUUAGAUGUAAGUCCAAGCCCCUCCUUUCCUACCACACCCUUUUGAUUGCUCAAAAGGUCGUUUAGGCUCUUCUUGCCUUGGAUGAAUGACACAAGGCCCUUCUCAAGUUUAUCCUUCAACUUGGCAUUUUCCUCCACAAGAUGUACAUGCUCACAACUAGGGUUAGUUGUACUAGCAUUAUCAAUUAAAACAAAAGGAGGACAAGUAGAGAUUUCCUUGGUAAGCUUUGCUUGAAGUUGAUCAUGAGACUCUUUCAGGGAGAAAUGACUACCUUUCAAGACCUUGCGAGCCUUGUCAAGUGUGUCAAACUCCAUUUUGAGUCUAUCAUGGUCAACCCCAAGAGCAUCCUUUUCAGACUUAAGCAUACGAGUAAGAACAGUACCAUGACAUACUUUCUUUUGCAAUUUAGCGCAGUCAUCGUUGUAUGACUCCUCAGGAGCCAAACGAAGAGUGCGCUCCGUUUCUAGUGCAAUAGAAAGUUCAGCAAUCUCAUCGGCAUAGUCACGACUAUGACCUUGCAUCUCGGAGAUGGUCUCCUCAUGAGACUCGAUGAGGUCAUUAGCCUCACCCAAUUGUUCCAAAAGGGCAACAAAGUGCCUCUUGGUUUCUCCUUUGAUAGUACACAGAAAUUUGUCAAGAUCAUGCUCAUUAAGUUCCACAACAUCACUAUCAUCAACACAAUUCAACAAUGAGGGAGCACUAGUGAUGUUGGUCUUAAUGCUGGGUGUUACCUGAUUGAUACCUUUGGCCAUGAGGCACUUGGCGAUGUGAUUAUCGUUGGGGGCGUUGAAGAGAGACACAUUCUUGGGAGAAGGAGUGGCGAUAGCGACAGUCACAGUUGCCACCAUAUCAUCAUCAUCAUUGGAGGGGUACUCUUCAAGUGCCACCAUACCCUUUGGAUGGGGUUUCUUGACAAAGUUGUUCUUGCUUGGGAAUGACUUUGUUUUGUCUUUGCGAAUGAGCUUGCCUCCGUUGUCUUCCCUCUUCUCAUAGGGACAUUCCACCAUGAAGUGGCUCACAUUACCGCAGUUAUAGCAUGUCCUCACUCGUUGCUUGGGUUUGAACCCACUUGAGUUGUUCUUGGUGAAGUUGGGUCUUGAGUUCCUCUUGUUGCCCCAAAAUUGCCUUGACGCAAGAGCCAUGUGCUCGUGAUAAGCAUACUUAGUGUCUUCAGGGCAGCUCCCCUCUUCCUCAUCCUCCUCUUCUUCUUCAGAAGCAGCCUUUGCCUUCAAAGCAAGGUUAGGUGAAGCUGUCUUUGACCGAACUCGAGCAAGUGCAUUGUCAGCGGUCUCGUUCAUGAUUUACAUUGCAAUGAAUUCAUCCAACACCUCACUGGAGGACAAGGAGUGGAAAUCUGAACGUUGGCGAAUGACUGAUGACAUGGCUUUGUUGAAAGACAUGAUGGCCUUGAGAAACUUGCGCUUGACCCAUGUGUCAUCCACAUCCUUGCUCCCAUGAUCCUUGAGAGCAACAACAAUAGCAGUCACCCUUCGAUAGAGAUCACGAGGGUCCUCAUCUUCCUUCAUUACAAACUCAUCGGCCUUAUCAAGGACCACUUCAUAGUUUGACCGUUGAAUGCUAGAGCUUCCCUUGUAUAGCACCAUAAUGUGCUCCCAACAGUCCUUGGCCAGAGAGAAGGGGCGCAAGUGAGGCAGAUCUUCAGGCGGUACCGCGGACUGUAGAAUAAACAAUGCGGAGUGAUUAUAUUGAUUUUCCGCUUCUUCUCUUGGAGUGAGGUUGCUUGGGUCAUGAGGAUAGUAGCCUUGAUCGAUGAUUCUCCAUAAAUUUGUUGAGCUGUGAUUCAAAUGAGACUUAAUAGAAAACACCCAGUUAGCAAAAUCACCCUUAACAAGCUUAGGAGGAGGACCAACAGGGUUAAGACGCGGUGUGGGAACAGGUCCUCCAUAGACCAUGGGAGGUGGAACUGAGGCAUAGGUUCCAGUCCCAUCCUUUUCGAGAGAUGAGGAAGGUCGCAUACCUUUAGCGCUUCCUUAGAGGAAUUGGCCUCCGAAUCGGUGAUGGUGGGUUUAACCACUAACGUCGGUUCAGGUGAACUUUUAAUUCCCUCAAUUAACUCUUUAAGCAUGGUCUUGACUUCGUUCGUCAAGGACAUCUUGAGGGCGGCCAUAGCCGUAUUCAAGUCAUCCCUUGUGACCGAGGUCAAGUCCAUGGCCUCGGGUUGCCCAUGGGGAACUCCCUCUUCGCCUUCCAUACUCUUCGGGUGGUGAAACCCUUAACAAAGAGACAUGGCUCUCAUACCAAUUGAAAGGAUCGAUAUGGUUGACUAGAGGGGGGGGGUGAAUAGGCAACUACCAAUUUUUAUCUUUUCUAAAUAAAUAAGGAGUAGCAAUCAUAAAGGUUCACUAACAUGACACUAGGAGGACAACCUAUAUAAUGCUACUUCGCAACGAGUAAAGAAGCACGUAGGAGAUACUCUACAACACAAACAAAUACAAAGUAAAGGUAAGAGAUAACCACAAGUGGAACCGAUGAGGACGAGGGUGUGUUACCAAAGUUCCUUCCCUUUGACAGGAAGUACGUCUCCGUUGGAGCGGUGUGGAGGCACAAUGCUCCCCAAUAAGCCACUAGGACAACCGUAUUCUCCUCACGCCCUCGCACAAUGCAAGGUGUCGUGAUUCCACUAUAGGUGCCCUUGAAGGCGGUGACCGAACCUUUACAAACAAGGUUGGGGAAAUCUCCACACAAAGCUUGGAGGCUCCCAACAAGACCACAAAGCUUCACCACAAUGGAAUGUGGCUCCGAGAUGACCUCAACCAUCUAAGGUGCUGAAACACCCAAGAAUAACAAGAUCCGCAAGGGAUUAAUAGGGGGAAUCAAAUAUCCUUUGGUGGAAGUGUAGAUCAAGGCCUUCUCAAGCAAUCCCUAGAAAAUCAACAAGGUUGAUUGGCUAGGGAGAGAGAUCGGGCUAAAAUGAGCUUGUGGAGCAACAAUGGAGCUUGGAGAGGUUAAAGGUAGGCUCUAGGAAGAAGAAGAUGCCUUUUAUAGUAGGGGGGCAGAUCCAACCGUUACCCACCUAUCACAUAAAUGUACGAGCGGUACUACCGCUCCUGGGAGCGGUAUUACCGCUCAGCUUCUCACCAACCACGGUAGUACCGGGGUACUACCGUGCCACCACCUCCGUGGGAAAGUAUGCGAGAAAAAGCCCGUCGGUGCGGUAGUAAAUUAAUACUACCGCACUGAGGGCGGUAGUACCGCCCUUGGAGUGGUAGUAAAAAACUACUACCGUACUUCGGGCGGUAGUACCGCUCCUGGAGCGGUAGUAAAAGUUUACUACCGCAGCUAGGACGGUAGUACCGCUCCUGGAGCGGUAGUAAGAAUUUACUACCACUCUGAGAGCGGUACUACCGCUAUGCCAGCGGUACUACCGCUUACCCUUUUUCUCAAAGGCAAAGAAAACACAUUGGUGCUCCAUUGAAGCCAAAAUAUGGGUGGNNNNNNNNNNNNNNNNNNNNNNNNNNNNNNNNNNNNNNNNNNNNNNNNNNNNNNNNNNNNNNNNNNNNNNNNNNNNNNNNNNNNNNNNNNNNNNNNNNNNGUCCAUCACAAACGUACACAUGCCGCAAAGGCAUCCUCUAUCACGAACCUCGUGAUCUCGUUGGAUUCCUUAGAGGAAAACCUCAACUCUGGGGGAAACCAAAGCUUCACUGGGAUUCCUAUACGCAAGAUAUAUCGCUAAGGUAAGGCAAGGCUAGCAGGACCUCCCGACAUGUCGACGGCCCCGAUAAGAGCCGCGUAUCUCAGUCUCGGGACACGCCGGAUAAGCGAAGCGUACGGUGGCCAGAGAAAUCUCCCGAGUUGCCCCAGGAUGGCCCCGCACGGUGCUCUAGUUUGGACCAACACUCAUGAGGAGCACUGGCCCGGGUUGUUGAUUAAAAUCCUCGGGGUAGCUAUUCCCUAUGCAGUUUAUUAUCAAGUGAUUAGCAAAUUAACACCAAAGUUGGGUCCUGACGGACAAGCCUUAGCACUACGCGAUUUAUCGAGGGGAUCCCCAUAACAGCCCCGAACAUGUUAGGAGCGAUCAUUAUGGAAUCAAACACCGGUAACCUGUAACUAAGGCGGCAAUAACGGAACAAAGCACCCGGCAAAAGGCUAGGCCUCCCGUCAUCUACCCAGUAUAUAGGUGCAUUAAUUAAAAUAACAGAAUUUAAGAUAAUGAUAUCAAGCUCAUCUUAUCACAUGAGUCAAAGCACCUGCAUCUAGCAAUGCAAACAUUAGUAUCUGAGCUAAGCCUACUUAGCCAUACAAGUUAUGCUGGGAAGGGAUCAGUGUAAUGGGCUCAUGGCAUUUAAAGAGGCAAUUUAAUUCAGUGGUAGGCAGUGAGCAACAUGACAUGGAAACGAAACUAGCAUAACAAGUCUAGAGAUGGAAUCAAGGUCAUAUCAUCUUGCGUGUGAUAUCCUCAGCUUGGACUGGUUCUGGUUCGUCCUGCACGUACUCUCCUGACUCCACGUAUUCGUUCUCCGAUCCCGGUGCUACCCAACAUAAUAAUAACAACCAAUGAACAGCAGCACCACAAGAUGCAACAAACACAUCAUGCAUGAGAUGAAAAAUGAGCAUGCAUCACUAUUUCUAUCACUAGCACAAGCAAAAGAAACUACUAUAAGUUUCUGGACAGAACUGUACACUAGGCUAUUUUGACAUGCAUGAGAAUGGCAUGAACAUAUGCGACUCGUGAAAACGAUGUGAAACCAUAUAAAGAACAUUACAAUCGGAGCUACGGAUCAACGGGAAUCAACGAAACAAGAUAAGAAGCCNNNNNNNNNNUAAUGGCAUGAACAUAUGCGUCUCGUGAAAACGAUGCGAAACCAUAUAAAGAACAUUAUAAUCGGAGCUACGGAUCAACGGGAAUCAACGAAACAAGAUAAGAAGCCCUACGUGUAAGAACCAACACCACACCCACAAUUGGCACAAAUCUGGUAAUCCCAGGUUGCCAAGACAUAUAAAAACCCAACAUGAAUGGAUUGGAUCAAGGAAGAACACCACAACAUCAACUAAUCACCCACAAUCAUCAAAAUGACUAUACUACUCAAUCUGCCAAAAUCUGCAUCUUAGAUCUUUGUGAGCUACAUGCAACAUAGCUACAGCCCUCCAAAUAUGACAAAUAAUAUAUGUGGUUGUAGCCAACCAAGAACACUACAAGCACCAGCAAUAAUCACACCAAAAGGAAUUAAACUCUAGAAGAUACAAGGCCACAAACUUUCCCAAAACCAUGAGAUCUCAGGGACUUAGUGAAAAUUCCUGCACCUGACUUUCUGUCUUAGUUCUGAAGCUUUUGGACAGCAACCAAAACAUAAUCUAGAGGGCUCCAAAUGAGCUGAAAUUUGACAGGGAGCUUCACAAACAUAUCAGGUCCAAAUUCCUAGCACUGAACUAAGGCUGGAUCACAACACAAUGACCAGCACAACCUCAUCUACAGGAGAAGCAAAUGUUUCCAGAUUCUCAGACUUGGUGAAAUUCCAGAUUUCACUAAGCUGGAAUUUUCCAGCGACAUGCCCACUUUGUCUAGGCAUAGCUUGCACACAAAUAACACCAAGUGAUAAAUGACACCACUAUGGUGUAGAGAAAAACCCCUACUAUUACCACACAAAAACUCAUGCCCUUGGGCUCCACUUAUUCCAUGGAAACAAAGAGCAAACUUGCAACAAAUCUGAAUAUGUCAACUCCAUAAAUUAUCCUAAUGGCAAAACUAACUUCACCACUGGAUUCCUUGGGAUAUUCUACCCCAAAAUCAUAUAUAAUAUGUGGGCACUUACUUGGAGCUAGUGACCACAAAUUAAGAAAGAGGAAACUACUUCAAAUCAUGCCUAGUGAAUAGGGCAUCAUUUCAUGUAGUUCCACUAUAUCAACAUCUACAAAGGUUGAGCUCAUGUGCACAAUGACAAAGUGACAUGGGGGUUUGAACCCCNNNNNNNNNNUUUGUGUCAUGCACAUCAACUUCACGACUACUUCUCUCUAAGUCACCCACACACUCACACAUCAUGCCCUCUCUCAUAUGAACAUGAGGAGGUGCACAAGUGUUGCCAAUGGGGCUAUUUCACCACACACACAUAUCAUCACCACAACCUCAUCUAGGUGCACAUGAGGGCUACCCUCUUGCACAAUGAAUGUGCCAACACAUGCACACACCAAGUGCACAUGCACCACAACAUCACUCACUUGUGCAUGCAUAUGCACUAGCACACACACACACACAAGCACUCUAGAGCACACACACUCACAAACAAUAUGCAGGAGGAUAUUACAUAGAGCACCAAAAAAAUAUGCUAAGUUGCUGCCAAGACAAGAGCACAGGAAUUAGACAAGGAAAUACAUAGCAAAAUACAGGGAACAGUAAAAUAAAAGGGGCAGGGUCUGGGAUCAAACCCCAGACCUGCUGGCGUUACUACUGCAGCGCUACCACCCUGCUAAGCUAGCGCACUCGACAAAACAGGGGCUUCACACAAGUCAACAUGCCCUGCUGCGGCAACCACAACACCGAAUACAACCGACAAAACAAAAGGAGGCUUCCCCUGGGAUCGAACCCAGGACCUCUCGAGCACAACCGCAAGACACCAACCACUGCGCUAGUGCAUCGAUGACUUACAAAGAAGGGAACUGAAUCAAGAAAACCCGUGCCUUCAGUCUUCUCUGCACACGCACGCACGUCGGCGACAGGGAGGCCGCCGGGCACGCCUGCUGCUGCUGCUGCGUCACGGCAGGAGAACUACCAGCACAAACAAGAGCUGCGCCUGCUAUGCACCACAUCUACUGCUACUGCACCGCGAUUGCACACUGCAACACUACUAUAACUUCUGCAUCUACUAACAGACAAAGAAGGUACGCGAGCAACUCGCNNNNNNNNNNAUCCGGCGACAGGGAGGCCGCCGGGCACGCCUGUUGUUGCUGCUGCUGCGUGACGGAACGAGAACUACCAUCACAAACAAGAGAUGCGCCUGCUAUGCACCACAUCUACUGCUACUACCACACAAACUACUGCUACUGCACCGCAACACUACUGUAACUUCUGCAUCUACUAACAGACAAAGAAGGUACGCGAGCAACUCGCCCGAUCCAGGCCGGUCUAGGGGAUAGAAGAGAGGGGAGGUGCAACCUCACCUUGGGGAGGAAGUAGGGGCUCGGAUCGGAGGAGGAGUCCGGAUGGAGGAGGAGGAAGAAGCUUGGGGAAGUCCGUGUCUGCAGAACCGAAGAAGAGGAAGUAGACCACCGAGUCCGCGGCGAAGACGUGGUCGGGGCCGUCGGUGCCGUCGUUCCCCAGGGCUCCUAGCGCCGGGAAUUGAGCGCGGGCAACCACCCCGAGCUCCCGGACAUGGCGGACGGCGUCGGNNNNNNNNNNGGUAGACCACCGAGUUCGCGGCGAAGACGUGGUCGGGGCCGUCGGUGCCGUCGUUCCCUGGGGCUCCUAGCGCCGGGAAUGGAGCGCGGGCAACCACCCCGAGCUCCCGGACAUGGCGGACGGCGUCGGAGACGAUGAUGACGGCGGGAUAGACGCGGGCACCUUCUCUGGUCUAUCUACAGAACUUACCAGAGGAGGGAGGAAGAAGAUAAGAUGGAGAUGGGGGAGAGGAGAGGUGGCGGCGGCAGGAGGGAUGGAGNNNNNNNNNNCGAUGACGGCGGGGUAGACACUGGCACCUUCUCUGGUCUAUCUAUAGAACUUACCAGAGGAGGGAGGAAGAAGAUGAGAUGGAGAUGGGGGAGAGGAGAGGUGGCGGCGGCAGGAGGGAUGGAGAGGAACCCUAGGCCGAGGGGGCGCUCGGACACCCAGGUUAUAAGGGGGGACCUCGACGUCCGCGCUCACGGCGUCGGGCGUGCUCUCUGUGGAGCUUGACGGAAAGGAGGCACUGGGAGGGAACGGCGUCAGGGAAAGAAGAAGGCACGCGACCCUUGCGCACAUAGCGAGGGAGAUGGGCCGGCCUAGGUGGGAGGAGCCCAUUGGCGCCACUUAGGAAGAAAAGAAUUCCUGUGUUUUUCUUUUUAAAGAAAAAGCCAGGAGGAAAAUAAAUAAGCAAAGCAAACAAGUGGGGAUAAAAUCAAAAGAAAAUACCCCCUGGUCAUAGAAAAAUAUGACCUAUUUAAAUNNNNNNNNNNAGAGGAAAAGAAAUAAGAAAAGCAAACAAGUGGGGAUAAAUUCAAAAGAAAAUACCCCCUGGUCAUAGAAAAAUAUGACCUAUUUAAAUAAAACAAGAACAAGAUUUUUAGGAGCAAGCAAUAUUUCACAAAACAGAAUUAAUACCUCCGUUUUGUAUUUAUUGCACCUGUUUACAACACUUUUAAAAUCACCAAACUUGCACAACUUAACACCCACAAUAUCCCCUAAACAUUGGACAUUUUAAAAUCAGGGAAGGAAUAGUUGGAGUAAGGAGCUAGGGAUAAAUUGAGAGAAAGGGCCUUCUUUUGAAAACUAGUGCCACCACAAUACUAUUACUACUAGCCACAUGAAAUCACAAGGUANNNNNNNNNNUCAAAGGAUAUUUGAUUCCCCCUACUAAUCCCUUGCGAAUCUUGUUACUCUUGGGUGUUUGAGCACCCUAGACGGUUGAGGUCACCUCGGAGCCACAUUCCAUUGUGGUGAAGCUCCGUGGUCUUGUUGGGAGCCUCCAAGCUUUGUGUGGAGAUUGCCCCAACCUUGGUUGUAAAGGUUCGGUCGCCGCUUUCAAGGGCACCUAUAGUGGAAUCACGACACCUUGCAUUGUGCGAGGGNNNNNNNNNNNNNNNNNNNNNNNNNNNNNNNNNNNNNNNNNNNNNNNNNNNNNNNNNNNNNNNNNNNNNNNNNNNNNNNNNNNNNNNNNNNNNNNNNNNNGAAGUGGAUAUUUGUUCUUGAUUGUCUUCUUGUUCAAUGGGAGGUAAUCGACACACAGCCGGUCCGAACCAUCCUUCUUCUUGACAAAUAGAACACCACAUCCCCACGGAGACGAGCUUGGUCUGAUCAAACCCAAACGCUCUUGCUCAUCGAGUUGCUUCUUGAGUUCCUUCAACUCUUAUGGACCCAACUUGUACGGCCGUUUGCACACUGGCUCUAUGUCUGGCUCAAGCUCAAUGACGAACUCAACUUCACGGUGCGGAGGCAUGCUUGGCAGCUCUUCGGGAAACACAUCUUGAUAUUCGCAGACUACUGGAACUUGCUCAAUAGGAUUGAUCUCGCCCUUUUCAUUCAAGGAGAACAAACGGAUUGUAUCAUCGCGCGCCGCGAAUAUAAUCACAUCCUCCGAAGAGUGGGUAAGCUUCACUUCUUUAGCUUCACAAUCAAUUGAUGCCUUGUUCAUGGCCAACCAAUCCAUACCAAGAAUCAAGUCGAUGUCGGAAUUGCCCAAGACAUACGGAGACGCCAGAAAGGAAUAAUUGUCCAUCUUGAUAGAAACAUCAGGAACUCUACAAUUUGACCUCAUCUGAGCAGCCGGAGAAACAACACCCAAAGGUCUAUGCAAACUUGUCGAGGGAAAAUCAUGCUUGAUGAAAAAUGACUUUGACAUAAAGCAAUGCGAAGCACGAGAAUCGAACAAGACUUUAGCAGGAAAAUCAUUGACUAGGAGAUUACCCAUGAUCACAUCAGAGGAGUUGUCUGCUUCAGCUGCAUUCACCAUGUUGACUCGAGCUGAUCUGGGGUUGAAUUUGACAAGAGCGUUGCUUGGAGGUUUGCCUGGAGGAGGAGGCGGCAGACGGAGCUGAGAAGUACAUUUGUUGGCAUAGUGACCCUUCUGCCCACAUUUGUGACAAGUGACAACUUCUGGCUGACGGAACUGAGUCUGAGGAGGCCCUUGCUUCUGAUGCUGGUAUCUCUGCUGGAAGCCAGGGUUGGGUGGGUGGGAAGAACCACGUCCACCUGAGUGCUUCAGCUGCUGUGAGUGCCGAGGAGGAGGAGGAGAAACCCAAAACAUGUGUUGCUUGUGAACCACCUGAGUCGAGGAAGAGCUGGAAUCUCUGAAGCGCUUCUUGGAGUUUUCCACCCUGAGCACGGUUGCCUCUGCUCGGAGAGCCAAGUUGUAGAACUUGUCAAACUCCUCAGGAUCGUGCAAAGCAAGCGCUAACUGCAAAUCCUCCUUCAGGCCACCCCUGAACUGGUAGAUCUUGCUCUUCUGAUCUGGGACAUCCUGCAACGCGUAACGGGCCAGCUCGUGGAACUCGACAUUGUACUUAUACACAGAAUUGCUGCCCUGCUUCAAACGCGUGAACUUCUCACGCGUCCCCUCAACAAAACUGGAAGGAAUGUAGUGGGACCUGAAGUCACGACAAAACUCGUCCCAAGACAUCACCCUGUCACCUCUGGAGUCCUUAAGCUGCUGCCACCAAAUAGAAGCCUGCCCCUUCAACUGAAACGUAGCAAACUUGACAUAAUCCACAGGACGCACAUUGCUACACUUGAAAUGCUUGUUCAUAUCACGGAUCCAAUCUUCCGCAGCAAACGACUGGUCGCAAGAAGUGAACGUCUUAGGCUGGUUUGACAGGAACUAACUCAGAUUGGCGAAGUGAUUGCCACCCUGCUCAAAAUUGCCCUGCUGAUGAUUGGCUCUCUCCUGGAUCAACUGCAACAGCAUCUGAGUGUUUGCAUUAGUAGCUGCCAUCAUCGCCUGCCAGGCCUCUGCAGCAGGAGGCGGCAGCGGCGGAGGAGGAGGUGGAGGCGGCAUAUCCUCACGUCCUGGGGUCUGACGAGUCGGUGGAGCCAUCCUGAAGACGGACAGUAUAUUAGUCCACAGAAUAAUUGAAGAUAUUGUUGAAUCAAAAGACAGGAAUAUCUGAACAGAAUUUAGCAUUGCACUCGAACAACAUAGCAAGAGUGCAUCCUCAAAGUAACAGACGACAAAAUUCCGAUAAGGACCACUGCAAACAAGUGUGAGCUGGAACUGCUCGGAACAAACAUAAGACCGAGAUUUCCCAAAACCUCAAUCAAGCGUUUGUAGGAAGAUAGACCUAUAAGAUACUACUAGAUAUCCCACCUAUGAAUUCCCGAAAUAACUGGUCAUGCAAUCAGGUACACGGAUACAAGGAGUAUUUCACACAACUCCUAAACUAAUCCGUCACCUGUAUCACAUCCUUCAACACACAACCAGCAUCUCGGACCUUCAACUACAACAGAUCCUCGUGAUCACAACGAUACCAAGUGUGGUAAUACCCCCGAACAAUCUACACCAGUACUGGGGACAUCGGGGUUAUCUCACCACUACCAGUAUUGAAGCAAUAACGAACAUCCUCCGUUCUUAGAUACUCAGAAAUCUGAAUGAUGGCGAUGUGCGCGAUAAUCCCUGGAGCUCAACUCCCCUGAUACUUAGAGCAGAUAGGAGACACCAAGACAGGAUUCCGUCACAUCGAAAUCAUAUAGAUUUCACAAAUACCCACGUGAUCCUAAAAAAAUUUUGAGCGAGAAAAGGAGUAGAGUUAAAGAUUUCCUAAGACGGGAACCUCACCAGAGCAUAGAAGAGGAGAAAAAAGAAUCCUACUCUCCGAUAUAACUAAGACUCAAAACAUUUCUAGACUCGACUCGGCCAAAUACGAUCACACAAAGGCUCCUAUGGUCAUAAGGCUAUGAUUACCAACUUGUAACGACCAAGAUGCGGUCCUUUUCGAUCUCGGGGUUGAGGCCCCAAAUAGGAAAGAAGCGCAUCUAAGCGUUUCGUAAGCAAGUAACAUAGCACAAAUAAUAAUAAAAGUAGACAAUUCGGGAUUCAACUGUCUUCUCAUUAAUAACUCAGAGUACAUCACAGAUACAAUCAAGGUAGUUCCGCUACGGACUACAAAACAUGAAAAUGCUAUGCUACCCUGCCUGCAGGCCCACGAUGACGACCACGCCUCAGUCCUUUGGAUAGUUCACGUAGAGGCGGUCUGUCUCCUCGUCGUACUGCCAUGCCAGCUGAGUGCCGUCGGGAUCAUCUGUCUAUGGGGUACCUCUACCUGUUGGGAGUUUCGGAGGAAUCCGUGAGCCACGGGGACUCAGCAAUCUAAGACCGUGGUGCCAGAACUAGUCAUGUUAUUAGGUAGGGUAAGGGUGAAGUGUAAAAGGCUGCAGCAACCUAAGCUUGAUUUAGUGGCUAACUUACGUAAGGCAAUUAUGAAGGUGGUCUACACUAGCGGUCGUGAUUACUUCAUCACUAAGUGAUCCUGAACACCUACCUACGACAUUCAUAACCCCACCAUGUUCCCGAUCGAAGAGAGAUCUUCGAGGGGGACAGUCACGGUUACGCACACAGUUGGCAAUUUUAUUAGCUUAUGUUUGAGUUCUCUAAUACCGGAUGUUAACAAAAUAUUCCAAGUUGCCACAUAACCGCGGGCACGGCUUUCCGAAAGAUUAAACCCUGCAGGGGUGCUCCAACUAAUCCAUCACAAACGUACACAGGCCGCAAAGGCAUCCUCUAUCACGAAUCUCGUGAUCUCAUCGGGUUCCUUAGAGGAAAACCUCAACUCUGGGGGAAACGAAAGUUUCACUGGGAUUCCUAUACGCAAGAUAUACCGCUAAGGUAAGGNNNNNNNNNNGUCGGAUUCCUUAGAAGAAAACCUCAACUCUGCGGGAAACCAAAGUUUCACUGGGAUUCCUAUACGCAAGAUAUACCGCUAAGGUAAGGCAAGGCCAGCAGGACCUCCGGUGUGUCGACGACCCGAUAAGAGCCGCGUAUCUCAGUCUCAGGACAACACCGUCUAUGCAAAGUGGACAAGGACCAAACCUCAAGUUUCCCUGGGUUGGUCUUGCCGACUGCUAGGUGAUUGGACCAACACUCAUGAAGAGCACUGGCCCGGGUUGUUGAUUAAAUUCCUCGGGGUAGCUAUUCCCUAUGCAGGUUAUUAGGUGAUUAGCAAAUAAAACCAAUGUUGGGUCCUGCCGGACAAGCCUUAGCACUACGCGAUUUAUCGAGGGGGUCCCCAUAACAACCCCGAACGUGUUAGGAGCGAUCAUUAUGGAAUCAAACACCGGUAACCGGUAACUAAGGCGGCAAUAACGGAACAAAGCACCCGACAAAAAGGCUAGGCGUUCCAUCAUUUACCAAGUGUAUAGGUGCAUUAAAUAAAUAACAGAAAUUUAAGNNNNNNNNNNAACCGGUAACCGGUAACUAAGGCAGCAAUAACGGAACAAAGCACCCGACAAAAAGGCUAGGCCUUCUGUCAUUUACCAAGUGUAUAGGUGCAUUAAAUAAAUAACAGAAAUUUAAGAUAAUGAUACCAAGCUCAUGUUAUCACAUGAGUCAAAGCACCUGCAUCUAGCAACGCUAACAUUAGUAGCUGAGCAAAGCCUACUUAGCCAUUCAAGUUUUGCUAGGAAGGGAUCAGUGUUUGGGUUCAUGGCAUAUCAAGAGGCAAUUUAAUUCAGUGGUAGGCAGUGAGCAAUAUGACAUGGAAACGAAACUAGCAUAACAAGUCUAGAGAUGGAAUCAAGNNNNNNNNNNNNNNNNNNNNNNNNNNNNNNNNNNNNNNNNNNNNNNNNNNNNNNNNNNNNNNNNNNNNNNNNNNNNNNNNNNNNNNNNNNNNNNNNNNNNCGUAGCAGCAGGAUUCCUGGCGCCGUUGCCAGGGAAGGUCUGUUGUCGCAGUAGCAGAAGGAUUUCUGGCGCCGUUGCUCGGGAGAAUAUCUAUCCAAGUAGGUGUCACAAACUCAUCUCUUGCAUUUACCUUUUUUGCCAGUUGCCUCUCGUUUUCCUCUCCCCCACUUCACAUUUGCCGUUUUCAUUUGCCUUUCUCCUUUGCCGUUUCCCUUUACCUUUUUGCCGUUUUCCUUUGCCUUUUGCCGUUUUCCUUUGCCAGUUUUCUUACUUGCUUGUGUACUUGUUGGUUUGUUGAAGUCAUCAUGGAUGAAAACACCAAACUUUGCGACUUCUCGAGUACCAAUAAUAAUGGUUUUAUUAGUACUCCGAUUGCUCCCGCCACUAGUGCGGAAUCGUAUGAAAUCAACGCAGCUUUGCUGAAUCUUGUUAUGAAAGAGCAAUUCUCUGGCCUUCCUAGUGACGAUGCCGCAUCCCAUCUCAAUACCUUUAUUGAGCUUUACCAUAUGCAAAACAAAAGAGAUGUGGAUAAUGACGUGAUUAAGUUGAAGCUUUUUUCCUUUCUCGUUGCGAGAUCGCGCAAAAACUUGGUUUUCUUCUUUGCCUAAAAAUAGUAUCGAUUCUUGGGAUAAGUGCAAAGAUGCUUACAUAUCCAAGUAUUUUCCACCGGCUAAGAUUAUCUCCCUACGUAACGAUAUCAUGAAUUUCAAGCAACUUGAUCAUGAACACGAUGCACAAUCUUGGGAGAGGAUGAAGUUAAUGAUUAGAAAUUGUCCCGCUCAUGGCUUGAGUUUGUGGAUGAUUAUACAAGUCUUUUACGCUGGUUUGAAUUUUGCUUCUCGCAAUAUCUUGGACUCCGCCUCAGGUGGAACGUUCAUGGAACUCACGUUAGGAGACGCUACAAAACUCCUAGACAAUAUCAUGACCAACUACUCUCAGUGGCACACUGAAAGGUCACCUGCUAGCAAAAAGGUACACGCUAUAGAAGAAAUUAACUCGCUUAGUGCUAAGAUGGACGAUUUGAUGAAUUUGGUUGCUAGUAUAAAUGCUCCUUUAGAUCCUAAUGACAUGCCACUAUCUUCCUUGAUUGAGAGUAGCAAUGCUAGUUUGGACGUUAAUUUUGUUGGUAGGAAUAAUUUUGGCAACAACAAUGCUUUUAGAGGAAACUAUGUUCAUAGGCCUUUUCCUGGUAACUCCUCUAACAAUUAUGGCAAUUCCUACAACAACACUUAUGGAAAUCACAACAAAUUACCCUUUGAUUUAGAGAGUAAUAUCAAAUAGUUCAUCAACUCUCAAAAGAUUUUCAAUGCGUCCAUAGAGGAAAAACUACUUAAAAUAGACGAUUUGGCUAAGAGCGUUGAUAGGAUGUCUUGUGAUAUUGAUGCUUUGUAAGUUAGAUGUGCUCCUCCCAAGGUCAACUUGGAUGAAACUUUAAAAUCUAUGCGUGUCUCCACGAAUGAGAGCAAAGAAAGAACCACCCAAAUUCGCGCUAGGCAUGAAUGGUUUAAAAGGGUGCGUUCUAGUGAUGCAAAUCACGAAGAUCUUAAAGUGCUUGGUGUGACUCCUCUUGAAUCUUUGUUUUCGCGUGUCAAACCUAUUGAUGAAGGGGCUGGAUAUGAAUCCACUUUGGUUGAAAAAUGCCCCAAUGAUUCGGAGUCCACCUAUCUUGAUGAUAAAGGUGUGGAGAGUGGAGUAGAAGAAAUCAAAUUUUUGGGUAGUAAUGAAACUCCCACUUUGGAUUUCAAGGAAUUCAAUUAUGAUAGUUUCUUCUUGUUUGAAUGCAUUUCCUUGAUGCAAUCCAUUGCAAACUCUCCACAUGCUUAUAGCCAAAGCAAAGCCUUUACCGCACAUAUCGUAGAUGCUAUGAUGAAAUCUCUUGAAGAGAAGGUCGAAUUAGAAGUCUCUAUACCUAGAAAACUUCAUGAUGAGUGGGAACCUACUAUCAAAAUCAAGAUCAAAAACUAUGAAUGCAAUGCUUUGUGUGAUUUGGGUGCUAGUGUUUCCGCGAUUCCAAAGUCUUUAUGUGAUAUUCUUGGUUUUCAUGAGAUUGAAGAGUGUUCUCUUAAUUUGCAUCUUGCGGAUUCUACUGUCAAGAAACCCAUGGGAAGGAUCGAUGAUGUUCUUAUUGUUGCAAAUAAGAACUAUGUACCCAUGGAUUUCAUUGUACUUGACAUAGAUAGCAAUCCUUCAUGUCCCAUUAUUGUUGGUAGACCUUUCCUAAGGACUAUUGGUGCUAUCAUCGAUAUGAAGGAAGGGAAUAUUAGAUUUCAAUUUCCCCUAAAGAAGGGCUUGGAGCACUUUCCUAGAAAUAAAAUAAGAUUGCCUUAUGAAUCUAUGAUGAGGGCUACUUAUGGUUUGAGCACCAAGGAUGACUAUACGUGAUUCCAUGACCUUAUGCCUAGCUAAGGGCGUUAAACAAUAACGCUUGUUGGGAGGCAACCCAACGAAUCUAUCCUUUUUCUUUCUGUUUUGUGUUUUCCACACUUUCACAAUUCUGUUAUGAUUGUGUUUUUUGUGUUUCUUUUUGCGUUUGUGCCAAGCAAAACCGUUAUGAUUAGUCUUGGGGAUGAUCGUUUGGUCAUGCUGGAAAAGACAGAAACUUUCUGCUCACGAAAAGCAUUUUCAUUUUUUUUCUGUAAGAGAUUUUGAGUUGAUUCUUUUUGCUGCUGAUUUCUACGCAAAUUCUUCAGACUGUCAUAAUUUUUAAGAAUUUUUGAAGUGCGAGAAGUAUACGAAGUAUACAGAUUGCUACAGACUGGUCUGCUGUUAACACAUUUUUUUUUGUUGAGUUGGUUGCUUAUUUUGAUGAAACUAUGGAUAGUAUCGGGGGGUAUUAGCCAUGGAAGAUUUAAAAUACAGUAACCCAACAUCAACAUGAGUAGAAUUUAAAGUUUUCUACAGUACCUAAGGAAGUGGUGGUUUGCUUUCUUAUACUAAUGUUAUCACGAGUUUCUGUUUAAGUUUCGCGUUGUGAAGUUUUCAAGUUUUGGGUGAAGUUCUUAUGGAAAAAAAGAUAAAGAGUGGCAAGAACUCAAGCUUGGGGAUGCCCAAGGCACCCCAAGUUGAUUCAAGGAUGCCGUAAAAGCCUAAGCUUGGGGAUGCCCCGGGAAGGCAUCCCCUCUUUCGUCUUCAAUCCAUCGGUAGCGUUACUUGGGGCUAUAUUUUUAUUCACCACAUGUUAUGUGUUUUGCUUGGAGCGUCUUGUAUCGUAGGAGUCUUUUAUUUUUGUUGUGUCAUAAUCAUCCUUGCUGCACACCUAGAGAGAGAAACAUGCACUCACCGUGAUUUUUUCGAGCUUCACUUAUAUCCUUUGGCUAGACAAUUCAGCUCACAUGUGCUCCACUUAUAUCUUUUGAGCUAGUUGCUUUUGCUCUAUGUGCUUCACUUAUAUCUUUUAGAGCACGGAGGUGCAUGGCUUGGUAGUUGAUCUAUGCUAUGAAAGUAGUUUCAAAAGGGGUAGUUAUCCAAAGGGAUAUGAAAACUUCCGCCUUCAUGUGCAUUGAAUAGUUAGAGAAGUUUGAUUCAUCUCAAUUAGUUUUGAGUUGUGGUUGUGGUAAUAUUGAAGUUAUAUUAGUAAGGUGUUGUGGAUCUAGAAAUACUUGUGUUGAAGUUAGUGAUUCCCGUAGCAUGCACGUAUGGUGAACCGCUAUGUGAUGAAGUCUGAGCAUGAUUAGUCUGUUGAUUAUCAUCCUUUGUGUCGCUGUCGGGAUCGCGCGAUGGUUUAUACCUACCAACCCUUCCCCUAGGAGUAUGCGUUGAAUGCUUUGUUUCGAUUACUACUAAAACUUUUGCAACAAGUAUAUGAGUUCUUCAUGACUAAUGUUGAGUCCAUGGUUUAGAUGUACUUUCACCUUCCACCAUCACUAUCUUCUUUAGUGUCGUGCAAUUUUCGCCGGUGCACAAAACCACCCAUAUAGCCUCCCUCAAAACAGCCACCAUACCUACCUACUAUGGCUUUUUCAAUGCUAUUCCGAGAUAUAUUGCCAUACAACUAACACCAUUACAUGUGCCACCACUUCUACAUUGCCAUUGCAUGAUCAUAAGAUAGCUAGCAUGAUGUUUCCAUUGAUGUCUAUGCCAUGCUAGAUCAUUGUCACGGUACACUACCGAAGGCAUUCCAUAUAGAGUCAUCAUUGCUCUAAGUUUUGAGUUGUAAGUGUGAUGAUCAUCAUUGAUGCAUCAUUGUCCCAUGUGAGGAAAUAAAAGAGGCCAAAGAUGCCCACCAAAAAAAGAGGCCAAAGAGCCCACAAAAAAAGAGAAAAAGAGAGAAGGGACAAUGCUACCACCUUUCCACACUUCUGCAUAUUAAGCACCAUGAUCUUCAUGAUUGAGAGUCUCUCGUUUUGUCACCACCAUAUAGCUAGUGGGAAAUUUUCAUUAUAUAACUUGGCUUGUAUAUUCCGAUGAUAGGCUUCCUCAAAAUUGCCUUAGGUCUUCGUGACCAAGCAAGUUGGAUGCACACCCACUAGUUUUCUUUAAGAGCUUUCACAUACUCUUAGCUCUAGUGCAUCAUUUGUUUGGCAAUCCCUACUCAUUCACGUUGAUAUCUAUUGAUGAGAAUCUCCAUAGCUCAUUGAUAUGCCUAGUCAAUGUGACCAUCUUCUCCUUGUUUACCUUGCAACCUCCACCACACUCCACACCACUUAUAGUGCUAAAACCAUGGCUCACGCUCAUGUAUUGCGUGAGAGUUGAAAAAGUUUGAGAAAGUAAAGGUGUGAAAUCAAUUACUUGGCCAAUACCGGGGUUGUGCAUGAUUUAAAUUUGUUGUGCAAGGAUGAUAGUGUAGGGAACGUCGCAUGGGAAACAAAAAUUUUCCUACGCGCACGAAGACCUAUCAUGGUGAUGUCCAUCUACGAGAGGGGAUGAGUGAUCUACGUACCCUUGUAGACCAUACAGUAGAAGCGUUAGUGAACGCGGUUGAUGUAGUGGAACAUCCUCACGUCCCUCGAUCCGCCCCGCGAACAAUCCCGCGAUCAGUCCCACGAUCUAGUACCGAACGGACGGCACCUCCGCGUUCAGCACACGUACAGCUCGACGAUGAUCUCGGCCUUCUUGAUCCAGCAAGAGAGACGGAGAGGUAGAAGAGUUCUCCGACAGCGUGACGGCGCUCCGGAGGUUGGUGAUGACCUUGUCUCAGCAGGGUUCCGCCCGAGCUCCGCAGAAACGCGAUCUAGAGGAAAAACCGUGGAGGNNNNNNNNNNNNNNNNNNNNNNNNNNNNGGCGCUCUGGAGGUUGGUGAUGACCUUGUCUCAGCAGGGCUUCGCCCGAGCUCCGUAGAAACGCGAUCUAGAGGAAAAACCGUGGAGGUAUGUGGUCGGGCUGCNNNNNNNNNNNNNNNNNNNNNNNNNNNNNNNNNNNNNNNNNNNNNNNNNNNNNNNNNNNNNNNNNNNNNNNNNNNNNNNNNNNNNNNNNNNNNNNNNNNNNNNNNNNNNNNNNNNNNNNNNNNNNNNNNNNNNNNNNNNNNNNNNNNNNNNNNNNNNNNNNNNNNNNNNNNNNNNNNNNNNNNNNNNNNNNNNNNNNNNNNNNNNNAAACCGAGUUAUACUUGGUUUGGUGGGUGGGAGUCCUUCCUUCCCUUCCCACCUCCUCUUUUUUUUCUCUUUGAUUUUCUUUCCUAGGCGCAUAGGGCCCUUUUGGGCUGCCCCACCAUCCCACUAAGGGUUGGUGCGCCACCCUCAUGGCCUAUGGGCUUCCCCGGGGUGGGUUGCCCNNNNNNNNNNCAAACUGAGUUGGACUUGGUUUGGUGGGUGGGAAUCCUUCCUUCCCUUCCCACCUCCUCUUUUUUUAUUUUCUCUUUGAUUUUCUUUCCGAGGCGCAUAGGGCCCUUUUGGGCUGCCCCACCAGCCCACUAAGGGCUGGUGCGCCACCCUCAUGGCCUAUGGGCUUCCCCGGGGUGGGUUGCCCCCCCGGUGAACUCCCGGAACCCAUUCGUCAUUCCCGGUACAUUCCCGGUAACUCCGAAAACCUUCCGGUAAUCAAAUGAGGUCAUCCUAUAUAUCAAUCUUCAUUUCCGGACCAUUCCGGAAACCUUCGUGACGUCCGUGAUAUCAUCCGGGACUCCGAACAACAUUCGGUAACCAACCAUAUAACUCAAANNNNNNNNNNAUUUGUUUCUGGACCAUUCCGGAAACCCUCGUAACGUCGGUGAUCUCAUCCGGGACUCCGAACAACAUUCGGUAACCAACCAUAUAANNNNNNNNNNAACCAUUCCGGAAACCCUCGUGACGUCCGUGAUCUCAUCCGGGACUCCGAACAACAUUCGGUAACCAACCAUAUAANNNNNNNNNNNNNNNNNNNNNNNNNNNNNNNNGACCAUUCUGGAAACCCUCGUGACGUAUGUGAUCUCAUCCGGGACUCCGAACAACAUUCAGUAACCAACCAUAUAAAUCAAAUACGCAUAAAACAACGUCGAACCUUAAGUGUGCAGACCCUGCGGGUUCGAGAACUAUGUAGACAUGACGCGAGGGACUCCUCGGUCAAUAUCCAAUAGUGGGACCUGGAUGCCCAUAUUGGAUCCUACAUAUUCUACGAAGAUCUUAUCGUUUGAACCUCACUGCCAAGGAUUCAUAUAAUCCCGUAUGUCAUUCCCUUUGUCCUUCGGUACGUUACUUGCCCAAGAUUCGAUCGUCAGUAUCCGUAUACCUAUUUCAAUCUCGUUUACCAGCAAGUCUCUUUACUCAUUCCGUAAUACAAGAUCUCGCAACUUACACUAAGUUACAUUGCUUGCAAGGCUUGUGUGUGAUGUUNNNNNNNNNNUGAUCCCGUAUGUCAUUCCCUUUGUCCUUCGGUAUGUUACUUGCCCGAGAUUCGAUCGUCAGUAUCCGUAUACCUAUUUCAAUCCCGUUUACCGGCAAGUCUCUUUACUCGUUCCGUAAUACAAGAUCCCGCAACUUACACUAAGUUACAUUGCUUGCAAGGCUUGUGUGUGAUGUUNNNNNNNNNNUCUUUGUCCUUCGGUAUGUUACUUGCCCGAGAUUCGAUCGACAGUAUCCGUAUACCUAUUUCAAUCUCGUUUACCGACAAGUCUCUUUACUCGUUCCAUAAUACAAGAUCCCGCAACUUACACUAAGUUACAUUGCUUGCAAGUCUUGUGUGUGAUGUUGUAUUACCGAGUGGGCCCCGAGAUACCUCUCCGNNNNNNNNNNNNNNNNNNNNNNNNNNNNNNNNNNNNNNNNNNNGCACACAAAGCAUUCCUCCGGCGUCAGUGAGUUAUAUGAUCUCAUGGUCAUAGGAAUAAAUACUUGACACNNNNNNNNNNGUCUUGAUCCAUACUAACUCAACUAACACCUUCGGAGAUACCUGUAGAGCAUAUUUAUAGUCACCCAGUUACGUUGCGACGUUUGAUACACAAAAAGCAUUACUCCGGUGUCAGUGAGUUAUAUGAUCUCAUGGUCAUAGGAAUAAAUACUUGACACUCAGAAAAUAGUAGCAACAAAAUGACACGAUCAACAUGCUACGUCUAUUAGUUUGGGNNNNNNNNNNUCCAGUUAUCAAGCAACAACACUUUGUUCAUAAUCAAAAGACACUGACUAUCUUUGAUCAACUGGCUAGCCAACUAGAGGCUUGCUAGGGACGGUGUUUUGUCGAUGUAUCCACACAUGUAAAUGAGUCUUCAUUCAAUACAAUUAUAGCAUGGAUAAUAAACGAUUAUCUUGAUACAGGAAUUAUAAUAAUAACUAUAUUUAUUAUUACCUCUAGGGCAUAAUUCCAACAGUCUCCCACUUGCACUAGAGUCAAUAAUUUAGCCCUCACAUCAUCAUGCGAAUUUCAUUGUAAUAAAUCUAACACCCAUACAGUUCUGGUGUUGAUCAUGCUUUGGCCGUGGAAGAGGUUUAGUCAGCGGGUCUGCUACAUUCAGAUCCAUGUGCACUUUGCAUAUAUUUACGUCCUCUCACUCGACGUAGUCGCGGAUGAGGUUGAAGCGUCGUUUGAUGUGUCUGGUCUUCUUGUGAAACCGUGGUUCCUUUGCUAAGGCAAUGGCACCCGUGUUGUCAUAGAACAAGGUUAUUGGAUUCAGUGCGCUUGGCACCACUCCAAGAUCCGUCAUGAACUGCUUCAUCCAGACACCCUCCUUAGCCGCCUCCGAGGGAGCCAUGUAUUCCGCUUCACAUGUAGAAUCUGCUACGACGCUUUGCUUGGAACUGCACCAGCUUACCGCACCCCCAUUAAGAAUAAAUACGUAUCCGGUUUGCGACUUAGAGUCGUCCGGAUCUGUGUCAAAGCUUGCAUCGACGUAACCUUUUACGGCGAGCUCUUCGUCACCUCCAUACACGAGAAACAUCUCCUUAGUCCUUUUCAGGUACUUCAGGAUAUUCUUGACCGCUGUCCAGUGAUCCACUCCUGGAUUACUCUGGAACCUACCCGCCAUACUUAUGGCCACGCUAACAUCCGGUCUAGUGCACAGCAUUGCAUACAUGAUAGAACCUAUGGCUGAAGCAUAGGGGACGGAGCGCAUAUGCUCUCUAUCUUCAUCAGUUGCUGGGCACUGAGUCUUACUCAAUUUCGUACCUUGUAAAACUGGCAAGAACCCUUUCUUGGACUGUUCCAUUUUGAACCUUUUCAAAACUUUAUCAAGGUAUGUGCUUUGUGAAAGUCCUAUCAGGCGUUUUGAUCUAUCCCUAUAGAUCUUGAUGCCUAGAAUGUAAGCAGCUUCUCCUAGGUCCUUCAUAGAGAAACUUUUAUUCAAGUAAUCCUUUAUGCUCUCCAAAAACUCCACGUUGUUUCCAAUCAGCAAUAUGUCAUCCACAUAUAAUAUUAGAAAUGCCACAGAGCUCCCACUCAUUUUCUUGUAAAUACAAGAUUCUCCAACCACUUGUAUAAACCCAAAUGCUUUGAUCACCUCAUCAAAGCGUUUGUUCCAACUCCGAGAUGCUUGCACCAGUCCAUAAAUGGAUCGCUGGAGCUUGCAUACCUUGUUAGCAUUCUUAGGAUCGACAAAACCUUCGGGUUGUAUCAUAUACAACUCUUCUUUAAGGAAACCGUUAAGGAACGCCGUUUUGACAUCCAUCUGCCAGAUUUCAUAAUCGAAAAAUGCAGCUAUUGCUAACAUGAUUCUGACGCACUUAAGCAUCGCUACGGGUGAGAAUGUCUCAUCGUAGUCAACUCCUUNNNNNNNNNNACGUUUGUUCCAACUCCGAGAUGCUUGCACGAGUCCAUAAAUGGAUCGCUGGAGCUUGCACACCUUGUUAGCAUUCAUAGGAUCGACAAAACCUUCGGGUUGUAUCAUAUACAACUCUUCCUCAAGGAAACCGUUAAGGAACGCUGUUUUGACAUCCAUCUGCCAGAUUUCAUAAUCGAAAAAUGUAGCUAUUGCUAACAUGAUUCUGACGGACUUAAGCAUCGCUACGGGUGAGAAUGUCUCAUCGUAGUCAACUCCUUGAACUUGUGAAAAACCCUUUGCCACAAGUCGAGCUUUAUAAAUGGUCACAUUGCCGUCAGCGUCCGUCUUUUUCUUAAAGAUCCAUUUGUUCUGAAUAGCCGUGCGGCCCUGAGGUAGUACUUCCAAAGUCCACACUUUGUUCUCAUACAUGGAUCCUAUCUCGGACUUCAUGGCUUCUAGCCAUUUAUUGGAAUCUGGGCCCACCAUUGCUUCUUCAUAAUUUGCAGGUUCAUUGUUGUCUAACAACAUGAUUGAUAAGACGGGAUNNNNNNNNNNGCAGGAAUCUGGGCCCACCACCGCUUCUUCAAAAUUUGCAGGUUCAUUGUUGUCUAACAACAUGAUUGAUAAGACGGGAUUACCGUACCACUCUGGAGCAGUACGUGGUCUCGUCGACCUGCGUGGUUCGAUAGAAACUUAGAACCGGAGUUUCAUGAUCAUUAUCAUUAACUUCCUCCUCAACCGGCGUUGCAAUGACAGAGGUUUCCCCUUGCCCUGCGCCACCAUCCAGAGGGAUGAGAGGUUCGACAACCUCGUCAAGUUCUACCUUCCUCCCAUUCAAUUCUCUCGAGAGAAACUCCUUCUCGAGAAAAGCUCUGUUUUUAGCAACAAACACUUUGCCCUCGGAUUUGAGAUAGAAGGUGUANNNNNNNNNNCACCGUACCACUCUGGAGCAGCACGUGGUCUCGUCGACCUGCGUGGUUCGACAGAAACUUGAACCGGAGUUUCAUGAUCAUCAUCAUUAACUUCCUCCUCAACGGGCGUCGCAAUGACAGAGGUUUCUCCUUGCCCUGCGCCACCAUUCAGAGGGACGAGAGGUUCGACAACCUCGUCAAGUUCUAUCUUCCUCCCACUCAAUUCUCUCGAGAGAAACUCCUUCUCGAGAAAAGCUCCGUUUUUAGCAACAAACACUUUGCCCUCGGAUUUGAGAUAGAAGGUGUACCCAACUGUCUCUUUUGGGUAACCUAUGAAGACGAACCUUUCCGCUUUGGGUUCCAGCUUUUCAGGCUGAAGCUUUUUGACAUAAGCAUCACAUCCCCAAACUUUAAGAAACGACAACGUUGGCCUUUUGCCAUACCACAGUUCGUAUGGUGUCGUCUCAACGGAUUUUGAUGGUGCCCUAUUUAAAGUGAAUGCAGCUGUUUCUAAUGCAUAACCCCAAAAUGAUAACGGCAAAUCGGUAAGAGACAUCAUAGAUUGCACCAUCUCUAAUAAAGUACGAUUACGACGUUCGGACACACCAUUACGCUGUGGUGUUCCAGGCGGUGUUAACUGUGAAACAAUUCCACAUUGUCUUAAGUGAGCACCAAACUCGAAACUCAGAUAUUCACCCCCACGAUCAGACCGUAGGAACUUGAUCUUCUUGUUACGAUGAUUUUCCACUUCACUCUGAAAUUGCUUGAACUUUUCAAAUGUUUCAGACUUGUGCUUUAUCAAGUAGACAUAACCAUAUCUACUCAAAUCGUCAGUGAAGGUGAGAAAAUAACGAUAUCCGCCGCGCGCCUCUAUGCUCAUCGGACCACACACAUCGGUAUGUAUGAUUUCCAACAAGUCACUUGCACGCUCCAUAGUUCCGGAGAACGGAGUCUUAAUCAUCUUGCCCAUGAGGCAUGGUUCGCACGUGUCAAGUGAAUCAAAGUCAAGUGACNNNNNNNNNNUUUUACACCAAUAUGACCUAAGCGGCUGUGCCACAAAAAUAUGGCGCUAUCAUUGUUAGCUCUAACUCUUUUGGUCUCAAUGUUAUGUAUAUGCAUAUCGCUAUCAAGAUUCAAUAUGAACAAUCCUCUCACAUUAGGUGCAUGACCAUAAAAGAUGUUACUCAUAGAAAUAGAACAACCAUUAUUCUCUGACUUAAAAGAGUAACCGUCUCGCAAUAAACAAGAUCCAGAUAUAAUGUUCAUGCUCAACGCAGGCACUAAAUAACAAUGAUUUAAGUUCAUCACUAAUCCUGAUGCUAACUGAAGUGAAACUGUGCCGACGGCGAUUGCAUCAACCUUGGAACCAUUUCCUACGCGCAUCGUCACUUCNNNNNNNNNNGUGAUUUAAGUUCAUCACUAAUCCUGAUGGUAACUAAAGUGAAACUAUGCCGAUGGCGAUUGCAUCAACCUUGGAACCAUUUCCUACGCGCAUCGUCACUUCAUCUUUCGCCAGCCUUCGUCUAUUCCGCAGUUCCUGUUUCGAGUUGCAAAUAUGAGCAACAGAACCGGUAUCGAAAACCCAGGCACUACUACGAGAGCCGGUUAAGUACACAUCAAUAACAUGUAUAUCAAAUAUACCUGAUUUUUCUUUGGCCGCCUUCUUAUCUGCCAGAUACUUGGGGCAAUUGCGCUUCCAGUGACCCAUACCCUUGCAAUAGUAACACUCCGUUUCAGGCUUAGGUCCAACUUUGGGUUUCUUCGUCGGAUUGGCAACAUGCUUGCCGCUCUUCUUCGAAUUACCCUUCUUGCCUUUGCCGUUUCUCUUGAAACUAGUGGUCUUAUUCACCAUCAACACUUGAUGCUCUUUACGGAGUUCAGACUCUGCGACUUUCAGCAUCGCAAACAACUCGCCGGGAGACUUGUUCAUCCCUUGCAUGUUGUAGUUAAACACAAAGCCUUUAUAGCUUGGCGGCAGUGAUUGAAGGAUUCUGUCANNNNNNNNNNNNNNNNNNNNNNNNNNNNNNNNNNNNNNNNNNNNNNNNNNNNNNNNNNNNNNNNNNNNNNNNNNNNNNNNNNNNNNNNNNNNNNNNNNNNAGUAGCAACUGCUUGAGCCUUGUUGUGCUUACUCAUUCAUGCUUGCUUACUGUGCCUGCUAUGCUUAGAGUCGUGUCGGGUCUGAUCCAUCUGGAUGAUGAACCAGAAUGGUUGAGUUAUGUCCUACAGUGUGAGAGUAAAAGUGUGAAUCCGAUUUGGUAAAGGUAGCGAGGAGAGGCCAUGUAGGAGUACAUGGUGGGUUGUCUCAUUAGGACCGUCCUUAAGAACUGAGUUCUGUGUAUGUUAUCCAAGACAAGAUACUACCACACAUUGGGAUACUUAAUUGACCCUCUUGGCUUAUUAAUCGCCUAGAUCUCUGUCCAAGAGUUGCAACUAGUUUCUGGUGUUUGUAGGAAAAGUGUUGGCGACCGUGUUUAGCUCUGCCCGACGGGGUAGGCUUCUCUGCAGUUGAUACACAAUGGCACGGUGUACCAAGUGGCACCCGGAUGGUGGGCUUGGGAACCAUGCGCACAUCGUUUGGGGCCGUAGAGGACACCUCGGUCGGACUUCCUUGCGGGUUCAAUCUCAUAUAGGCGAUAAACCUGGACUAGGGUCUUGUGUGGUUAACGGUCAUGGCCGACACCCACGCCAGUGCUUCCGCUUGAAGGUUGUCGAGAUGCAUGACGUGCAUAUGGUGCUAAGUGGUGAGAGCAUGUGUGAAGAAGUAUACCCCUGCAGGGUGAAUCAAUCUGUUCGAAUAGCCGCUUCCUCGGAUAUGGACUACUUGGAAACAUUACGUGGUACAUAGACAACUUAAAUGGAUACUCUAAAACAUGCACGAUAAGCAUGAGUGCUAUGGAAGGCCUUCUCAUAGGGAGACGAGAGUGGAUCCAUAGUGGUGUAUUGAAUUGGUGAAUAUGUGGACUCGUGUGCGCUAUCCCACCUCAAAGAAAGAACUUGUAGUCAUAGUACAGGUUAGCCAACAGUCAAAGCUGGCUUGCUGCAAUCAAACCCCACAAACCUUUCAUUGAUACAUGAUGCAUAUGUAGAUAGUUCUGAUGUAAGUCUUGCUGAGUACCUUUGUACUCACUGUUGCUUUAUUUAUGUUUUUGCAGAGAAGAUUUAGACUCAUUAAAAGGUUCUACGCGAUGUGUUCGAUGUUGACCGGAAUAGUUUGGGAAUCCCAGACAGAGGUCUGGUUCCUUUGGUAGGGUCGUAGUAGCUUUUCAAGCUCUUCCGGCAACUUUUACUAGAUAUCUGUACCCAGACAUGUUGUGCUUCCGCUUGAUGUUUGUAUGACUUGAGUGACGGGUCACGAGACCCCUGUUUGUAAUAUCAUACUAUGUUGAUUCUUAUGAGUCUUUGAUAAAAUCUUGAGUCAUAGAGUUAUGUUGUGAUGCCAUGUUGUAUAUACGCAUAUAGUGCAUAUUGUGUGCAUGUUAUGAAAUGCAUUAUAUGUGUGGGAUUCGACACCUAGUUGUGUGCCUUUAGUAGUACUCUUUACAAGGAAAUGCCUCUUUGUGCUUCUAUCGAGCCUUGGUAGCUUGCUACUCCUCUAGACACAUUGAUUGACUGGCGUGUAUCCUUCGUUGCUGUUGUGUCGUCCCCUCGGGGAAAUGUCACGCGGUGUAAUGGAGUCCUUGUAGCUUGCUACGACUCAUCUACACAUGCUGUUGAUCGACACCUGCUUUGCUGGGUUAUGUAUGCAUGUCCCUGUACGGAUGUACCGCUUGGGUUUAUAACUAGUCAUGUCCACCCGGGUUCUUUGUCGUUUGAACGCUAUCAACAUAUUCAUAUACGUGAGCCAAAAGACGCAAACGGUCCCGGCCAAGGUAAGGUGGCAGCCGUGGAGUUUACCGUGCGUGAGGCCGCAAAGUGAUGUGAUGUGUUACAGGCUGGGUUCUUAUGACUCAGGAUCGGGGUCCCGUCAGCUUUGGUAUCAGAGCUUGAUUGCCUGUAGGAUAACCGAGCCAAACUGGUCGAUGUUGUGUCUAGCAACUCUUUAUUUAUAUAAGGGAAUUGUUUGUGGAAGGAAACGUAAGGCUCUUUUUACUCCUUUCCUUGUGUCAUUUUAUUCUGAGUCAUCCUCUUCUUUAUUCUACGGGGUUUAAGAAUUAGGCUUUCUCAUCUAUUCAUUAGGAUGACGAGUUACUAUUUUGGAGACCUAUAGCAAAGUUGUUGUCUUCAAGGAUCAGUGUCUCCAUAAGAAUUCAUUGUUAUGACGUCAGUUUUCUUGCAGGUUGCCUCAUAUUUCAUGCCCGUACAGCCGUUAUGCUGUCCGAGUUUUCCAAAGUUCCCAAACAAUUUGUUGCAAUUGUAACUUCCUUCCUCUUAUUUCUAAUGUAUUUUGGCCAGACCAAGCACACUAAUCUUCAUGAUGAGGUACUUCAUUACCUCGACCUAUUGUUGAAGUAUUAGGAAACCAUGUCACCUCGAAAACCACCAAAUAGUCUAGAUGUGCUCUAUGUUUCCAGUGUGAUAAUUCUUUCCAUCAUAUUAGAAAACAUCUCGUGAUGUUAUUUAGUUUGUAAGUAUUCUAUUUCUGGAUUUUUGAAUCCAAGGAUCAUUCUGCUCAAUUCUGUUGAUAGUGUUGCUAGUUCCUUUAGAAUGGUUAGUAACCUUGUUGUAGUUUCCAAGGUUCAUGGUAUAUCAUUCUUCCAACACCAUGGACCAUCUCUGGUAGAAGUUCUUCGUGAACUAAAGACCAUAACAAGAGUGCUCGUGAUGAGUUCUCUACUCCAUAUUGUGAUUCUGCCAACUUCGCCCUUCUGCAUGAGUUAUCUGGAAGAAUUAUGUUGAACUCGUUCGAUAUUCUAAUCCAUGCAUCCACAACUCAAGAAACCAUGUGCUCUUGAGUUGGCCCUUCCUAGUUGUAUUCUGACCUUCAUUUAUGAGAGGAUAGUCGAUGUCUUCUAUUCCAUGGUCUGUCAAGUUGUUCUAUUCUUGAAUGACUGAGAGAAGCAAACUCCAGUACCUCAUCCAUUUCUUGGAUUGGGUCAAAGUAGUUGUAUUCCGCAGAUCGAAAUGCUAACCCAGCUUUUGUUCCGUUCUAUCUAGGAGUAUUACCCUCUUUUCGUCAAUAGUGUCAUGAGAAUUGCACCAUCUCUUAUGAGCUCUUGAUGUAGUGAUACUUCUCGCUAUCAUUGUUCAUCCCUCGGUUUUCAUGUUGGUUGUAACCGGAAUAUCAACAAGUGAACCAUGAUGUGUGAAAUCAAUACUCCUAGCAAUGUUAUUGAUUGGUAGCUAAUGGACAACAAUUUCACUCUUACGGUAAUGGUGAUUGAAUCGUCAUCCUAAGAUUGAGCGUGCUACCUAGUCCAUGUUUCAUGGUGCACUUUUUGAUCGAUGGGUUAGGAUUGUGUCAAUCCCACGCUCUUUUGAUCACAUCAUCUUGCCCUGAAAAGAGAGAUUGUUCUCGAGCUUAAUAAUCUCGUGAUAUUCUGAAUAUCUUCUCGGAAGUAUUACCAGGUUGUUUCCUGAUUGAUAUGUCGAGCUUGUGACUAAAUUGGUAUUUCUAUAAACCAACCCCUUCUCCAAGAAUCCGUGUUGGAUACCCCGAGCUAGUGGGUUAAGCUAAACAACAACUUGGAGAGUUGGAAUAUAAAAGCUCCGCCUAAAGUUAGUUCAUUUUAAAGGGAUAUCUUUCCUGUUGUGCGAGUCUGAAGAAAGAUGGUAUUUUCAUCGGUUGAUUCGUGUUAUCAAUUGUUGCAUAUAUUGUCUUGGUUAAUUUUGAUUUGAGUAUGGGCUAUUGUCAAAUCAAACUCAGAACCAAAGAUUUUAGUAACAGUGUCUUACUCAUGGAUUUCCUUGAGCCUACACCAUUGUAUUCUUUGAUCUGACCAAUGCUAUUAUCUUGCUCACAUAGUUGUGGAAAUCCAUCUAUAUGGGUAUCUUGAUGAAUUGUUGUUGAGCCCAUCAGCAUCAUUUUCAUUUGUUCCAUGACUUAUGUUGGACAUUAAGCUAGUGUUGGAAACUUUGUAGACAUUGUCUUAGUGUUUCGAGCACGAGGUAUAUGUUAGGUGUAAGAAGUGACUUCCUCUAAUUCUUGUGCAUUUGAUGUAAGUUGCCGCCGUGAAUUCGAGAAAAGUUAAUUUGUUUUCUUCGGAAUCGUCCCAAGUCAGUCACACACGUGCGAAGUAUUCUAUGGUUUGAUAGACUGAUCAUCUCCACUCCAUAUGUAUCUCCUAGCACACCAAGCCACUGAUUGAUUUGUUCAAGGAAAAGAAGUUAAGUGCCAUUCCUGAAGGUACCAGACGAACUUGCACAUGGCUUCGUCAUCCGCAAUGAUGGUUCCCACCCAGAACUCGGUAGUGUUUGUUGUAAGACUUUUCAUGUGCUCAUCAUUGUCUUGGGCAGUGUGUUCACGUGGGUCUUGCAAUCCAGCUCAUGUUUUGGAGCUGUCUUUCGUAGUUCAUUUCCUGAGAAUCUCGCAACGUUAUCUCGUCGAUUUGUGUUGCAAACUAUCUUUUCGGACAUGCUGAGUCUGAAACAUCAUGUCACAAACCAAAUCUGAAUCUCAGGCAGAUAUGAUGGUUGUAGCGCUUCCCAAGGAUUAUAAUAUUGGUCUCUCUAUAACCCGGUAAAGUGAUGUCGUGGUUAACACACCUAGCCGGAAGACUUAAUAUUAUAAUAUCUUGCAUCAGCAACCUUAGCCAUUUCCCCGUGAGGACUUUGUAUGACUUGUUCUAGAAGUUGUUCCUCAUGGACCCUUUAAGCCCCGAAGUCCGAUCUAUAUUAGAUGGGCUAGAUAUCAAGAAUGACCUAUAAUUGGGUUGUGCUAGUACAUCAAGGAGAAUAUUAGAAGCGAAGUGCUAAAUGUCUCUCGGUCGAUCAACCAGAUUUCGUUCCCUUGGUAUAGCUAAGGUGAAAUCUGAGGAAGUGUUGUCUUCCUUUGCAUCUCCAUCCUCCAUCACUGUUCAUCAUGGUAGUAUGUUGCGUCACCAAGAUCUUGGCACAGAUAUUGGUAAAACUUUGAUGAAUAUGGAAAUGCUCAAGUUCUUGAGAGCACGCUGAGACACUAGGUUAUAACCUCGGUAGUAACUGGAAUGUGCCUUCCGUUCGUCGAGUUGUUCUAUAACCCUAGUUUCUUUCCAACCUGAGUAUGCCCUUCUUUUAAAUUCCUUCAAACAAUCAUUUGUGAAUUUCCUUCCUUGGUAUGAAGAGUUUUAAUGAUAUUAUAUCAAAAGUAAUUCUUUUUUCCACUUAAGGGAAUAACUCUACGAGUCAUCCUCCUAUGGUGCCCCGAUAUGGUAUGAAGGGUAACUUAACUCCUUGCUACUUUGAAACCUCGUCAUCAUCUGUAUUAAGUGUGGAUUUGUUGCCUACCAAUUGAACCUCUGUUAUAUGUCUCAUUUCCUCAUCCCUGUUAUGUGUAUAGUGUCUCAGCUCAAGGGACGUUUCCACAUCUCAUUCUAUAAGUUGAUCUUGAGUUGCUUGAUCUUGGGGAAAUCGAAUUUUGUAGAGUCCUCCUGUUCUUGUCGUCGUGUUAGACAAAGACCUCGAAGACAAAGAUGUCAAGACCAACAUGAAGCAAUGAUUCAAUAUCUCCAAGAAGGGCAAUUGGAUUGUGAAGAUUGCGAUAGCUUAGUGUCCCCUCUUCCUCUUCCCGACUAUGCUUGAAUCUCGGGACGAGAUUCUUGUUUCGUGGGGGUGAGUUGUCACAGCCCAAGUUUGCCUUGCUUGCCAUUGCAUUUCAUGCAUGCAUUCAAAUUGCAUUGAAUCUGAAAAUGGGAAGUGAUCAAGCCCAAAUGAGUUGAAAUUUGACAAAAAGGCAAUAAAAAUAAUACCUUAAAAGGAACCAGGAAAAUGUUCCAAAUAUUUGGGAAAAUAGUGACAGGGAAUAAAUUUGUCAAACCAAAAUUUUAAUUCACAAGAACAUUUUGAAAAGGAUUUUUGAUUUGAUCAAAUAACUGUUUGGAAUGGAGUUAUUUUGUUCUCCUUUAAAAUAAAAGUUUCAAAAAUGGUGAAACUAUUAUGUGGCAUUGAUUAUAUUUAUCUGUGUCAUAUAACACUAAUUUAGGGUUUUAUAAAAUAAUUAAACAUUUUAUUUUAAAACCUAAACCUAAAUGCCAGAAAGAAAUAAAACAAAAAUAGGAAAAGAGAGAGAUAGAAUUUACAUGACGCUUACCUCCAGGCCCAGCCCAUCAGGGGGGCACCCCUGUCUUCUUCCUCCUGCCAGAAGGCAGAGGAGAAGCAGAGGACAGUGAGCUCACGGGAGCGCCACGCCUCCUGCCUGCCUGGCCUCCUCGCCGAUUUGGUGAGCGGGAUAGGCUCAGAGGAGCCGUCCCCAUCGAGCCAGCCUCCCUAUUUCCCCCUGCUUUCCUCCUCGCCUCUGCUCGCCAGGACCGAGCCGCCAUGACCAAGCCGCCGUNNNNNNNNNNNNNNNNNNNNNNNNNNNNNNNNNNNNNNNNNNNNNNNNNNNNNNNNNNNNNNNNNNNNNNNNNNNNNNNNNNNNNNNNNNNNNNNNNNNNNNNNNNNNNNNNNNNNNNNNNNNNNNNNCAUGACCAAGCCGCCGUCAACCGCGUAGCCUCGGGCUUCCCCUCGCCUCCCCGAGAAGACCGGAGGGACCCCCUCGUCGCCUUGCUCCUUCUCGCCACUGGAAUCAGGUCCGGGAGCCACGGAGCGCCGCCAUCGCCGUCGUUCCCUUCACCUCCGGCCGCCGGACCUUCCUCGUCGAUUCGCCCCCUCCGGUGCAUCCUCAAGCCUGCCGUCAGCACAAUCAGAACCCCUGUGAGCCAUAGAUUUCGUUUCCUCUUUCCCCGUUGAUGUUCCCCUCCUCUAGCGUGGUAGCCACCAGAGCCGAGAGCUCCUCGUCGCCGGCCAUGUCGUCAUCGUCGCUGUGGUACCCCAUCCACGCGCUCGAGCUUGGGAUAGAGCUCCUGGAGCUCUGUGGAUGAUGUCAAGCCCCUCACCUGCCCUUCCCGUGCCCUGCAGCCACCACCCGCACAAGGCCGAGCUCCGGCCGCCGCCUCUGCUGUCGUUGCCGUCAGCUCUGGCCACCCCAGUGCCUCAAACCCGUCGGAAUGGAUGCGGCGCUUUGCCAGCUUCCCGUAGAACCCAACCGCAUGCCAAAUAGUGCCCCAUAGCGCAAUUUCGGCCAACUCCAGCGAGCCUCCGUCGCGGUUUUGGUCGCCACCGGCCACAUUCCGAUGAGCGUCGACGUGGCUUGGUGAUUAGCGCCUAAUGAGCCCCCCCAGUCACUGACAGAGGGCCCCACAUGGGGUCAAAGCCUGGUUAGCCUCAAGUUUGACCGGGGAUUAGCUCUGUGUCACUGAUCAGUGGGCCCUGACUGUCACGUUUGACCUGACCCAGGCCAGUUGACGUGAUGACGCAAUGAUGACGCAGUGUUGACGCAGUAAAUACUAAUUCUGUAUUAUUAUAAAUCUAGAAAAUGCCUAAAACUUCAAAAAAUCAUAGAAAAUAUUUUGUAAGUCCAAUGAAAAUAAUUUAUAUAUGAAAAAUGAUCAAAAAAAUCCAAAUAAUCUGAUUAUGGCAUUUUCAUGCUAGUUUGAGAAAGUUAACAUCACCAAAUAGGCAAAAUGAUGAUUAGGAUACAUUUAAUAAAUAGCUUGGAGUUGGCAUUUGAUACCUAUUUGAAUUCCACUUCAAUUACUAUGACCAAACAAUGAUCUAGGAAACUCAGCACCCCAAUAUGCCAUCUUCGUGCAUGCUCAAACAAGUUGUACCUGAGCAUCAGGUCGAAUCAAUUAAAAGGGUAUCCAGAAAAUACCUUGCUUGAAGUGGUAUUUGAAUUCUAAUUCAAAUCCAGCUUCAACCUAAGAAAUGGUAGCUAUAUUGGCCCUGCCACAUUUCAUUUCUAUUUCUUGAUCAUGCAUCAUAGUGUUGCAUUUCCUUGAAGUAAUUAUUGUCCCUUUCUUGUUUGCCGGUGCUAUUCCCUCUCGGUAGACGAUGGUUCCGAUGAUGUGAUCAUUGACAUUGAUGAAGACUCAUUGCUAUCUUCAGACGUGUCAGGCAAGCAAACCCCCUUGAGCAUACUGAUAUAAACCCACUUUUCGCUCCUGCUCUCUUUUAUUGCAUUAGGAUAAACACGAUGCAACUGUUACAUGUUGUAGGUAGUGGAACCCAUUCCUGUGCAUGACCUGAUUUUGCCACAGUAAAUAGUUGAAACCACUUAGCAUGAGUAGCAACUGCUUGAGCCUUGUUGUGCUUACUCAUUCAUGCUUGCUUACUGUGCCUGCUAUGCUUAGAGUCGUGUCGGUCUGAUCCAUCUGGAUGAUGAAUCGGAAUGGUUGAGUUAUGUCCUACAACGUGAGAGUAAAAGUGUGAAUCCGAUUUGGUAAAGGUAGCGAUGAGAGGCCAUGUAGGAGUACAUGGUGGGUUGUCUCAUUAGGAUCGUCCUUAAGAACUGAGUUCUGUGUAUGUUAUCCAAGACAAGAUACUACCACACAUUGGGAUACUUAAUUUACCCUCUUGGCUUAUUAAUCGCCUAGAUCUCUGUCCAGGAGUUGCAACUAGUUUCUGGUGUUUGUAGGAAAAGUGUUGGCGGCCGUGUUUAGCUCUGCCCGACGGGGUAGGCUUCUUUGCGGUAGAUACACAGUGGCAUGGUGUACCAAGUGGCACCCGGAUGGUGGGCUUGGGAACCCUGCGCACAUCGUUUGGGGCCGUAGAGGAAACCUCGCCCGGACUUCCUUGCGGGUUCAGUCUCAAAUAGGCGAUAAACCUGGACCAGGGUCUUGUGUGGUUAACGGUCGUGGCCGUCACCCACGCCAGUGCUUCCGCUUGAAGGUUGCCGAGAUGCAUGACGUGCAUAUGGUGCUAAGUGGUGAGAGCAUGUGUGAAGAAGUAUAACCCUGCAGGGUGAAUCAAUCUGUUCGAAUAGCCGCGUCCUCAGAUAUGGACUACUUGGAAACAUUACGUGGUACAUAGACAACUUAAAUGGAUACUCUAAAAUAUGCAAGAUAAGCGUGAGUGCUAUGGAUGUACCGCUUGGGUUUAUAAUUAGUCAUGUCGACCCGGGUUCUUUGUCGUUUGAACGCUAGCAACAUAUUCAUAUACGUGAGCCAAAAGACGCAAACGGUCCCGACCAAGGUAAGGUGGCAGCCAUGGAGUUUACCGUGCGUGAGGCCGCAAAGUGAUGUGAUGUGUUGCAGGCUGGGUUCUUAUGACUCAGGAUCGGGGUCCCGACACAUCCGUGUGGUGGUCAUGGUGCAAAGACCACCGGACCUCGACACAGCGUGCGCUAGCUCCGCUUCAAGAGGUGGUCGUGAAUGGUGAUCGGUCAGAGAGUCCGCUCCAACCAGCGGCGCGCCCUUCGGACACCACGACUCGAGUGCCCAACGUGUUGCUUCUUCCACCACCGCCCCCACGGGUGACACCUCCCGCUGGGGCGACUGACCGCCGCGGGACAGAGGCGGCAAGAGCAGAAGCAUCCAAGGUCAAAAUACUUUGGGACUACCGAAGUGCACGGGGACUCUGUUUCAAGUGUGGAGAACGAUGGGGGCACGAUCACACCUACCCCACAUCCGUGCAACUCCACGUCGUUUAGGAUCUCGUGGAGCUGUUCAACAUCGACACCCCGAAGGACCAAGGCGCUAGCCUCGAGGAAGAUCCACCACCAUGUGUUGUCAUGACGAUCUCCCAAUCGUUCCUGACAGGCGGCGUGUCACCACACGCAUUCCAGCUCCGUGCCUAGAUUCAAUGGCGCAAGGUGUUGAUGUUGGUCGACUCUAGCAGCUCCACAUCAUUCAUCAAUGACCGUCUGGAAGCCAACAUCGCUGGAGUCCGGCCUCUGCCACGAGAGUACAAGGUGCGCGUGGCCGACAUCGGGGAACUCAUCUGCUCCGCAAGCGUCCCAAACUGUAACUGUUGCUCGCAUGAGCAUCAGUUCUACACGGACAUGAAAGUACUCCCUCUCGACUUCUACGACGCCAUCCUGGAAAUGGACUGGCUACAGGAGCACAAUCUGAUGACGGUGGACUAGUGAUGUCUGCUAGAACUAUGUUUGUAUUUCCCCAAAGAGGAAGGGAUGAUGCAGUAUAGCGACGGUAGGUAUUACCCUCAGUGAUGAGACCAAGGUUAUCGAACCAGUAGGAGAACCUCCUCACACCACGAAAACAACACCUGCACACAAAUAACAACUACUCGCAACCCGACGUAUUAAAGGGGUUGUCAAUCCCUCCUCGGCAACGACGUCGGAAAUUGGCACGUUGGCGGGAGACUAUCUUGACUCGAUCUUCCCCGGCAAUGGCGUCAGAAAUUCCUUUUAGGUACGACGCCUCAAGAUAGGCAAAUAACAUGAGGUAAAAGUGGUAGAUAGGAUAAAUAGACCGCGGAACAAAUAAAUUGCAGCAACUUAUUUUUAUAUUUUUGGCUUAACAGAUCUGAAAAUAAAAGCAAAGGAAAAUAGAUCGCAAAGGCAAAUAUGAUGAAAAGAGACCCCGGGGCCGUAGGUUUCACUAAUGGCUUCUCUCGAGAAAAAUUGCAAACGGUGGGAAAACAAUUACUGUUGGGAAAUUGAUCGAAUUUCAAAUAAUCAUGACGAUGUCCAAGCAAUAAUCAUUAUAUAGGCAUCACGUCCGAGAUUGGUAUACCGACUCCUGCCUGCAUCUAUUAUUAUUACUCCACAUAUCGACCGCUAUCCAGCAUGCAUCUAGUGUAUUAAGUUCAUGGAAAAACGGAGUAAUGCACUAAGAACGAUGACAUGAUGUAGACAAAGUCUAUUUAUGUAGAAAUAGAACCCAUAUGCUAUCCUUAAUAGCAACGAUACAUACAUGUCGUUUCCCUUUCUAUCACUGGGAUCAAGCACCGUAAGAUCGCACCCAUCACAAAGCACCUCUUCCAAUUGCAAGAUAAAUAGAUCAAGUUGGCCAAACAAAACUUAAAUAUCGGAGAAGAAAUACGAGGCUAUAAUCAAUCAUGCAUAUAAGAGAUCAAAGAACACUCAAAUAAAUUUCAUGGAUAAAAACAUAGAUUUGAUCAUAAACUCAAAUUUCAUCAGAUCCCAACAAACACAGUGCAAAAAGACAUACAUCAUAUGGAUCUCCAAGAGACCAUUGUAUUGAUAAUCAAGAGAGAGAGAGGAAGCCAUCUAGCAACUAACUACGGACCCGUAGAUCUACAAAGAACUACUCACGCAUCAUCGGAGAGGCACCAAUGGAUAUGAUGAACCACUCUGUGAUGGUGUCUAGAUUGGAUCUGGUGUUUCUGGACUCUGUGGCAGCUGGAAUUGAUUUUCGUCCCCCUCCUUAGGGUUUCUAGAAUAUUGGGGUAUUUAUAGAGCAAAGAGGCGGUGCGGGAGGCCACCGAGGAGAGCACAACCCACCGGGGCGCGCCUGGGCCCCAAGCGCGCCCGGGCCCCAAGCGCGCCCUGGUGGGUUGUGCUCCCAUCGGAGAUCCCCUCAGGUGCGUUCCUAGCCCACUGGAUGUAUUCUGGCCCAAAACAAAUCCACAAAAAGUUUCACUUCAUUUGGACUGAGUUUGGUAUUGAUUUCCUGUGAUGUAAAAAACAUGAAGAAAAUAGCAACUUGGAUAAAAUAAUAUAGAUACAUUGGAGAAUAAUAUAGUUAGAUAAUAUAGAAUGAAUAUAAAAUGAUUGUAAACCAUCCAAGAAUGAUAAAUAACAACAUGGAACAAUCAAAAAUUAUAGAUACGUUGGAGACGUAUUAGCAUCCCCAAGCUUAAUUCCUGCUCGUCCUCGAGUAGGUAAAUGACAAAACAUAAUUUUUGAUGUGGAAUGCUGCCUAACGUGUUCAUCACAUUUCUUUUGUUUAUAGCAUGGACAUUUGUACUUUUAUAUGGUUCAAAGCAAUAGUCUAGUUUUGACAUCAAGACUUUAAUACUCAAGCAUACCAACAAGCAACCAUGUCUUUCAAAAUACCAACACCAAAGCAAGUUAUCCCUAGCCCAUUAUGCUCAAUCAUUGAUCCAUUCAUGAAACACAUUCGAAUAUUAGCUACACCCAAUGCUCAAAUACGAUCAUAGUGCCCCUUAGUUGGUGCUUUAUGAGAGAAGAUGGAGACUCAAAUUCAAAAUAAAUUUUUCAUAAGUAAAAGAAAGGCCCUUCGUAGAGGGAAGUAGGGAUUUGUAGAGGUGCUAGAGCUCAUAGCGAAAAUUGAGAGAUAAAAACAUUUUGGGAGGCAUACUUUUCCCACCAACGAAAAUGACUUAGGGCUCCCAACACUUUCCAUGCUAGAUACAUCAUAGGCGGUUCCCAAACAGAAAAUAAAGUUUAUUUUUUUUUCCACCAUUACUUUCACUUUCCAUGGCUUGUCCGUAUCCAUGGGUGCACUCCAUACCAACACUUUCCAAGGAAUUUAUUAUUUGACAACAAAAAGUAAAUUGAUUUUUUUCAUUUCGGGACUGGGCAUCCCUAAUACCUUUGUCGUACUCUCGUGCAAUGACAAGUGAAUAAACAUUCAUCGUGAGAAUAACACAUCUAGCAUGGAAAAUAUUGGCCACCCCUCACCACCUCGCGAGCGGUAAAGCACACAAAAGAGAAAUUUAUUUUAAAAAUUAGAGAUGGCACAUGCAAAUUUGCUUAGAAAGACAUGGAAAUACCGCAUACAGGUAGGUAUAGUGUACUCAUAUGGAAAAACUAGUUUAAAGGGUUUUGGAUGCAGAAGUAGUGAUCAUACUUAGUGCAAAAUGAAGGGUAGCAAAAAGAUUGAGUAGCGACCAACCAAGAAAAGAAAAAUCGCGCACCCAAGCAUUAAGCAUAAGAAACACCGAAUAAUGCACCACAAGUAGGAUAUAAAUUUCAUUGCAUAACUAUUUACUUUCGUUCUUGCAUAGGGAAUCACAAACCUUAACAUCAAUAUUCUUACUAAAGCACAAUUACUCAUCAACAUGACUCACAUAUCAUAUCAUCAUAUCUCAAAACCAUUACUAAGAAUCAACUUUAUUUUAUCCGGUCAUCUUCAUGAAUUUUUUUAUUAUAUCCCCCUUGUAUAUUUAUAACUUUGGGACUAUUUUCAUAUGUUGCUUUUGAUAAGCUCAAACAAAUUUAACCGAAGAACAUGAGCAUAAUUUUUCUUUCUCUCAAAAUAAUCUAAGUGAAGCAAGAGAGAAUUUCUUAAAAAAAUUACCCCAAAUAAAUCUAAGUGAAGCAUGAGAGCAUUUCUUCAAAAAUAAUAAAGCACACCGUGCUCAAAAAGAUAUAAGUGAAGUACUAGAGCAAAUCCAUGGCUCUAAAAGUUUAAGUGAAGCAUAGGAGCAAGCAUAGCAUAAUUUUUGGCUCUCUCAAAAAGGUGUGUCCAGCAAGGAUUCAAUACUUAAAACACAAAGCAAAACAAGCAAAGUCUCAUGUCAUACAAGACGCUCCAAGCAAAAAUCAUAAUAUGUGACGAAUAAAAAUAUAGUUUCAAGUAAAAUACCGAUGGUUGUUAGAAGAAAGAGGGGAUGCCACUCGGGGGCAUCCCCAAGAUUAGUUGCUUGCUACUUCUUCAAUAUUAUCUUGGGGUACCUCAGGCAUCCCCAAGCUUACCUUUUUCUAAUCCUUGUUCCUUCAUCCAAUGUAAGAUCACCCAAAACUUGAAAACUUCAAUCACACAAAACUCAACAAAACCUUCGCGAGAUCCAUUAGUAUAAGAAAGCAAACCACUACUAUAAGUAUUGUUGCAAACCUAUUCAUAUUUUAUUUUUCAUUAUAUCUACUGUAUUCCAACUUUUCUAUGGCAAACACUCAUCAAAGAAAACAAUAGAAUCAUCAAAGCAAGCACUCAACGCAAAUAAAACAGAAUCUGUCAAAAAUAGAACAGACUGUAGCAAUCUGACUACUUCGAAUACUUCUGUAACUCCAACAAUUCUGAACAACUAGGAUGACCUGAAUAACUUGUUUAUUAAUCUUCUGAAAAAACAAUCAACUCAAAAGCACUCUUCUGUUAAAAAUUUAAAAUAAUUUUGUGAGCGAAAAAGUUUCUGUUUUUCAGCAAGAUCAAAUCAACUUUCACCCAAAUCAUCCUAAAGGCCUUGCUUGGUGAUGUCUACGCACGCUUCUAUUCUUGUAGACUAUGUUGGGCCUCCAAGUGCAGAGGUUUGUAGGUCCUUAAGUGGAUGACCUAAGGUUUAUCGAACUCAGGGAAGUAGAGGUUGAAGAUCGUCUAUCUCAAGCAACCCUGCAAUUGAGAAACAAGAAGUCUCUUGUGUCCCCAACACACCUAAUAGAAUGGUAAAUUGUAUAGGUGCACUAGUUCGGCGAAGAGAUGGUAAAAUAUGGGUGGUAGGUGUUGCAAGGCAAGGUAAUAUAAAUCUGUAAUAAAAAUAGCAGCAAGGUAGCAAGUGACAAAAGUGAGCAUAAACGGUGUAAGAAUGGUGGCAAACAAGGCCUAGGCUUCAUACUUUCACUAGUGGCAACUCCCAACAACAUUAACAUAAUAUAAUCACAUGAUAUUUCCACUAAAACAUGCAAUGGAGACGUACUUGGAGGUCAUUCCUUUGUGAUCAAGAGAGGACGAGAAUUAUGUAAGGCUUCAAAAGCACACCUCAGAGUUCGUAGUUCUCAUCUAUGGAUUUCCCAAUGUUACCGCGGCCAUCCAAAGAGAGUACCCCAAUCACCACAACAUAUCUCAAGGAUAGUCAAACACAAGCACCAAGAGACUCUCAAUCUUCAAUCAAUUCACAAAAGAGGAAAUCACUCAUGGAAAUAUUCUUCUAAUCCAUGUCCAAUAGACCGCUAUCACCAUUGUCUCGGGGAUUAUACUAGAUAAGAUCAAGUAAGUACAUCAAUCCAAUACAUAGAAGAAGGGGAAACAUCAUGGGAUUACCCUAUAUUAACAUAGCCUAUGAUCGCAAUCAAGAUCACAUCAUGGGAGAGAGAGAUGACCACAUAGCUACGGUAUAAGGCCUCAACCCCGAGGAGGAACUACUCCCGCUUCAUGGAGGGAGGAAGCAACAUCGAUGGAGAUGAAUCCGAGGGGCACUUCCCCGUUCUGACUGUGUGCCGGCACAAGAAUUCUUUCCCCCGAAACUUGUCGGCGGUGGCGUUGGAGAUCGGAAUUGCUUCUGGAGAAAAGUGGUCUGGAAUCAGCGUUUCCUCCACGGGGGUGAAAAUAGGAGCCAAAGUAGGGCACCAGAGGAGGUGGGGCCCGCCCAGGCGGCCUGCUGGCGCGGCCAAGGGGUAGGCCACGCUAGGAGGUCACGUGGACGACCCCUAGCCCCCCUCUGGCCCAUCUUCGGUGAUCUGGAAGCUUCUGGUAUGCUGAUUUUUAUAUAUUUUUCUCGGGAUUUUUGGGGCUUCGGAAAAUUGGGUAAAAGCCCUUGCAAAAAGACAUCAACAGGCAGAAACUGGCACUGUAUGCACUAAGUUAGUAGGUUAGUCCAAAUAUGUGUAAAAUGAUAUAAAAUUGUAGCAAAACAUAUAACAAUGUCACCCAAAAGAUUAUGGAACAAGCAGAAAUUAUAGAUACGUUUGGGACGUAUCAACAUCCCCAAGCUUAAUUCCUGCUCGUCCUCGAGUAGGUAAAUGAUAACACAAUAAUUUCCGUGGUGACAUGCUAACACACAUAUAAUAACUUCAAAGUAAAGCAAGUGAGAUAUGCAAUUCAAGCCAAGACAAUAACAAGCAAUAGUCUAUAUCUAGUAUUGAAUUUAGCAAAGUAAGAACAUAAAGGUGCAAGAGCUCUCGCUGUCCGUGACUCGAAUGUAUCCAAAUGGUGUUUGCGUGCAAGAAGUGGGAGAAGGAUUGAGAUCAUAAAAUGUUUUUUAAUUGAGAACUCAAUCUACUAAACCUCACACUUAGUCUCCUUCAGAAUCUUAUUUUAACUCAUCCCCAGACCACUUGUCAGGCACAAGUCAAAAUGAUCCUCUCCCUUUCGAUUUUGAGCACUCAUGCAAUGGAUGAGCGUAAGCAAGAUAUGUUGGCACUUAGGAUGGAAAAUACAAUAAUGAUGGGGAAGGACGACAAAAAGGUGUGAAAGGCUCAUAUCAAUGAGGACAACCAUAGGCGAGAGAAAGCCAAAUGAUGGAUAUGAUGUGAGGAGUAGGGGUUGCCAUGUAAUGGAUGCACAUAUGAGCUAAGGUAAGCUCUCCAAUGGAACUAGUGGGGGUGCAUCCUACUUGUAUUCUCAUGAAGACCUAGAGCUCAUUUGAGGAGGCUCAUCAUUGGAAUAUGCAAACCAAGUUCUAUAGUGCAAGGGUCCCCACAUGGUUAUGCAUGAAUGAUAAUCUCUAUGUAGUACCAAUAUAGCAAUGGAGUACAAGUGUGGAUCUUUCAAAAGGAAUAGUAGUGUUGCCCCCUUCUAUCUUUUUAUUUAUUUUUCUUUAUUUUUAUUUUUAUUUUUUUGUGGCCUCUUUGGCUCUUUCUUUUUAUCUCUCAUUUGUCCUCUUUGGGAUCUUUUGUUUUGUCCACUUUGGGAUCUUUUCCUCUCUUAAGUGCAACAAUCUAUGUUUUAGAUGAAUAAAAAUAAAAAUCAUCACACUUUAUAAGAAGUACUCAACAUAAAGACAAGUGAAAACUAUCAUGAUGUAUGCAAAUGUAUGCCUCUGCCAAUGUAGUGGGAUAUGCAAUGAUACUAGCGCGUCAUGUAGCAGUAAUGAGGGCAAGGCCCAACUAGCAUGCAGCUCUAUGAUCAAGCAAAAUCAUGUAUGACAUGAAUAUCAAGUCAUGAGAUGGUGGAUAUUGCAUGGCAAUGUAUCUUGAAAAGGCCAUGGAAAUGCCUUAAUAGCUAGGUAUGGUGGCUGUUUUGAGGAAAGAUAUAAUGAGGCUUAUGUAUGACAGAGCGUAUCAUGUCAUGGGUUUGGAUGCACCGGCGGAGUUUGCACCAACUCUCAAUGUGAGAAAGGGCAAUGAACGGUACCGAAGAAGCUAGCAAAAUAUGGAUGGUGGAAGUGCCAACAAUCGAAUACUCACAUUAGUCCGAAGAACUCAUGCACUUAUUAUCGGUAACUCUCUAUCUACUUAGGAGAUUCACAAAGAGACAAGUACCCCGAGGAGGAGUGUUUGGGUGUUUGGUUAUCCUUGCGCAUCCUCGACUCAUGGUAAUGUGAGGGUACUCUAUAUAUUUCAAUCCAGAGGUUAGCGAUCAAUUUAGUAGCUAGAGUUCUCAACUAAUUUUUAGUUUUUGAAAAAACAUACAGAUUUCCCAAAAUACGACACCUAUCACUAAUAAUCUCAAGCUCUUGGCACCAAUAGUCCAAACAUUACUCAAAUCAAUACCUCAAAACUAUUGCAAGUUACUACUGUACUUAAAUAGCAAUCUCAAUUACCUACUCAUGCAAGAAACACAACUCAGUGCAACGAGCCAACUCUCUAAACAAGAUAAGCAUGAUAACUCAAGAGAGUUCCAGAAACAACCAAAAUAAAAGAUUUUAAAAAGAUAAGCAUGAAAACUAAGAGCUAAGCAUGGCAGUAGCUACGAAAAGAUGAAGAACACACAAAAAUAUAAGCAUGAAAACCUAUGUUGUGUUCUAGAGUGGAAUGGAGCGUGUCUAUCUCCCAAACAAUGUAGGCUAGGUUCCGACUUAUUAUGAACAGCAAGCAAAACUAAAACGAACUAAAAAGCAAAUAGUGGGACGCUCCAAGCAUAGCACAUAUCAUAUGAAGUGAUAAAAAUAUAGCAUGGAGAUGGACGAACUGAUGAUUGUUGAUAGAGAAGGGGAUGCACGGGGGCAUCCCUAAGCUUAGACGCUUGAGUCUACUUGAAUAUUUCUUGGGGUGCAUGGGGGCAUCCCCAAGCUUCAGUGCUAGACGUUCCUAUAUCUUCUUUCAUCAUCUCUCCCAUCGCAUACUUGAAAACUCCCUUCAUACGAAACUCAUCAUAAGCUGAUUAGAGUGGUUAGUACCGUUAAUAAAAUAAUUCAUUACCAGUUGGAAAUAGAGUUUUUCUUGAAAAUCUACUGCUUCUCAUGAUUUUCAAAAGAUUUUUGCAAAUAAAAAAUCAAGCUUAGGAUUCGAAACAAUGAAAACACAAAACUUGGUAGAAUUUGUGAAAAACGGAACAAGAGGUAGUAAAUAAUUUUUUUGGGGCACUUCUGCAACUCAAAUAAAAAAACUCAGACCAUACGCUGGAAAUUCAAUUAUAUAGACCAUACUAUCAAAAUUCUUAAGAUCAAAAAGAUGUCCUGGUGAUUUUUGGCGAAUUUUUCCGUCAAGCAGACAUAAUCUGUUUCUGGACAGCAUGUCACAACUUUUGAACUUUCUUGCCAUCGGAGGCUAAAACUUGGCACAAAGCUUGAAAAUAAAGAUACAAUGAUGUUGCUACAGUAGUAAAAAACAUCAAGACCACUAAAACUGAAAGUAAAAGCAAAUUGGGUUGCCUUCCUAGAGCUCUUUCUUUAUAGCCAUAAAGAUAGGCUUAAGGUUUUAAUGAUGCUCUCGUAGGAAUAAGAGUUGUAGAACAAAAGAGAGCAUCAAGAAGCAAAUAUCAAACAUAUUUAAGUCUAACAUGCUUCCUAUGCGUAGGAAUAUUGCAAUAGAAUAAUUUAUUGAAGCACAAAGCAAUAAGCAUAGGAAGGCAAAACAAGUGCACCUUCAAAACCUUCAACAUAAAGAGAUGGAACUUGAUAUUAUUGAAAUAUCUAUAAGCAUAUGUUCCCUUAUCAUAAUAAUUUUCAGUGGGACCAUGAAUAAACUCAACAAUAUAAGUAUCACAUAAAGCAUUGUUUCCAUGAUCCACAUGCAAAAAUGUACUCUUACUCUCCACAUAAGCAUAAUCUUUCUCAUUGGUAAUAGUGGGAGUAGGACUAUCAUAAAUAACCUGAACACUAUAGAUUAACUGUGUAUUGGGAAGAUGGUGUUCAGCAAGGGGGUAAUUCCCUCCAUGAUUAUGACAAGUUUGAUAUGGAUAAUUUCUACUUAUGUCAUAGUUAUCUUUACAAUCACUAUAGAUAGGAGUUAUAAUAUCAUCAUGGUAGAGAAGAGCAUUAUUAUUGCUAACAACUAUAUUUGUAAACAUGUUGUCUUUAUUCUUACUAGCAAAAGAAUUAUCAAUUAUCACAUCACUAAUGGGUAAGGGUCUUGCAAUCCUAUCAUCCCCAUGCUUAGAGCUUUCCAUAUCAUCAUUUUCAAAGUUGGUACCAAAAAUAUUUUCAAGAUCAUAAGUAGCAUUAUCAUCAUCUUCCCAAUCACUAUAAGUAACAUGUAUACCAUAAUCAAAAUCAUCUUCAAUGGUACCUACGGACUUAUCAUCAAGAUAAUAACAAUCAAGCUCACCAUCCUCCAUAAAUUUAUGUCUAUCAUGAUAAAAGUUGAUGCGAGGAAUAUGCUUAGGCCAGGUUGAUACCCAUUCUUCUUCCUUCUUGUUCCUCUUCCUCCUCUUCUUUUUCUUCUUCUUCACCUUAGGAGGGAGUGGUUGGAGAGGAAGCUUCUCCAAAUAUUCUGGUUUAUCAUUAGAAACAAUAGGGGAAACUUGGGAGAAACUCUCCUUUUUAUUAGUGGAAACAUAAGAGACAUUUUUAUGCUUUGGUAAAGUUCCCUCCUUUCUAAUCUUACUUAUGUAAUCAUUUUCAUGGCAAUUAACACCGCAAUAGAGAUGUCAUUUUUGCAAAGUUUUGUUUAUUCCUAAGGCAUUAUCAUCUAGCCAAGAAGUUUUUUCUGAUAACUCUUCACACAUCAAAAAUAACAUAAGUUCAUCAUAAAGAUCAAAAGUGAUCAUGUUAUCACACAACUAGUUAAAAGUUAUGUUUUGAAAGUUCAUGCAUUGAAAAUUAAAGUGACACUCUAUACCACAAAGUUCACAAGUAAAAGGAUAAAGGUCACAUAAUUCUCUAGAAAUUUCAUUUAAAUCUCUAACCCAAGUGAUUGUUCUUUCAUGCUUAUGUUUCUUACAGUACUUCUCUUCUUCAAUCAUAGGCCUUUCACAAGGUCUAUCCACUCCACAAAAAUUAACAUGCUUAUAUAAAACUUCAUUUUUAGGAAUUGGAUCAUGCAUGUUGCAAUCAUCAUUAACAAUUGCAUCUUCUUUGCAAAUCUCUUUAAAAGGUUCAUGAUGCUUGAUCCAAUUCUAUUUAUGCAUAUUAAGAUGUGAAGCAAAAGAUUUGAGGAAAUCAACAAGGAGUUGAGAAUCAAGCCCAAACAUAGCACUAAACUUAUUAAAACUUGUAGUUUCAACAAAGGUCUUAAUGCAAUCAUACUCAUAAUUUAUACCUCACUGUUUACCUUUUUUGAUCUCCCAAUCUUCAGUAUUGGGUUGAAUUAUUUCAAGGAGUUCCCAUUUAGCAACAAUCAUUUCAUUUGUGAAAGAACCCAUAGAGGAAGCAUCGAGAAAGUCUUUAUCCCGUCGAGAGAGCCUAGCAUAGAAAUUAGUACUAAUCGUAUCUUUGGGGAGCCCACGGUUAGGAUAUUUUAGCAUUAAAGUUUUCAGUCUCCCCCAAGCUUGAGCUCUCUCUCCGUCAUGAAGAUAGAAAUUAUAAACAAAAUUCCUAUUCUCAUGGACUUCAUUAAGAGGAUAAAACUUGGAGUAAAAGAGAGACUGGAUCUCUACCCAAUCCCGUAGGUGAGAAUCAUCUAGUAGCCUAUACCAUUCCAAUGCUUUUCCUUUCAUUAACAAGGCAAAUAAUUUCCUCAUGACUCCAUCUCUUGUCAAACCUGAAAUCUUAAACAACUCACAAAGUUCUGUAAGUUUCAACAAAUAAUCACUAGGAUGGACUGUUCCAUCAUAACAAUCCUUCCUAAUUAUUUCAAUUAUCCCUAGUGGUAUUUUGAAUGGGAUACAUUCAGUAGGUGGAGGAGACUUCUCUACCACGGGUGCGGUAAAGCGGCCUUCCCCAAGCAGCGAACUAAGAGUACAUUUUUCCAUAAGCCUAACUAGUGAAAACAAGAAACGAAAAGAUUUAAAUGCAAGAUCUAAAGAUAUACCUUCAAGCACUCACCUCCCCAGCAACGGCGCCAGAAAUAGCUUGAUUUCUACGCAUGCUCCUAUUCUUCUAGACUAUGUUGGGCCUCCAAGCGCAGAGGUUUGCAGGACAACAACAAUUUCCCUCAAGUGGAUGACCUAAGGUUUAUCUAACUCAGGGAAGUAGAGGUUGAAGAUGGUAUCUCUCAAGCAACCCUGCAAUUGAGAAACAAGAAGUCUCUUGUGUCCCCAACACACCUAAUACAAUGGUAAAUUGUAUAGGUGCACUAGUUCGGCGAAGAGAUGGUAAAAUAUGGGUGAUAGGUGUGGCAAGGCAAGGUAAUAUCAAUAAGUAAAAAAAAUGGCAGCAAGAUAGCAAGUGACAAAAGUGAGCAUAAACGGUGUAAGAAUGGUGGGAAACAAGUCCUAGGCUUCAUACUUUCACUAGUGGCAGUUCCCAACAACAUUAACAUAAUCUAAUCACAUGAUAUUUCCACUAAAACAUGCAAUGGAGACGUACUUGGAGGUCAUUCCUUUGUGAUCAAAAGAGGACGAGAAUUAUGUAAGGCUACAAAAGAAGACCUCAGAGCUCAUAGUUCUCAUCUAUGGAUUUCCCAAUGUCACCGCGGCCAUCCAAAGAGAGUACCACAAUCACCACAACAUAUCUCAAGGAUAGUCAAACACAAGCACCAAGAGACUCUCAAUCUUCAAUCAAUUCACAAAAGAUGAAAUCACUCAUGAAAAUAUUCUUCUAAUCCAUGUCCAGUAGACCGCUGUCACCAUGGUCUCAGGGAUUAUACUAGAUAAGAUCAAGUAAGUAAAUCAAUCCAAUACAUAGAAGAAGGGGAAACAUCAUGGGAUCACCCUAGAUUAACAUAACAUAUGAUCACAAUCAACAUCACAUCAUGGGAGAGAGAUGACCACAUAGCUACGAUAGAAUGCCUCAGCCCCGAGGAGCAACUACUCCCGCUUCAUGGAGUGAGGAAGCAACGUCGAUGGAGAUGAAUUCGGGGGCACUUCACCAUCCCGACAGGUUGCUGACACAUGAAUUCUGUCUCCCGAAACUUGUUGGCGAUGGCGGCAGAGAUCGGAAUUGCUUCUCGAGAAAAGGGGUUUGGAAUCAGCGUUUCCUCCAUGGGGGUAAAAUAGGAGACAAAGUAGGGCACCACAGGAGGUGGGGCCCGCCCAGGUGGCCUGCUGGCACGACCAAGGGGUAGGCCGCGCUAGGAGGUCGCCUGGACGACCCCUGGCCCCCAUCUGGCCCAUCUUCGGUGAUCUGGAAGCUUAUGGUAUGCUGAUUUUUAUAUAUUUUUCUCAGGAUUUUUGGGGCUUCGGAAAAUUGGGCAAAAGCCCCUGCAAAAAAGACAUCAACAAACAGAAACUGGCAUUGGAUGCACUGAGUUAGUAGGUUAGUCCAAAUAUGUGUAAAAUGAUAUAAAAGUGUAGCAAAACAUAUAACAAUGUCACCCAAAAGAUCAUGGAACAAGAAGAAAUUAUAGAUACGUUUGGGACGUAUCACUUGGCACAAACCAUAAUUUAAACCACAAAAACACAUCUAACAAGAGGUAUAUUUGUGUAUUUUAUUGAAAACAGCAAGAAAACCGAAAAGCAAAAAGAUACAAGUUGGUUGCCUCCCAACAAGCGCUAUCUUUUUAUGCCCCUAUCUAGGCAUAACGCGUAGGAUCUAAGUGUUGUCCUCAGUAAUCUUUGCCACUUUAGUAAGGGUCUUUUCAAAUCUAGGAGGUUGUUUGCGCUUCCAUAAAUUUUCUGGAAAAGAAACCAUCUUGAGAUCUAAAAUAUCCAACUGUUUAUUGCAAAGGUUAAUCAAAGUGUUCAUACGAUUGCAAAGUGUUUAUUGCAAAGGUUAAUCAAAGUGUUUAUUGCAAAGGUUAAUCAAAGUGUUCAUACUACCAUUGAGAUGUUUGAUAGGUUCAUAAUAUUUUUGCAAUUCAACCAUAUGUUUAUGCAAAUCAGCAAGUUUGUCUGAAAUUUGGACUCCCUCUGAAAUGAAAGAGAACCCUUUCUUUUGUGGUGGAACUCCCAAAAUCCAUUCUAAAAUUUCAUAGGCAGCAUUAACAUCAAGCUCAAUAAAAUUCCCUUUCGCCGCAAAAUCCAAGAGUUGUAUAUGAUGCAAUGCCAAUCCUACGUAAAAUUUCUAAGCAAAAUUUUGGCAUCUCCCUUUAGAUUGCAAACACGGUAAGACACCAUAAGCCUAUACCAAGCAUCUUUAAAUUUUUCUCCUUGUCUUUGUUUGAAGAAUAGAACUUCAAAAUAUGGUAACAAAGGAGGAGUGUUCAAACUAGCCAUUGUGACGAGAAAACAAGAACGCGAAUAGAUCUGACGAGAAAAUGGCGAACGAAAAAGACGGCGAAUAAAACGACAAUUUUUUUUGAAGAACGAGGAGAGGAAAACGAGAGGCAAAUGGAAAAUAAUCUAAAUUGCGAGGAGAUGAGAUUUGUGAUUAGGAACCUGGUUGAUGUUGAAGAUCCUCCCCGGUAACGUCGCCAAAAAUUCCUUUUGAUGUUUGCUCGAACUACGUUGGUAUUUCCCCAAAGAGGAAGGGAUGAUGCAGUAUAGGGACGGUAGGUAUUUUCCUCAGUGAUGAGACCAAGGUUAUCGAACCAGUAGGAGAACCUCCUCACACCACGUAAAUAGAACCUGCACACAAAUAACAAAUACUCGCAACCCGACGUGUUAAAGGGGUUUUCAAUCCCUCCCCGACAACGGCGCCAGAAAUUGGCACGUUGGCGGGAGAUUAUCUUGACUUGAUCUUCCCCGGCAAUGGCGUCAGAAAUUCCUUUUGGGUACAACGCCUCAAGAUAGGCAAAUAACAUGAGGUAAAAGUGGUAGAUAGGAUAAAUAAAUCACGGAACAAAUAAAUUGCAGCAAGGUAUUUUGGUAUUUUUGGUUUAACAGAUCUGAAAAUAAAAGCAAAGGAAAAUAGAUCGCAAAGGAAAAUAUGAUGAAAAGAGACCCGGGGGGCGUAGGUUUCACUAGUGGCUUCUGUCAAGAAAAAUAGCAAACGGUGGGAAAACAAUUACUGUUGGGCAAUUGAUUGAACAUAAAAUAAUCAUGACGAUAUCCAGGCAAUGAUCAUUAUAUAGGCAUCAGUCCAAGAUUAGUAGAUCGACUCCUGCCUUCAUCUACUACUAUUACUCCACACAUCGACCGCUAUCCAGUAUGCAUCUAGUCUAUUAAGUUCAUGGAAAAACGGAGUAACGCACUAAGAACGAUGACAUGAUGUACACAAGAUCUAUUUAUGUAGAAAUAGACCCCAUCUUGUUAUCCUUAAUAUCAAUGCUAUAUACGCGUCAUUUCCCUUUUUGUCACUGGGAUCAAGCACCUUAAGAUCGAACCCAUCACAAAGCACCUCUUCCCAUUGCAAGAUAAAUAGAUCAAGUUGUCCAAACAAAACCCAAAUAUAGGAGAAGAAAUACGAGGCUAUAAUCAAUCACGCAUAUAAGAGAUCAAAGAAGACUCAAGUAACUUUCACGGAUAAAAAUAUAGAUAUGAUCAUAAACUCAAAGUUCACCGGAUCCCAACAAACACACCGCAAAAAGACUUACUUCAUAUGGAUCUCCAAGAGACCAUUGUAUUGAUAAUCAAGAGAGAGAGAGAGAGAGAGGAAGCCAUCUAGCUACUAACUACGGACCCGUAGGUCUACAAAGAACUACUCACGCAUCAUUGGAGAGGCACCAAUGGACAUGAUGAACCCCUCCAUGGUGGUGUCUAGAUUGGAUCUCGUGUUCCUGGACUCUGCGGCGGCUGGAAUUGAUUUUCGUCCCCCCGCCUUAGGGUUUCUGUAAUAUUGGGGUAUUUAUAGAGCAAAAAGGCGGUGCGGGAGGCCACCGAGGAGGGCACAACCCACAGUGGCGCGCCUAGGCCCCCAGGUGCGCCCUGGUGGGUUGUGCUCCCAUCGGAGCUCCCUUGAGGUGCGUUCCUGGCCCACAGGAUGUCUUCUGGCCCAAAAGGAAUCCACAAAAAGUUUCACUGCGUUUGGACUCUGUGUGGUAUUGAUUUAGUGCGAUGUAAAAUACAUGCAGAAAACAACAACAUGCACUGGGCACUAUGUCAAUAGGUUAGUACCAAAAAUGUUAUAAAAUGACUAUAAAAUGAUUGUAAAACAUCCAAGAAUGAUAAUAUAACAACAUGGAACAAUCAAAAAUUAUAGAUACGUUGAAGACGUAUCAACUAGCACGCCAAGCUCAUCGAGAUUCCCAUGCGUGACGACGUGAUCUCAUUAUGCGGACACAACAACUCUUCAUCGACUUGUAUCAUCAUCAACGCCCUGCAGCUACAAAGUCUCUGGUGAAAGGUGUAGUUAGACACAUCGCGCAUAUCUGCACGGUCACUCCGGAAGACGACAACACCACCCCCAACUCCGCCCUGCAUCCAACAUGUCAUCGACGAGUUUGACGACUUCUUCCGUGAGCCCGUGGGCCUACCUCCACGACGCGCCUGUGAUAACUGCAUUCUUUUCAUCCCAGGGGCGCAACCGGUCAACAUACGAGCAUACCAACACAAGCCUGAUAUGGAGGACGAAAUCGAUCCCCAAGUCGCCGAACUGCUUCGCACAGGCAUCAUCCAAUGAAGUACCAACCCCUUCGCUUCACCAAUCAUUUUGGUCAAGAAGAAGGACGGAACAUGGUGUCUCUGCAUCAAAUACAGGCAGCUCAAUGUGCUCACAUGCGUCAGCAAGUACCUGGUGCCGGUGAUCAAGAAACUUCUCGACGAGCUACACGGUGCGGUUUGGUUUUCCAAGCUCGACCUCCGUGCUGGUUAUCACCAGAUUCGCCUGGCUAAAGGGGAGGAUUACAAGUGGGCGUUCCAAGCACACUUGAAGCACUUCGAGUUCAUAGUGGUGUCACUCGGACUCGCCUGGGCACCAUGCACAUUUCUGGGUGCCAUGAAUACCACACUACACACCCUACCGCGAGUGUGCAUCCUAGCCUUCUUCAACGACAUCUUGGGUGUUCAGGAAGACCCUCAAGGACCACGCGGGCAAUCUCUGGCAAGUACUGACACUGCUUCAUGAAGACCAGUGGCAGGUGAAGCUCUCCAAGUGUGCGUUCAGGCAACAGCGACUCUGGUACUUGCCUCACAUGAUCAGCAACCAGUGACCUGCCAUGGAGCAGACCAAGAUCAAGGCUAUUGCUCAAUGGACUACUCCAACUAAUGUCAAAGUAGUCCGGAGAUUCUGUUGAAAAAAUGAGCGAUUUAACAAGUGAUUUUACUAAUAGAAAUAAUAGAUAAACCACGACUACCAUAGCAAACAUAUGAUAGGUCAUCUAAUUAUAGAGAAAAUAUGGAAGUUGCAUUUGAAAAUAUGAACAUGAACGGAACAUAUCUAGAAAAGAAACUACAACAAGAAGUUGAGGCAUGAACUCGAACAAGAAGAAUACGAGAACGUACUGAAAUGCAGCUACAGUUGCAGCAAAAGUGGUGUUGUUGGUGGACAUGUUGUCGAAGAGCUGGUCGACGUCAGGGAAGAAGUCGUCGUCCGGGAAGAGGUCGUCGGUGUCCGUGAUGUAAGCCAGUAGUCACGCGGAGCGAUCCCCAAAAAGCAUAUCGCCCUUCUCUUGUACAUGACCCAAACGACGGAGUUUAGGAGGCAUACUGUCCCGACCUACGAUUCACGCCACAAGCCGGGAUGGGUAAGAACGUAGCAGCAGCACAGAGUUUGAAACCGGUGGUGAGAGGAAGUUCUGAUGCGUACCUCUAGAGAGGAGCGACCUCUCUUUUAUAGGCGAAAGAGAAGGAGGCGAGAGGCCAGCGACGGGAGCCGAAGAGAACGAGGGAGACGAAACGAACAGACAUCAGCCAAAGGGUGCAACGUUCGUGUUCAAUAUCCACUACAACAAAACGUUUAGCUUCCAAGUGACCUUUCGCGCAACCUGCGGCCCGUCGUGACGAGGCGAGGAGGGCGGCGGAGGAGGAGGAGUGCACGUCUAUGUCUCUCUUGUUUUCAUGCUCAUACAUAUGUGGAAACAUCCUCCUUAUAAGAGGUCCAACUCCCACAAACUAGCAAUGUGGGACCAAACGUUUUCACCUCUUGCCUUGCACAAAUGGGUUGCAUGGGCCUGUAGGAUUUAUUAGGAAUUUCUGAAAUUGUAUCUUGGGNNNNNNNNNNNNNNNNNNNNNNNNNNNNNNNNNNNNNNNNNNNNNNNNNNNNNNNNNNNNNNNNNNNNNNNNNNNNNNNNNNNNNNNNNNNNNNNNNNNNNNNNNNNNNNNNNNNNNNNNNNNNNUGAAAUUGUAUCUUGGGCUGGCCCAAAAUAGGUAAAAAUUCUAGCAAUCCCCCACUAGAUCCCACAGGCACACAAAAUUUGCCUUUGGUUCCAAAACACUCUUUUAUAUACCGAUACUGCAGUAGAGACUGUUAAGUUGAACUUCGACCUAGAACUCUAUGCUACACUAGUAAGCAACUUGAACACUAGACUAGGCCUUGAACUGCAAGUUUUCUGCGAAUCUAGCUUCACACAGAGCCUUGACCGAUACUAGGCUACCGUGGGACUUCCCCGCGGAUGGAGCUUAUGCGUCAUACUCCGAGACCUUUCAUGAGUUUACUCGAGAGCACCCUACUCUCAUAGAUUGCGACAUUAACAAUCAGACUCAUAUAGGUGUGUUCUUCAAAAGAUGUUCAGCNNNNNNNNNNNNNNNNNNNNNNNNNNNNNNNNNNNNNNNNNNNNNNNNNNNNNNNNNNNNNNNNNNNNNNNNNNNNNNNNNNNNNNNNNNNNNNNNNNNNNNNNNNNNNNNNNNNNNNNNNNNNNNNNNNNNNNNNNNNGGCAGGACAACAUUUCUGCUUUAAUAAGCCACUUAGAACAUAUUAAGAUGUAUAUCAACCUGCCAUGUAGUUUAGGAAAGUAUUGCAUCAUCAUGGAGUGGUAUUAUUAAUGAUAAGGAUACUUUCCCCUCACUUGACCAACAACUUGUCUUCCACAUCUAAUUCACGGGAUCUCCGAUCACAAAGAAUAGGUUACCACUAUGAACAACUCAUAUUGUGGGUCUCAUACCCAUCUCCCUCGUUGCAUUAUCUAUCACAUUACGUGAUAGACCCUUAGUAAAAGGAUCUGCUAGAUUUUUAGAUGUUUGGAUAUAAUCCAAUGCAAUAACUCCAGAGUUUCUCAUUUUCCUGACAUAUUUUAACCUUCUGUGAACAUGUCUUGAUGACUUCAUGUUAUCCUUUGAGCUGCUCACUAUCGUGAUCACAGUUUGAUUGUCGUAGUUCAUAAGGAUACCUGGUACAUGUUUCUCAACAACCGGCAAGUCACUCAAGAGACGGCGAAGCCAAUCUGCUUCGACCGUAGCUGUCUCUAGUGUUGUGAGUUUUGCUUCCAUUGUUGACCUUGUUAAGAUCGUUUGCUUGCAAGACUUCCAAGAAACAGCGCCACCUCCAUGAGUGAAUACAUAUCCGCUCGUGGCCUUUAUCUCAUCAGCAUCAGAGAUCCAGUUUGAAUCAGUAUACCCUUCAAGCACCUUUGGGUGUCCAGUAUAGUGAAUUCCAUAAUUUGUAGUGUCUUCAAAUAAUGCAAAAAUAUCUCUAGAGCUUUCCAAUGCACAUCUCCUGGUUUUGAGACAAUCCGACUUAUUUUGCUAACAGCAAAAGAGAUGUCACGUCUUGUAGCACUGGCUAAGUACAUAAGUGAGCCAAUAAUCUGAGAAUAUUUCAAUUGGUCUCUAGCAAUUCUUCGAUUCUUUCGAAGCACCACACUGGCAUCAUAUGGUGUUGGAGAGAGCUUGCAGUCACUAUAUCCAAAGCGACUCAAAAUCUUUUCCACAUAGUGAGAUUGAAGCAAUGUAAUCCCACCAUCAUCGUCUCUCAACAACUUGAUGUUCAGAAUGACAUCAGCCACUCCUAAAUCCUUCAUCUCAAAACAGUGUGAUAGAAAAUCCUUGACCUCCUUCAUAACAUUCAUAUUUGUUCCAAAAAUCAGUAUGUCAUCAACACACAAGCAAAGGAUAACUCCCUCGCCUCCACCAUGGCGAUAGUACACACAUUUAUCUACUUUGUUUACAACAAAGCCUGCAGUUGCUAAAGAUCUUUCAAACUUCUCAUGCCAUUGCUUGGGUGCUUGCUUAAGUCCAUAUAAAUACUUCAACAACUAGCACACUUUUCCUUCCUGACCAUCUACUACAAACCCAUCUGGUUGUUCCAUGUAAAUUUCCUCAUCCAACUCUCCAUUUAGGAAAGCAGUCUUAUCAUCCAUUUGAUGAACAAGAAGACCAUGUGAGGCAGCUAGUGAAAGUAGUACUCGAAUAGUGGUUAGUCGAGCCACAGGUGAUUAAGUAUCAAAGAAGUCUUCACCUUCCUUUUGGGUAUAACCCUUGGCUACGGGCCGUGCCUUGUACUUCUCGAUAGUACCAUCAGGCCUAAGCUUCUUCUUGAAUACCCAUUUGCAUCCUAUAGGUUUACACCCAUAAGGACGAUCAAUUAUCUCCCAAGUUUCAUUUGCCAAGAUGGAAUCCAUCUCUCUACGGACUGCUUCUUUCCAGUAGUCACCAUCUUCAGAUGCAUAGGCUUCUGAAAUAGAACUAGGAGUGUCAUCAAUGAGAUACACAAGAAAGUCAUCACCAAAGGACUUUGUAGUCCUCUGUCUCUUGCUCCUCGUAGGGACUUCAGUGUUCUCCUCCACAGGUUUUUCAAAGUUUUCCAUCGAAAUGGUGGGUUUAAUAAUUGUAACUAAUUCAUGACUCGAUGAACUAAGCAUCUCCUGAUUAGAUGAGGUAGCCAUAUCUUUCAUGGGAAAGAUAUCUUCGAAGAAAGUCGCUUCAUUCGAUUCCAUGAUUGUACUGACAUGCAUGCCAGAUACCUCAGAUUUUGCAACCAAGAAUCUAUAUCCAAUGCUAUGAAAAGCAUAUCCUAGGAAAAGAGAAUCCACAAUUUUUGGUCCUAGCUUGCGCUUCUUUGGAAUUGGCACAUUCACUUUCGCCAAACAACCCCACGUUCGUAUAGAAGAGAGUUUUAACCUUUUCUUCUCCCAUUCGUCGAAUGGAGUUAUCUCUUUGUUCUUUGUGGGAACUCGGUUUAGGACAUGACAUGCAGUCAAUAUUGCCUCCCCCCACCAUGCCUUGGAGAGACCCGAUGUGUCUAACAUGGCAUUAACCAAAUCAGUUAGAGUACGGUUCUUUCUUUCGGCUACCCCAUUUGACUGAGGUGAAUAGGGAGGCGUCCUCUCAUGGAUUAUACCAUGUUCCGCACAGAAAGAAUCAAAUUCAUUUGAGAAAUAGUCUCCACCACGAUUGGACCUAAGCCUCUUAAUCUUUUGAUCAAGUUGGUUUUCAGCUUCAGCUUUAUAGAUCUUGAAAUAGUUCAAAGCCUCAUCCUUAGACUUCAGAAGAUACACUUGGCAGUAUCUAGUGGAGUCAUCAAUUAACGACAUGAAAUAUUUCUUUCCACCUUUUGUCAAAAUGAUAUUCAUUUCACAUAGAUCUGAAUGUAUGAGCUGUAGUGGUGCAAGGUUUCUCGUUUCGGCAGUCAUGUGAGACUUACGAGGCUGCUUGGCUUGCACACAAACUUGACACUUAGAUCCCUUGACGGUGGUGAAAUUAGGAAUUAAGUUCAAUUUGGCUAGUCGCGACAUGCAACCAAAAUUAACAUGAGAGAGACGCGAAUGCCACAUAUUUGAUUCACUAUUGUUGCAAACAUCAUUAACAACCUUAUUAGAAACAUGUGCCAAGGAUAAACGGAACAUGCCUCCUGACUCAUAGCCUUUACCAACAAAAGUUCCAUACUUGGAUAUUACAAAUUUAUUCGACUCAAAGACAAGCUUGUGGCCAUCUCUACAGAGAAGAGAUCCCCUAACGAGAUUUUCAUUGACGGAGGGGACAUAAUGCACGUUCUUCAGCCGCACGACCUUCCCCGAAGUAAACUUCAGAUCGACCGUGCCAAAACCAUGAACAGAAGCACUUGAACCGUUACCCAUCAGCACGGUGGAAGUCCAUGCGGUCUGGUAAGACGAGAACAUGGAAAUAUCACCGCGUACAUGCACAUUAGCACCCGUGUCAAUCAACCAAUCGGGAAAAUGACAUACUGAAAGGAUAGUGGGAAAUAUACCAUACCCAGCAUCCUCCAUCUCAGUGUCACCAAUGACAACAUUAGCGGUCUUGCCACCUUUCCCAUGUUGCCGCUUGUCAUAACGGUUAGGGCGGUUAGGUGCCCAAUGGUCAGGAUCUCGACACACAUGACAAACACCUUUCUUCUUGUCAUUCUUCUUCUUGAAGUUGGUGUGCUGUAUAGCCUUGCUCUUCAUCGAACUUUGUUUUACCAUCAAACUUGCCCUUGUUCUUGAAAUUGUGGGGCUGGAAGUUUUUCUUCUAUUCCAGAUUGGCAUUAGAUCCUCCCUCAAUACCUCGAGCACGUGUGUCUUUUGCUCUCGCCUUUUCUUCCACAUCAAGAGUACCAAUGUGAUCCGGAAUAGAAAACUCCUGCCUCUUAUGCUUCAGUAAGGUAGAAAAGUUCCUCCACAAAGGAGGAAGUUUAGUGAUGAUGCCUCCCGCAACAAACUUGUCCGGUAGCAAGCAAUUGAAGUGCUCAAGUUCUCUAGCAAAUGAUUGUAUCUCGUAAGCUUGCUCAACCACGGAGCGCUCUUCAGUCAUCUUGUAGUCAUAGAAUUUUCCAUGAUGUACAACUCAUUGCGAGCAUCCAAGACCCCAAACUUGGCCUCGAGUGCAUCCCACAUAUCUUUUCCAUUAUCAAUUGAUGCAUAAGAAUCAACAAUGUUCUCACCAAGAACACUCAAGAAAGCAGCCUUAAACAAGGUAUCCAUUUUCUGAAAACCUAGUUCCUGUUGAGCAUCAUGAUCUCCUUCAGGUUUGCCAAAAGGGGUGUCAUAGCAGUUCAUGGUUUGAAAUCAUAGAACAACUCUCAUGCGCCACCUCUUGUAGUGGAUAUCCUCAAACAUAGGAGGUCUCAUGGAAGCAGCAAAACCACUUGGGGUAAAUUGCCUAUAAUAAGGUUUUUGGAUUGUUGAAAAAAUGAGCGAUUUACCAAGUGAUUUUACUAGCAGAAAUAAUAGAUAAACCACAACUACCAUAGCAAACAUAUGAUAGGACAUGCAAUUAUAGAGGAAAUAUGGAAGUUGCAUUUGAAAAGAUGAACAUGAACGGAACAUAUCUAGAAAAUAAACUACAACAAGAAGUUGAGGCAUGAACUCAAAGAAGAAGAAUACGAGAACGCACUGAGAUGCAGCUACAGCUGCAGCAGCAAUGGUGUUGUUGGUGGACAUGUUGUCGAAGAGGUGGUCGACGUCAGGGAACAUGUCGUCGUUCGGGAAGAGGUCGUCAGUGUCCGUGAUGAAAGCGAGUAGUCGCGCGGAGUGCUCCUCAAAAAACUUAUCGCCCUUCUCCCGUACAGGACCCAAAGGACGAAGUUUCAGAGGCCUAUUGUCCUGACCUAUGGUGCACGCCGCAAGCCGGGAUGGGGAAGAAUGUAGCAGCAGCACAAAGAUUGAAACCUGUGGCGAGAGGAAGUUCUGACGCGUAUCUCUGGAGAGGAGCGACCUCUCUUUUAUAGGCGCAAGAGAAGGAGGCGAGAGGCCAGCGACGGGAGCCGAAGAGAACAAGGGAGAUGAAACAAACAUAUUCAAUAUCCACUACAACAAAACGUUAGCUUCCGAGUGACCUUUUGUAUACUAGUCGUGCAUGGCAAAAGUUUAGUUCGGCUCGGCUCAUUCCCGCGGCGCGUCGUGACGAGGCGGGCGGCGGAGGAGGAGGAGCGUGCGUGUAUGUCUCUCUUGUUCUCAUGCUCAUACAUUUGUGGAAACAUCCUCCCUUAUAAGGAGGUCCAACCCCCGCUAAACUAGCAAUGUGGGACUAAACUUUUACACCUCUUGCCUUGCACUAAUGGGCUGCAUGGGCCUCUAGGAUUUAUUAGGAAUUUCUGAAAUUGUAUCUUGGGUUGGCCCAAAAUAGGUUAAAAUUCCAGCAGAUUACUGGGUCUGGCGGGAUAUUAUCGGCGCUUUGUCAAGAACUUCGGGAUUAUAGGCCGUCCACUAUUUAACUUGCUCAAGAAGGGGGCUCCAUUUUUCUAGACCCAAACAACAAAGGCAGCAUUCCCAAUCCUCAAGCAACAACUCGUUGAUGCACUAGUGCUUGCAUUACCAGACUUCUCCAAGCCGUUCGUGAUCGAGACUGACGCCAGCGACAAAGGGAUCGGCGCGGUCCUUCAGCAAGGUGGGCACCCGAUUGCAUACAUGAGCAAGGCCGUGAACCCAAACUACCCGAGCCUCUCCACGUACGAGAAGUAGUACCUGGCGGUGAUCAUCGUUGUGGAUCAGUGGCGCCCCCACCUGCAGCACGCUGAGUUCGUCAUUCAGACGGACAAACACAGCCUCAACCAUCUUAACGAGCAGUACCUCACCACCCCAUGGCAACAAAAAACAUUCACGAAGCUCCUCUUGCUGCAGUUCACCAUUUGUUACAAGAAAGGCAGUGACAACGACCGACUCCCUCUCUCGCGCUAACACGUAUGAAUUCUUGCAUGGCAUCAACUCCUGUCAGCCUGCUUGGCUCGAGGACAUGGUCAACAACUAUAACACUAAUCCCCAAGCACAACGUCUCCUAGAGAAACUGGCCAUCCGUGACGACCCCAAGGGACGAUUAAGGCUACAACUGGGCCUGCUGCGUUUCCGGGACAUGAUUUGGCUCAGAGGUUCCAUGAAAAUGCAGCAGCGCAUCAUCGCCGCCUUCCAUGGCAACACCAUGGGAGGUCACUCGAGAUUCCCUGUCACGUAUCGGCGCAUACAUCUCUUGUUUGCCUGGCCAAAAAAUGCAGACGCAUGUUCAGCAUUACAUCCACUGUUGCCAGGUAUGUCAGCGAGCUAAACCCAACCGUGCCGCUACCCGUGGACUGCUGAUGCCUUUACCCAUCCCCAAGGAGUCAUGGGAUCUCAUCACCAUGGACUUCGUGGGUGGGCUGCCGUAGUCUGGAUAGUUUUACUGUCUCCUAGUGGUUCUCAACAAGCCCGCGCGCUUCGCUCACUUCCUGCCGCUCACGCACCCCUACAAGGCUGCCAAAUUGGCUCUUCUAUACAUGGAACAACUAUACAAACUGCACAAAUUUUCAGGGGUGAUUGUUUCAGACCGUGAUCUAGUUUUCACCAGCCAGUUUUGGCAAGAGCUGGUCAAAUAUGCAGGUACAGAAUUGCACAAGAGCACGGCGCAUGACCCUCAAAUUGAUGGCCAAAUGGAACGAGUCAACCAGUGCAUUGAGACGUACAUGCGCUGCUUCGUUCAGGCCUGCCCAAAGCACUGGAGCUUCCGGGUGCCACUGGCGCAGUUCGGGUACAACUCGUCGCACGACUCAGCGAUUGGGAUGUCACCAUUCAAGGCCAUGUUCGGACGCGAACCAAGACACUUGGUGUGAUCGAGCACGUCGGUGCAUCCAAGCAUAUGUUGGGAUAUAAGAGCAUCUACAGCCGAACCCCUCAAAUGAUCCCUCAUACAUCCGGGGAUACGCUCGGGCAGUGAUCGGACAAGAGAGAGAAGGAAAAAAAGUGACUCAACCGGACUCCCUCAUAUCGUCUCCAUAUGUCCGGGCUGUCCGCGAACCCUCAUAUCCAUCUCAAAUAUGGGGAGGAUAUGAGGGCUUGUGGAUGCACCCGAGCGCGUCCAAUUAGUCAGUCACAUAGAAAGCGACCCCACCCGGACCAUAUUUUCUUUUCUUUAUUUAUUUAUUUUCUUUCUCUUUCUUCAUCUUCAUCAAUCAUGUGUAAGUAACCGGACAUAUAAAGAAGAAAAUGAAAAGUGUAACUGCGUGGACAGAUAAAUAGGGGGACACGCCCGGCUAAUGACCGGCGCGCUAGCAUUUGAGAGGUCAUAUUUACAAUGUUUAACUAUAGAUGCUCUAAGCUGUCAAAUCUCUAUCCCCUAACAUGCGACCUUAGUAAUAGGCGCUAAUUUGUGUGACGUCGCUACUUAGAACAACCGUUUUCCUCUUGGUCCACGCACGAAAUGCUCCGCCGAACGCGCCCUGAUUAAUGGGCUAAGAAAAAAUUAAAAAAUAUUCUUUACUAGACCUCAUCAGGCUGCUGGACAAGAUUACACACUAUUACCAUGAUGUAAACUGUUUGGACCUGCACGAUGGUUCUUCUCACAUGCAUGUGGAGUUAAGGCUCGAACUGCUCAUCCAUGCGCGUAUUACUGUUAAUGUAAACUGACUUCACCAUAUUAAGGUUCAAUUACCGCCUAACGGUCAUAUAGAAAGAUGUAGAAAUAAGUGUGAAUCCCGGUUUUUACCCCCUAGUUUAACUGUUUUGACGCUAAUUAGAAAUAAGAGUGAAUUCCGAUUUUUACCCCCUAUUUUAACUGUUUUGGCACUAAUUAUCUCAUUUAGUGAGAUUUCAUUCAUUUUACCCUAUUUAGUAAAAGUUCUGUCACGAUUUGCCCUGUUUAAAGCUUUGCCAGUGUUUUGUCACAUAAACCUUUUUUCCUCUCUAUUUUUUUGUCUGGUGAACCGGUCAUCACAACUUCUUUGGAUCAGGCUCGCCCCGAUGGAGGUCGGUCGUAGGUCGCUCGCAUCACGUCCAACGUACAAUGCAUGAGUCAGUCGCACGCCGCACUCGCUCCUAAUCGAUUGCAUCGCCCGUUCAGGUUUCUGACUGCAAGCACCCAUUAGGCUCGCUCGAACAUAGGUUUAGGGAUUGCCAGGCAGCGAUGACGGUGACGACGGCGUGAUUUCAUACAUCCUCGAGUAGGGCUGUAUGGCCGCAACAUCAAGGCAAGAUACGACCCCAUGGAGUCUGACGACUCCGUCAAGCUCGCCGACGUCUUUGUUCUUUCUACUUUGACGACAUAGCUGGACACCAUCAGGUUGUGCUCAAUAGAUGACUGGUCUAUGGCCCUCUCAUUCGUACCCUAUUUCACAUGAUUUUUACCAUCACUAUCAUAACAAUUUGUAUAUUCUGAAAUUUCUGACUCAUGCAUUGGACAAUGAGGCAUUUGAUUCAGGCAUAAUUAAGAUGCUUAUUAGAAGAUCACGUGUAUACGUGUCACCCUUCUAAAACCGAGUUAUGCAUUGACCGAUGACGCGAAUGAACUGUAUUGGUGCGAUCAUAUCGGACCCGCCAGGUCGGGACAAGCUGUGAGGAUCGUUUCAACAUGGAGCAAAAUAGGCAGAAAAAACCCGUCGAUUUGGCAUGCCACAUGAACCUGACAAUUGAGACUUUCCCAUCAAGACCCUCAUAAAAUUUUAAAGAGGGUAAAUUGUGGCAUAACUUUUGCUAAACGGGGUAAAAUUGAUAAAAUCCUGCUAAAUGGGAUAAUUACUGUCAAAAAUAUCAAAACAUGGGGUAAAAAUCGAAAUUUACUCUAGAAAUAAUUUCAGUCCCAUGAAUAUUAGCAAAUAUGUGCAGAUUUUUAAUAUGCAAAAGAAAUCAAUUACUGACUUUAAAAAUAUAGCACUUUGAGCGGACUAAUUUAGAAGUGUGAGCUUAAUAUUUCAUUGAAUAUCAAAAAAUAGGUUAGCAUUAGUGUCAAACCCCAUGAAAAUUAGCGAAUGCGUGUGAAUUUUCUACCGGCAAAAGAAAUUAAUUAAUUUAUACUACUAUUAAACGAGAAAACAUAUUCAUCGCUAAGUUUAUCCAACCUAAUAUAUACAAACAACACAAAUCAGUUAAAGCUUCAUGAUCAGAAUCAUUUAAUUGAAUCUAACCGUCAAGAUUAUACUAACCAUGAGCCAAAACAUGUUUAGCAAUGGACAACGGUAGACAUCACACUAGCUGCGUUGGCCCCUGGAAACUAGCUUGGGAAGUUAUUUCCUACGUACAAAAUCCAGCAUUAAUUGCCUCCACAAAUCAUGCCGUUUACUUGAGGAUAUGCAUUCUUGGUCCUUGGAUUUAGGAUGCAACUUGCAGAUUUUAGGAAGCUUGCAUUUCAGGAAGCAAAACUUUUAACCAACAUGGCAACGCCAAAUUUGCAUCAGAUGCACGUGCUUCUACUUUUAUUUGUAAUUAGUUUAUGUUUCCAUUAAUUAGGUAAUUUUCUUAUGUGGUGAAUGUCUGCUCCAAUAUUUUUGAUUAUUUUUGUCAUGUCGGCAUAUUAUGUCUAAGAAGCAUCACUAUCUUGUCCCAUCGACUAAACAGAUAGAGAAUUGCUUCAAAUAUCAUUCCAUCCAAAAUAAAAAUAUUUCACAUGUUUCAGAAGAUUCAUGAUCUUUCUUCUAUAUACUUGAGAAUUGCGACGAACCAUCUUCUAUCAAAAAGGAAAAAUAUUCCACAUGAUUCAAAACCAUCAUGAUCUUGCUUUCAUCGGCAAGACAACUACUUCAAACCUUCUUCUAUAAAAAACAAAUAUAUUCCACAUGUUUUGGUAGCAUCACGAUCUUGCUUGCAUCGACUAGAGAAUUGCUUUGAAACUUCUUGUGACAAAAGGGAAAAAUAUUCCACAUAUUUUGUAAGCAUCACGAUCUUGCUUCCAUCAACUAGACGAUUGGUUCGAACCUUCUUAUGUUGAAAAGGAAAAAUAUUCCACAUGUUUCGAAAGCAUCACAAUCUUCUUCCACCGACUAGACGACUGCUUCGAGCCUUCUUCUCUCAAAAAAGGAAAAUAUUCCACAUGCUUGGAAAGCAUCAUGAUCUUGCUUCGAUCGACUAGACAAUUGUUUCGAACCUUGUGCCGUCAAAAAGGGAAAAUAUUCCUCAUGUCUUAGAAGAAUCAUGAUCUUGCUUCCAUCGACUACACGACUGCUUGGAACCUUCUUUUGUCAAAAAUGGAAAAUAUUUCGCAUGUUUAGGAAGCAUCAUAAUCUUGUUUCCACCAACUAGAGAAUUGCUUCCAAAAAGAAUAUUAUUUCACUUCCAUUGAAAAGAAAAAAGAAAUCAUCAUAGUUCCACUAGUUCGUAUAAACUCUUGGUUUGUUUAUAAAGAGAGAAGCAUAUUUUCUAGACCGAAGAAGCAUAUUAAUAUUACUUGGUGUCGGGACCCCGAUCCUAAGCCAUAGGAAUCUAGCCUGUAACACAUCGCAUCUCUUUGCGGUCUCACGCACGGUUAACCCCACGGCUGCAGCCUUGCCUUAGCCGGGACCGUUUGCGCCUUUUGAUUCACGUAUGCAAUUGUGUCGCUAGCAAUCCAAUGACAAAGAACCUGGAUCGACAUGUUUAGUCAUAAACCAAAGUGGCAGUUCCGCACAGGGACAGGAAUACAUGACCCAGCAAAGCAGGUGUCGGUCACCAGCGAAUGUAAACGAGUCGUAGCAAGCUACAAGGACUCCAUAACAUCGCGUGACAUUUCCCCAAAGGGGACACACAUAGCAGCUAAGAAGGACACAUGCCGGUCAACCAAUGUGUCCGGAGCAGUAGCGAGCUACCAUGGCUUGUUGGAUCACAAAGGGGCAUCUCCCUGUAAGGGAUGCUACUAAAGUCUACGGCUAGGUAAUCGAACCCCAUACAUAUCAAGUACGACACACGUACGCAUGGCAUACCGAUAUGUAUAGAUACAUCGAUGGCAUCACAACAUAACCAUAAACAUACAAGCUUUAUUUAAGAGGCUCGGAAGAGCCACACAUAUAAUAUUACACAGUAGGGGUCUCAUGACCCAUCAUAACAGUCAUUCAAGUUACAGGCCAGCGGAAGUAAUUAAACUGUCUGAGUACAGAUAGAUGAAACUAGAAGGUACGUGGCCUGACUAUACUACAGACACACCCUAGGGCCAGAUUGUAGCUGGGACACCAGCUACUCGUCGUCGUCGAUGUCUAGGAAGAACCCUCCAUUAGGGUCAUUAACAACCUCUGCAACAAAUAUUAAGCAAACAUGAGUACGAAGGUACUCAGCAAGACUUUAGGGUAACUAUCUACUCAUGCAAUGUAUCAAUAAGGAAUUGUGGGGUUUCAUGCGGAAAGCCAGCAUUUGACUCGUGGCUAGAUAACUUGCAUUUUAAAACAAUUUUUGACAACUUGAUUUCUCGCACACGAGUCCACUAACACCACAACAGUACUCCAUCGUGGAAUCAUUCCGUCUCCAUACGGAAAUGCCGUCCACGACACUCACGCUUAUCUUGACAAUUUUAUGAGUAGCCAUUGAAGUUAUCUAUGAACAACAUAUGUCUCCAAGUAGUCCAUAUUCGCGGACGCGGCUAUUCGAAUAGAUCAUAACCCUGCAGGGGUGUACUUCUUCACACACGCUCUUGCCACUUAUUGCCAUGUGCACGUCAUGCACCUCGGCAACCUUCACGCGGAAGCCCAGCGAGGGAGUCGGCCACGACCGUUAACCACACUAAUACUUAGUCCAGGUUUAUCGCCUAUCUGAGGGUAACCCGCACGGAAGUACGGCCGAGGUUUCCGCCACGGCCCCAAACGAUGUGCGCAGGGUUCCCAAGCCCACCAUCCGGGUGCCACUUGGUACACCAUGCCACUGCCUAUCGCAUCACAGCCCUCCUCUCAGGUCAGCGCUAUGCACGGCCUCCAACAUGACUAUAAACACCAGAAACUACUUGCACCUCCUGGACCGAGUACUAAGCGAUUAAUAAGUCGAGAGGGUCAAUUAAGUAUCUCAACAUGUGGUAGUAUCUAGUCUUGGAUUACAUACACUGAACUCAGUUCCUAAGGACGGUUCCAAUGAAACAACCCGCCAUGUACUCCUACAUAGCCUUUCACCGGUACCUUUACAAAAUCAGGUUCAACACACCACCUUUACUUACUGAACACAUUCUCACAAUUCUGUUCAUCUCCCAGAUGACAGACCAUACACAACUCUAAGCAUAGCAUGCAUAGCAGGAUAAGGCACAUCAUGGCUCAAGCAACUACCAGGUAUGCUAGGUUGCAAGGUUCAGCUAUUUACCGUGACAAGGACAGGUCAUGCAAAGGAAGUGGGUUCAACUAACGUGGCAAAAGCAUUUGAGCAUUUGAUCCUAUUGCAAUAAGUAAGUGCAGGAGCGAGAACAUGGGAUUUAUCGGGAUGAUCAAAAUGGUUGCUUGCCUUGUUGCUCACAGGAGGGACAAUAUCCAUCAGUCGGAUAUUCAGUGGAAUCCGGAGGAGCGGAGCCUACCGAAAGAAACAACAACAAUCAAUAACAAUCAUAAGCAACAAGAUGAUGCAUGAGCAUGGCAUGAGGAUGCAAGGUGGUUUGCUAAUAUAGCUAACAUUUGUUAGGUUUGAAGUUGAUUUGAGUCAGAUUCAAGUAUCACUUCAAACGAGGUAUUCUCGAAUACCAUUUUAAUUGAUUCGACCUGAUGCUCCGAUCAACUUGUUUUUAACAUCAUGGAAAUGACAUGUUAAUUUGCUGGUUUGUGAUUGAACAAUGUUUGAUCAUAGUAUUUGAAGUGGAAUUUAAAUGAAUUUUUCAAAUUACAUCUCCAUAAAAUUUAUUAAAUUUAACUUAUGCAUUAUUCUACAUGUUUGGUCCAGUAACAUUUUCAAACAUGUUUGAAAAUGACAUAUUCAGAUUCCUUGGAUUUUUUGAUACUUUUUCAUAUAUAAAUUAUUUUCAUUGGAGUUACAGAUUAAUUUCUAUGGUUUUUAGAAGUUUUUGCAUUUUUUGGAAUUCUUUUAAAUCAGAAAUCCACUUAUUGCGUUAGCCCUACGUCAUCAUGGCGUCAGCCAUGGGCUGACCUGAUCAGGUCAAAUCCGACAGGGGGGCCCACUGGUCAGCCUCACAGGGAUAAUCCCGCGCUGACCAGCCCCUGAUUGCGUUUGACUUCGCCUGGGACCCACUAUCAGCGACUGCUUAGCGCUAAUCCACCGGGAUUAGGCCGGCCACAUCGUCCCCCGCCGGAGACUGACUGGCGACGACCAGAUCCGCGGCGGAUCUUCGCCGGAGACGCACCAAAAUGCACUGUGGUGUUCGGGAUCGAGUGCCGAGAGCACUGGGAUGAUCCCCAGGCUCGACCUCAUCCUCUACGGGCAUCAGGAGGGGCUAUGGGUGGCCGGAGCAUGCCGGCGACAAGCCGAGGCGGCUGCCGGAGCUCGGAUUCAUGGGUCUCGGGGCUAGAGAGCCGGAGAGAGAGGGGAAACAGAGGGGAAAUGCUAGCAAGCUCACGAUGGAGGCGAAGCUGGGCUCAGACUGCUCGGGGAGGGGCUGUAGCCGGCGAUCCACCGUCGAUUUGCCGGUGGCCGGAGGUUGAAGACGACGACACCGGGGCCGUUGCAGGGCUCGGGGAGGACGGAUUCGUCGACGUGCGUGUCGGGCUCGACGUAGCGAAGAGGAUGGAACACUGGGGGGGGGGCUUCCCUGUGGCCAGAGAGCUCGGGCUCCUCGAUCUCAAGCUUNNNNNNNNNNNNNNNNNNNNNNNNNNNNNNNNNNNNNNNNNNNNNNNNNNNNNNNNNNNNNNNNNNNNNNNNNNNNNNNNNNNNNNNNNNNNNNNNNNNNCGACGGCGUGGGACGGCGAGGAGGCGACGGCGUGGGACGGUGUGGGACGGCGAGGACACGACGGCGUGGGGUGGCGAGGAGGCGACGGCGUGGGACGGCGACGACGGCGAGGAGGCGACGACGGAGGAGGCGACGGCGUGGGGCGGCGAGGAGGCGGCGAGGAGGUCGAGUCGGCGAGGAGAGAAGGCGGCGAGGAGAGAAGACGCGCGGGAAGGCGAGAAGAUGGCGGCACCGGAGAGGUCUAGGCUGUACAAGCCUUUAGCACCGGUUGGUGUUGACAACCGGUCCUAAAGACCCUUUAGCACCGGUUGUUAACACAAACCGGUAGUAAAGGUCCAAAAAUUGGACGCGCGAGCGAACCCACCUUUAGGACCGGUUGUUGUUAAAAACCGGUCCUAAAGGUUUUUUUCCUUUUUCUUUUUUCCUUUUUUCUGUUUCCUGUUUUCUUUUUCUUUUUGUUUCCUUUUUCNNNNNNNNNNNNNNNNNNNNNNNNNNNNNNNNNNNNNNNNNNNNNNNNNNNNNNNNNNNNNNNNNNNNNNNNNNNNNNNNNNNNNNNNNNNNNNNNNNNNNNNNNNNNNNNNNNNNNNNNNNNNNNNNNNNNNNNNNNNNNNNNNNNNNNNNNNNNNNNNNNNNNNNNNNNNNNNNNNNNNNNNNNNNNNNNNNNNNNNNNNNNUCUUUUACAUUUAUUUAUAAAAUCAAAGUAGACUCAAAAAGCUUUUGUAAAAUCAAAUAUUUAUAAAAACAUAUUUAUAUUUUUGAUAUUUUGUGUAAAAUUGUCUAAAUGUCAUUUAAAACAAUAAAAAAAAUAAAAAAAAAGAUAUUUAUCAAACCAAUUUGAAAAUAUAAAGAUAUUUUUUUGUUUCCUUUUUCNNNNNNNNNNNNNNNNNNNNNNNNNNNNNNNNNNNNNNNNNNNNNNNNNNNNNNNNNNNNNNNNNNNNNNNNNNNNNNNNNNNNNNNNNNNNNNNNNNNNGUAAAAGAUACACGAGCCGGGUGAGGCCGGGGCCACUGAUCAUUAAGAUAACACCGGGGCAAAUCAUUCAACCUCUUGUAAAGUUGAGCAAAUCAUUCAGGGUGUGUUUGGUUGCGUGAGUGGCUUUAGCCUGCAUUGCACGAGGGAUACUGGGUGAGCAUGGCCUGGUUGGGUUGAUGCAAGGAUGAGCUAAGAUGUGUGUUUGGUAGAUUGUAUGAUAUGGAUGCACGAGAGAUGUUAGAUAGAACAGAUGUUGUUUGGUACGCUGCAGCCGAGAGGAGAUGCCGGUGGUAGAGACUCGAUGGCGGCGGACAGGACAACCGGUGGCGUGACGAGAUCCGACGAGCUCCGGCAGCAGGCGGGACCACCUCCCCUCCUGGCGGCGGUCGGGGGCGUCCUCCGGGGCGACCUCGGACGAGNGGCGGCGGCGGCGGCGAACCAGCCGACCGGCGGCGGCGGCGAAACAGACGACCGUCGGCGAAGACGGACCAGUCUGACGAGCUGCACGCGAGAGGAUUCAGACAAAGGCGGCGGCAGCGGCAGCGGUGGGUUGUGUGCUCGAUAGAAAGAAAGGGGGAAGGAAAAUACGUGAUGCAAGCGCGGGCCUGGCUGCGAGAUACGCCCGAUUCCUGCGUAUCCGCGAGCUUGGCUCGGAGGCCUCUUUUGCAUCUGUCGGGCCAGGCUGAGAAAGCCGUCCAGGCCACCAAACACGCUCGAUUUUGCAUGCCAGGUACGAGCCGGGUGCGACCCGGGAAACCAAACACGCCCUCAAUGCCCCAUACGAGCAGUCCUAUCGGGAGACAGAUUUUUCACCCNNNNNNNNNNNNNNNNNNNNNNNNNNNNNNNNNNNNNNNNNNNNNNNNNNNNNNNNNNNNNNNNNNNNNNNNNNNNNNNNNNNNNNNNNNNNNNNNNNNNCAACCGUGUCUCAAACAGCCCCGAACCUCAUCUAUAUAUAGGGGAAGAGGGAGGGGGCGCAGCCCUUAGGGUUCCCACCCCUAAGGGGUGCGGCAGCCCUUAGAUGGGAGAGGGGUGGCGGCCAGGGCAAGGGGGAGGGGUGGCGCACCCCUCUGGUGGGCCUAAGGCCCACCUUAGUUAGGGUUCCCCCCUUCCCCUUUUUUCUGGUGCACAUGGGCUGGGUGGGGGGCGCACCAGCCCACUUAGGGGCUGGUUCCCUUCCCCACUUAGCCCAUCUAGCCUCCCGGGGUCGUCACCCCCCUUCGGUGGUCCCUCGGGACNNNNNNNNNNNNNNNNNNNNNNNNNNNNNNNNNNNNNNNNNNNNNNNNNNNNNNNNNNNNNNNNNNNNNNNNNNNNNNNNNNNNNNNNNNNNNNNNNNNNNNNNNNNNNNNNNNNNNNNNNNNNNNNNNNNNNNNNNNNNNNNNNNNNNNNNNNNNNNNNNNNNNNNNNNNNNNNNNNNNNNNNNNNNNNNNNNNNNNNNNNNNNNNNNNNNNNNNNNNNUACCUCCGGACCAUUCCGGAGCUCCUCGUGACGUCCGGGAUCUCAUCCGGGACUCCAAACAACUUUCGGUAAUCUCGUAUAACAAUUCCCUAUAACCCUAGCGUCAUCGAACCUUAAGUGUGUAGACCCUACGGGUUCGGGAGACACGCAGACAUGACCGAGACACCUCUCUGGCCAAUAACCAUCAGCGGGGUCUGGAUACCCAUGGUGGCUCCCACUAGCUCCACGAUGAUCUCAUCGGAUGAACCACGAUGUCAAGGAUUCAAUCAAUCCCGUAUACNNNNNNNNNNNNNNNNNNNNNNNNNNNNNNNNNNNNNNNNNNNNNNNNNNNNNNNNNNNNNNNNNNNNNNNNNNNNNNNNNNNNNNNNNNNNNNNNNNNNGCCCUAGUGACAAGCAUUAAGCAUGGCAAAGUAGUAGCAACAUCAAUCUCAGAACAUAGUGGAUACUAGGGAUCAAUCCCUGUCAAAACUAACUCGAUUACAUGAUAAAUCUCAUCCUACUCAUCACCGUCCAGCGAGCCUAUGAAUAGAUUACUCACGAACGAUGAAGAGCUUCAUGGAAUUGGACAGGGAAGAAGGUUGAUGAUGACGAUGGCGACGAUCUCCUUGAUCCGGAGCCGAAAACGGACUCCAGAUCUGCCCUCCAGAUGAAGAACAGGAUGUGGCGGCGCCUCCGUAUCGCAAACGCGAUGAAAUCUUCUCUUCUGUUUUUUUUUUUUGGAUGAAAGGGAAUUUAUAGAGCUGAGUUUGGGGGCGGCAGAGCCACGUGGGCCCCACAAGCUUGGUUGCCGCGGCCAGGGGGCGCGGCGACAGGGCUUGUGGCCCACUGGCCCGUCCCCUUCGGUGGAUCUUUGCGCAGGUAUUUUUCAUAUUUUUCAGAAAUAUUCUCUGUAAAUUUUCAGGGCGUUCCGAGAACUUUCAUUUCUACACAAAAAUAACACCAUGGCAAUUCUGCUAAAAACAAAGUCAGCCCGGAUUAGUUUCAUUCAAAUCAUGCAAAUUAGAGUUCAAAACAAGGGCAAAAGAGUUUGGAAAAGUAGAUACGAUGAAGACGUAUCACUCAUCUACACAACAGGGCAAAAGCACGCACAAAAAUACAGUUCAAGACCCAAUAAGGCACGUCCCAAUAGAUGGACCUUGCCAGUUAUUUCCAAAAGCCAAGUCAUCCAACCUUCAUGCACCUCCUCUUCACCCGAGCACCAAACUCCCCUCGCCUGGUGCCGCCUCCUCAACCGAUCCAUCGCCUAUCGUCACCAGGUGCCGUCGUAGCCAAAGUCGGAGGCCUCCAAACUAUGAUGCUCGCCUAUUCUCGCCCGAUGUUGUCGCAGCCAUCGCCAGAGGCCUCCAAACUGUGAUGUUGCCUCUGUUCGCCUCGUGCUGUCACAACCAUCGUCGGAGGCCUCCAAACUGUUGUCGUCUUUCCUCGUCGGGUGUUGUCGCAGCCAUCGCCGGAGGCCUCCUAAUUGCAUCUGAUCCACCUCCCAUCUGUGCUGGACAGAUCCUCGCCUCAUACGCGCAUCUUCCCAGGUAAACCUGACAUUUUCAUUCAUGCACGGUCCUCUUCACCUAUUUCUUGUUGUUUUGUAGCUGCCAAGUUAUAUGUCUUCCUCACGCUCCGGGUUGGUCAUCCUUAAACCUUCAGCAAAAAAUAAGAGUUAGGUAUUAAAAUCUACGUACUUGUCAAAAGGAAUUACUGUUUACAGGAAGCCCCUGGUAGGAUAAAAAAAUACGCUUACAUAUCUUCAGUGCUUCCUGUAGCUAAACGACCAUUUCAUCAAUUUGGUGCCACAUUCACUUUACAAUGGUUAGAUACAACAUUCUAAAGCAUGUAAAUAGCACUCCUUAAUUAUUUUCUAUAGAACUACCAUGCUCUGACUUGUAAAACUGCAACCAAUGUUUGAUUAAUGUAAGUAGUAAGAACAAGUAUUGCAAUUGAAUAGUCACAAAUUGGCAGAAAUGUCUUCUAGAUCAAACUAAAUUAGAGUAUAUGCUCGGGUCAUACCCUGAUUUGGCUAGCCAUUAUAGGAUCAGUUGACUCAUGAUUGAGUAGGGCAUGGGUGUCAUAGGAGAGGGGAUGGAAGGAAAACGAGGUCAUCUUCCAUCCCUAAGGCACUGAUUGAUUGAAUAUGAUAAUAUGAAAGUGAGGUGGUUGAUCCAACAAUGUCGAAACAGUAAAGAUCUGCUUGGAAGAAUUUGGAUGUUUUAAUCAUGAGUUAUCAGGCUAUGUCAUCCAGGGCCCACAAAAACAACAUGUGUUUUCCUCAUCUAUAAAAUAUGUGAUUCCAAAUCAAUUUGAGGAUUUGAAAAAUGAGCACCGCGAUAUAGUAUUUUUUUUCCCAAAAUAGGAUGCUAUUUUGGCUACAAGUACAGAACAAAUUCUUCAAAGAAAAAAAGCCUUGAACGUGGAGCGUGUCGAGUAAGUGACUGUCAAACUUACCGGUCAAAAAAGCAUGCGGCGGCUGUCAAGGGGACAAGAGUCUUCCCCUUAUCAGCAGUUUGCUCUGCACUGUCAAAAUCUUCUUGUUUACCAGUCCUGGAAAAACAUACCAACCGCAAAACGGACCUGUCAGUAGCUUCAGAGACAUCCAUAAUUUAACCGAUGAGAAGAUGGCAACAACUACUAACUAGAGAAUGGUAAAAGGUUUCAGGGUUUCCUCGUAGAACUGAACCUUGGCAUUGCUUUUGCUAACUACUAGAUUAGGAAGUAUAUAUUCUUCUUGACAAUUUCCUUGACCAGAUUAUCUGCAACAAUCGCCAUUUAUCCUAACCUAAACAAACAAAUCAACCAAUGAAUAAGAAGCCCACCAGAAAAAAGGAGACGUGGUAUAGCCAGAUUGUUGGGGGGGUAGGGGGUAAAUGUCAAUGUUGUGAGUCAAUUAUCUUCAAUUCACACGCUUCGAAACACUAUUAAUUUUCAUUGUUGUGCGGACCAAUAUAGCAACAUCUAGAUGAAGAAAAAAUUCAAUAGCUUCAAUGGACCAUGAUGAUUCGAACAUCUGAUGAAUGAAGUUGCAUAUUUCUGCCCAGAAGAAGGAUCGAAUAUCCUUGGUGCAUCUGAUUAAAAUAUGUCAUAGGACAGAGGUCAUCUAUAUGAUAAAGGUAAAAGAGGUAUGUAUAUGUCAAUCAAACAAGUAAUAUGUCACAGGACAGAGGUCAUCUAUACGAUAAGCUUUCUGAAUUUAGCCUACACUAAUCUUAUCAGUUGUUGAAGAUAAGAGGAAAAGAGACCACUCCCGACCACACAACAUCUAUCAUCUGGUUUAUUCAUACACGAAAUAUCAAACACCAUCAACAACAGUGAUAUGUCUUCUGAUGACGACGACGAUGAUGUGCCCAGCCAGCUGGCUAGAAUACUUUCGACCGCUAGUCAUCUCAUGCCAUUUCAGCCAAGAGAGCGUGCUUAAGAAACCUCAAACGGUAUUACCCUUUGACGUGGCUUUUAUCCCCAUUAACUUUUUACAUUUUUUAUACCAAGAAAAGCCACUAGAUAUGCUCGAAUUGCAUCACUUCAAGGAACACAAAGCUUCCAGCAAGGUUCCUUGCAGCAGCAUCUAUCUCAGUUGUUAACAACCAUGCUGCUGAUAUGAAAGAAAUUAGAAGCAAAACAGAGUAAGUGAUGGAGGCAUAUUUACUUAAGCCGAUAUAUGUCAUGCCAUGCCUCAUUGAAUAGGUUCAGCUAAACUGGUUAAUAGAGAAAUGACUAAAACUCACUUUUUCGGUUCUCCCGAAACUAAGUUGUACUUAUUCUGUCCCUAACAAAACUAAUGCUUAUCCCGCGAUUUUUACGGUAUCCAUUUUUAGGUGCUUAUAGACCUUUAAAUGAAUUUAGGAGAAACCGAAUUGGGAAAAGUUCUGAACCCAAACAUCAAUAAGAAAACUUUGAUACUCUUCUAAAAGAAAUUUAAGCCUAACCAUAUGUUGAUACUAAUAGUUUACAUCUAGCUCACCUAUGAACCUUGUAUAUACAAGGGAGUUGAAAUCUAAGUGAAAGAUUUGUACUUGACCUCCAAGAUCAAACUCACCGGCUGUGCCAAUCCAAUACAACUUCCAAUGGAUGACGCGAAGGGAGAGGAGAGGAGUCCCUGACAAAGUAAUAUCCGUGGUCACCCUGAACCUGAUGCAGAGGGAGGAAAACAGUGGCAGGGCGACGAGGUAGCCUGCAGAUUGAGGAGCUAGGUGGCGAGGAGAAGUUGUCGGCGUCAUGGUGCAACACGGGAUCCACUCCAGGCCGAUCUCCGCCCAUCUGGGCGAACACGCCUUGGGACAGGGUCACCGGGACGCAGAGCCCGAUACCGCGGGCACAUGGGACAGAUCCCACCUCGCCUUGCACGGUGCGCCAGUCACCGGGCGUAGCCACCAUCAGUUUCGAACCGGCAUGGCGCCGGUGCAGCGGGGGAUGGAUGGGGGGCCGACCGGUGGAUGUCGCCACCCAUACUGUGCGCGUGUCAAUGAGAGCAUCGUCCCACGGAUCUCGCCGGAUAGUAGGGAGUGAGGUUUAGCGGCUCCCGAGGGUGCAGCUAGCCGGGAGGGAAGUGUGGGUGUAGGGCGCGGAGUGGGAAGUGGGCGGAGCCGCAGAGGUGGGUGCUUAGCGCUGGCGCAGCCAAUGGCUGCACAGGUGGGUGUCUCGCGGGAGGGCAGUAGGGUGAGCGGUGGUGAGGGAAGAAGUGACACAAUGAGAGUAUUGUGUAGUUACGACUGUAGAAUUGUAGUAUUUCUGACUUGACUAUAGAUCCAAAACUGCUCCACACGCUAAAAACCGUCUUUUUCCCACGGGAUACGCAACAGAAAAUCCUGCAAAAUAAUGCGUUCAAAAAAAUAUUAGCACAUGCGCUAUUUUUUAGCGCUAUUGUACGUUACUAGCAAAAGGACCCGUGCAUUGCAACGGGAGAAAAAAAAUUAUAAUCUACAAUGGUGCUGAUCAUAUUAUGUUUUUAAAAUUUUAGGACAUUUCUUAAAAUGCAUGAACAUUUUUUGAAUUAGCAAACAUUUUUUCAAUUGCACUCAAAAAAUAACAGACAAAUUCUUUUUCAAAAUCCUGGACUUCUAUUGUUUUCACCAACAUUGUUCUCAAAAUUAUGAACAUUUUUCUGAAUAUGCGAAUAUUUUUACAAAAAUUAUGAACAUUUUUGAAUUCACAAACGUUUUAUAUUUUCUUCAAACUUUUAUUUCAAAAUUCCCAGUUUUAUAAAUUGCAAAAGUUUUUCAAAGUUUUAGAUUAUUUAGACUAAAAAUGGAACAGAAAAAUGAAAAUAAAAAAUGAGACUAAAAACAGAGGCACGAACUGUUUUUAAGAUUUUUACACGAACUUUUGUUUAAAAUCGUUGACUUUUUUAUUUUAUGGACAUUUUCUCAAAGUUUAAACAUUUUUUUAUAAACAAAUAUUUUUUUAAACUCGACAGUAGUUUUUGAAUUCUUAAAAAAUAUUUUUUUGAAUAUUUUAUUUUGAAAUUCUCAGUUUUUUAAAAUUGAGAAAAGUUGUUUGAAGUUCUAAAUUAUUUAAAGUAGAAAAACAAAAUGGAACUGAAAAUAAAAAUUAAAAACUAAACUAAAAAAACAGACGCCCACGCAUGGGCCAGCCCAAACAGGUGUGCUGCAUCUUUUUCCAACACCCAGACCGUAAUAUAGGAGGUGCCUACAUGGGCCGGCCCAGUCCGGAUAUUUUCAUAUUUGAAACGUUUUUUAUGACUUAUAGGUGGCAUUGGUGGGUAAUUUUAGUCAACUUUAAGGACAAUUUGGAUGACGUACGGAAAAAGCACUAUUUGAUUUAUUAGUAGGUAAAGAUAANNNNNNNNNNNNNNNNNNNNNNNNNNNNNNNNNNNNNNNNNNNNNNNNNNNNNNNNNNNNNNNNNNNNNNNNNNNNNNNNNNNNNNNNNNNNNNNNNNNNNNNNNNNNNNNNNNNNNNNNNNNNNNNNNNNNNNNNNNUUAGUAGGUAAAGAUAAAAUUUGGACGUUGGACCAUAUUUUUCAUAAUUUGCACUCCUCUUUUUCCUGGACGCAUGUUUAUAUGCAUUUGGAAAAGAGAAUCGUUUCCCACCCGCGCGUCGGUCGCCCCCUGGCGCGCGCGAGCCUUGCAACAUAUUUUCCAUCCGCGCGCUUCUUCGGUCAAUGGAUGCAACACUUUUCGUCUAAAUAUGUUGCAACUUGCGUCAUUUUUGUUGUAAGCGUUUUUUACUAUAUUUUGUCUCAGUAAAAGAGCUGCAUAUAAGUUUGGUUGCAACUCUAGUUCAUCAGAUUUUUUGUUACAAUUGAUGUUUUUUUACUUUUUUCUAUAACCGUGUUAAUUUUUGCUACAACCGGNNNNNNNNNNNNNNNNNNNNNNNNNNNNNNNNNNNNNNNNNNNNNNNNNNNNNNNNNNNNNNNNNNNNNNNNNNNNNNNNNNNNNNNNNNNNNNNNNNNNNNNNNNNNNNNNNNNNNNNNNNNNNNNNNNNNAUUUUUGCUACAACCGGCAUCAUGUUUUGCUGCAACCGUUCACUAAAAAGUUGCAUACACGUCACAUAAAUAUUUGUUACAACCGACGUUUGACUUUUGCUACCACGUACCAUCAGCUUCGUUUUUUUGCUAUGAUCACGUAGAUAUUUUUUUUGCUAUAAAUUUUGUUUCUUGUUGCAACCGUUGAAAAAAUUGCUGCAUGGCAUCGAAAUUUUGCUGCAUAGGGAGAAAAAUGUUGCAUGCGGAUGCAACGGUGCAGACGACGCGGGGUUGGUGGAUUCUGCGGCCCGCGUGCGGCCGGUCCAAAAUCUGGGCCGGCGCGCCGGCGCAGAUCACCCCCUUUGGAAAAUCAAUGUUGACCGCGAUGCAUUAAAAGUGCUAUUGUGAUGGUAUAAAACUAUUUGGUCCUUGGUAUUCUUGUGCAUCUGUUGAAGAUGUUCUUAUUGGCGUAUAACAAACCGACGUUUAUAGACAAUCUACGAAAGAGAAAACACUUUUGGUAGUCCCGAGUGUGCGCCCACCCUAUAUGCAUGAAAUAAUAUAAUAUUUUAAAGAAAAAAAAACUGAAUCUUUUUUUUUGNNNNNNNNNNNNNNNNNNNNNNNNNNNNNNNNNNNNNNNNNNNNNNNNNNNNNNNNNNNNNNNNNNNNNNNNNNNNNNNNNNNNNNNNNNNNNNNNNNNNNNNNNNNNNNNNNNNNNNNNNNNNNNNNNNNNNNNNNNNNNNNNNNNNNNNNNNNNNNNNNNNNNNNNNNNNNNNNNNNNNNNNNNNNNNNNNNNNNNNNNNNNNNNNNNNNNNNNNNNNNNNNNNNNNNNNNNNNNNNNNNNNNNNNNNNNNNAUAUAAGUCUUUUUAGAACCUUGUAUAUAGACAUACUUUUAAAUAUAAAUUCACUCAUUUUGCUCCGUAUGUAGUAUGUAGUGAAAUCUCUAAAAAAACUUAUAUUUAGAAACAAAGAAAGUAUUUAUAAAUAUAUUUCACUUUUGCAAAAUGGGUAUGUGGUAGUAUGGAUAUUGUUGGUCAUCAAAUACAAGGGUUCGGAAAAAGCAACCCACCUUUGCAAGGGUUGCACUAUCGCGGUCGCCGUAUGGAACCACGUGUUUGCCUUAACACGCGAGGAUCUUUCAUCUUCAUGUUUCUUUCCAGAUCGUGAAAAUUUCUACGGCUUGUGGAGUGAGUUGAUCGAAAAGAAGGCAAAGAAGCGUGGUACACGUCGUAGUGGGCGGCUUAUCUACACAUUAUGGAAUAUUAGGAAGGAGAGAAACAUGUGGGUUUUCAUGGGUUCUCAAAUGAUUCACUAUGAGGUGGUGAUGCUGGCAUUUGACGAUAUCAAGCAAAGAGAGUGGACAUUUGGUGUUGAUGUGUUCAUUGCAGGCGUGGGCUAAGCAUGUAGGAGUCAAUUUCCUAGGCUUCGCCACGCUCCCUUCAAAACAUGUGAAUCUCUGUAUAUAUGGGGGUUUUCACCUACAUCUAUAUGAAAAGACAGUGCUCCUGUUGGUUUCUCAAAAAAAACACUACAACAAAAGCCGGGAGACGAUGUCAUUGGAAGCGAACGAAGACUUAGAAAAUUCUAUACAUCCCAUGGAUGUGCGAACAGAGAUACCCAAUUCAUGAAAUAUCAAAUCAAAAAGGACAAAUACAAAUAUCCACUAGAAAAUAAUAGGGGGGAUUGAUUGACAUGAAGUUUGUCCAACAAUUUACUGAGAGGGUAUGCACUUUUCUAGCAAGCAAGAUGUCUAUAAGGUAGGAGAGAAUCCGUCGGCCUAGGUAGACUUCGCCUACCUGAUCUACAGCCGCCCNGGCGGCGGUUUUCUCCUCGGAUCUCGAUCUGGUUGGGAGGCAGCGCUCCUUUCCGGCCAGAUCAGCGGCGGUGAUGCAGAUCGGCGGCGGCAUGGCCGUGGUGCGGCGGCGGCGUAGGAGGACGACACCAGGAGCGACGGGUCUGGCCUUGACUCAGUCGGUCUGAUUCGGUGUGCUACCGAUCUCAAAAGCCGUCAGCGGUGCACUGCUCAUGGACUUGAUCUGCAACACGGGGAUGUCUGGGCGCCGGCCCUAGGCUUGGUGGUGGUGGCCUUCUUCUUCGUCGGAGGUGGUCGGCCAGCUGGCUGUGCAUGGAGUGAGGACUGGCGGCUGUCGGUGAAAUCUGUGAUCCGACUUCGGCCGUGGCGGGUGAUGACGGUGCCUACGCGUCGUUACCUUCUUGAAGGCGUCACAUUUGCAGUCUCCGUCUGCCCACUCGCAGUCCAAUUAGUGUCAGGCUGGUUUGGCACCAUGGUGGUGCUCCGGCCGAUCAGGCGACGGCAGCUGGAUCCUUUGAUCUAGUCUCCAACAGAGAAGGCGGCGACCAUGCACAAGAAGCUGGAUGGAGUUCUUCGAACAGAUCUGGGUGAAAACCUGCUCUUGGCUAGAUGACAAGGCCGGCGAUGGCGACACUCUACGACGUCGUUCCCUUCUUGAAGGCGUCGCCGAGGAGAAGUUCUAGACCACUAUUUGCCACCUUCGGGGGAAACCCUAGAUCGACAGAUCAGAAGACGGCGAUGCACUUGUGUCGUCUCCCCUUUGGGGGCGUCAUUCUUGGAGGUGUACGCGGGUUCAGGGACUAGUGGAUGUUUUCUUCGGUGGAGCGGUGCUUCAUCCUGCACAUUGAAGGCGACGGAUCUCGAUGGCGUGGCGCCCUGGUGAUUAGGCGUCUGAUGUGCGAGGAUGGACUCGCGCAGGAGGGCGACGCUGUCUGGCGUCGUGGUGGCGUCGACGGCAGCUAGACCGGGCAAGGUGGAUGCGUUAGUACAGUUCUGAAGAUGGAUUGAUGGCAGUUGGCGGCGACGAUCUCUGAGUGUGCGCCGGACCGGUGGGUGUCCCAUACCCGGCAGGUGGCUUGGUUGGGGCAUCAGGUCUUAGAUGUUAGGUUUGGCUGUGAGGUCUGUUUGAUAUUAGACCCAGACUAUCAGCAUCCCUUCAUCAACUGUAUACAAGUAGCGACAUAUAUUGUCUAGACGGUGAUUUCAGUCUUACUGAUGUAUUACUUUGUAAGGUUUUUUUGAAUAAUUAAUAAAAUGACUGCAUGCAUCGUUCAGAUGCAAAGGCCGAGGGUCUUCCUCCUUUUCUAAAAAGAAAGAUGUCUAUAAGAAAAGUUCGGCGUGUGAUGUCUAGAAGGGAAGCUCGAUGCGUGUGGUAGAGAUAGUGGACAUUGACUGUGUGUAUUAUAAAGGAGUGUGUUUGCCAAGUUGUAAUUUUAAGUACCACGUAUACUUAUUUGCAUCUAUUGUGCAGAUGCUUGUUCCGUCAUAUUUAUUUGUGUAGAUGGUGUUUUAAGGAAUUGUGUUAAUUUCAUGAAUGUUUAAGUUUACAUUUCAAAUCAAUUUGUUCAUCAACAUAAAUUUUGAAUUAUCUCUGGCAUUGUUAUACUUAUGAGAUAUAGACCAUAAAAUGCAUUCAUAAAAAAUAACCAAGUUUACGCUAUUAAUCUGCCAAGUAAUCUUUUCACAUUAUAUUUUGUAUUACGUGACAACGCACGAGCAUUCAACUAGUGAGGUGUAAGAGUAGCGAUGGUAAUGAAGGAACUAGUAUCUCACUCAGAUAAUAUAGCAAGUGGUUACAGGUUGCAAUGGGGAAGGGGAAGAAGAACUGCCGCCUCCGUUAUCGUCCUAAUCCUACGUGGAUAUCCUAACUGAGGGGAACGAUGCCCUUAAAUAGAAAAAGUCUAUUUUUAACCCUGAACUCGUAGAGGUUUGGCGAAAUAAACCCUUAAAUCAAAAUCCCGGUCGAUUACAUCCUAAACUAUGCAAUCCCGGUCUAAAUUAAACCCUGUAGUCGUUUGGCAAACGAGGAUCGUCGACGUAUGACCGGGAUUGAUGCCAUUUCGCACCGUUCCUUGUUGGGCCAACCCAUUUUUAAUUAUUUUUCUUUCUUUAACACGUGCAGAUUUUUUUAUUUUUUAAAACUACAAUAAUAAGCACGGAUGGUGAUCCGAAUAAAAGACCUCCCUUUUCCUGUUGUGUUUACUUGCUCCCUUUUUAUUCCGUUUCUUUUUUUUACUUUAUUUUAGUUUUUCCUUUUUAUUUUUAUGUUUACAUUUUUUUCUUAAAUUCGUGGCCAUCUUAGUAGGAAAUAGAAAACAAAAAAAAAAUCAUGAACUGGAUUUUCAAAAGGAUAAAAUGGUCACAAAUUUUCUAAUAUGUUGGCAUACUUCAAAAUAUGUUUGUAAUUCUUUUUGAAUAUUGGAAACCAUUUCUGUUUUCAAAAAAUGUUUACAGAUGAAAAAAUGUUUAGGAUUUCAAAAUUAGUUCAAGUUUUCAAAAUUUGUGUGUACUGAAACAAACAUGAAUUCCGAAAAUAUUUUGGUUUUUGGAACAAAAUUAGGCAUUUAAUUGUUUUUUAAAUUUUUUGAGAAACAUACAAAUAUAUGUAAACAGUGGCUGAGCUAUCGAAUUGUCGGAGUCUCGGCACACUGCAAACUCAAAUACAGAGAGAAAAUAUCUAGUCCACCGCUUCCUAGCUCCUGGUCGUGGUGGCCUCACUUUCGUGCACGUGUAACCAAACGAGAAAAAAUAGUACAGUGCCCCUGCAAUCAAAAGAAAGGGAUUAAUGGCCGGAGGAGUGAAUGGAUCAUGCUCCGAUGCACGUACCGUUCAUCCAGUUCUUGCUUCUGGGGCUGGAAAUGGAACCCAGUGUGCUGCGACUGGAGCGUGGUGUUGCUCCACGGAAACCUGUCCAUGCUCUGGCUGCGCGCCGUCUCCACCAGCGGCGGAAUGUCCGCCACCACAUCCCCAGCCACCACCCUCUCCACCCUGCUAGACCCAGCCAGCGCGUUCGCCACCACUAGCACCACCACGGCCAACGCGACCAGCACGGAGAUGCACGCAAGCCACCUCACCCGAGUCUGCUUCGGCGCUCCUCCACAACGUCGGACGAGGCCACCAGCAUGUACCUGUACGACAGCGCCGUCUCACCGAGCCUAAUGAUUCCGCAUGGCCAAAUCAUGCAGAAUCGUGGUGUAUGUCCUCUAAAAUUAUUUUUUAAAACGAAAAAAACAUAAACGGGCCGGCCCCAUGAGAUGAAUCCGGGUUGAAAUUUGCUAGGGUUCGAUUUAGACCGGAAUUGCAUAGUUCAGGUUACAAUCGAUCGGGAUUUUGAAUUAGGGGUUCAGUUCGCCGGACCUCUAUCAAUUCAGGGUUUAAAAUGGACUUUUUCCCCUUAAAUAGCCACCGUCGCUGGGCCGGCCGGGCGUGCCCACUCUGGCCGAAGUAGCGUGGGUUGGUCUUGCGUGUGCGGCCCACCCGCAUGCCGGUCGCCUCCCCGUCAGGUGGGGCCUUGUGGUCAGGGCCCCUGACACGACGUGAGGCAAACUAGCGCCUAUUACUUGGGGGCAUCUGAAGGAACAGAGAUUUGACAGUUUAGAAUCCCAAAAAUACAUGCUUGGAUGCACUGACAUGUUCGGUCACACCAACUUCAUUCUCGCGUUGUGCGACCUACCUGAGCAACGUGAAGAAGAAGUCAUGAAGGCAGGCAGGUGCGCUUGAGGGUCUUCACCACGGAAGCCGUCAACAAAGGCCGCGAUGCAGGCGAUGGAGCUGAAGAUUUAGCCGCGUGAUGGUGCCGGUUUCCAGAGGGGGGCCAGGCGGCGGCCAUGAAAACCAUGUGGGAGGUUCAGGCGGGACAAGAGCAUGCAAGCAGAAGAGAAGGGUGCUUGGUGCAGAUAGGGAUUGGUGGGGAACGAAACUACCUGAUGGUUUGGAGAGGAACAUGACAUCGUGGGAGGGGAUCAGGAGCUGCUCUGCCUACGCGUGAGGUCUUUUCUUCAUAGGAGCUAAACAUGGUUAUAACUUACUAGCAAAAAUGCCCGUGCGUUGCAACGGAAGAAAAACCAUCAGGUUAUACAGGUGUGAUAGAUAUAAAGAAGUAUGAAUCCAAUGCAAAUAUGACAUAAGGAUUUUUGAAAUGUUAUUUCACAAAGUAUAUCUGAGUGAUGAGUGAUGGCAUGAUGAGAUAAGGCACUUUUAAAAUGUAAUUUCAAAAACAAAAAAUAUAAUGUUCAUCGUGACUUGAUUUGUUAAGAGGCCACAACAAAAUAUUUUGUGGCUGAGCAAAUUGUAAAUCACAAACACCUUUUUGUACCCAACGCGAGGGACUAAUAAAAUCAUAAAAUAACCUCUAGAGAUUUUCUAAUAAAACCUUUAUGUAAGCGACAGUUAGUUAUGUUCAUUAUUUAGAGAUGUGUUUUAAUUUUUGGGAACAUUUUCUAAAAGUUGAUAGACAUGUUUUUCAAAUUCCUUAAUAUUUUUUGAAUAUCUGAUCAUUUUUAAAAAUCAAGAACAUUUUUUUUUUCAUGACAAUUUAUUUUAAAUCAUGAUUUGUUUUAUAAUAUGUGAGCAAUUUUUGAAUUCAUAAACAUUUUAUGACUUUCUGAAUAUUUUUUAAAUACACAAACAGUUUAUCAUUUUCCUACUUUUUUUAAACUGACAACUUUUUUUUGUUCUUUUGAAAUCUGGAAUUAAUUUAGAGAAGAAAACCAAAACAGGAAUAAGAAAGUAAAAAAAUACUAAACAAGGGUGCCGUUAAACAGGAAUAGAAAGUAAAAAAAAUACCUGCACAUGGCCCGCCCAUACAUAAGGGAGGAAAAAAGAAGAGAAAACGGUGUGAGAACCAGGGAUCGAACCCCUGGUCUCCACUGUGGAGGGAUGAGGCUUUGGCCACCAGGCUAGCCCAUGUUAGUUGUCUUUUAAUAUAUCAGUCUAUUAAGAACAUACAACGGCGCGACGAUUUUUGAAAUCUGAAAACUGAAUCGUUUUUUGACUUACGGGUGGCAUUGGUGGAUAAUUUUGAUCAACUUCAGGGGCAACUUCGAUGACGUACGGACAAAAGUUAUCCGUGCUUUAUUAGUAGGUAAAGAUAACACAUGGCCAUGGUGCGUAAUCUUAUCUUAUCUUACCUACUAAUAAAACAAAUAGUGCUUCUUCCGUACGUCAUCCAAAUUGCCCUUAAAGUUGAUUAAAAUUACCCACCAAUGUCACCUAUAAGUCAUAAAAAACGUUUCAAACAGAAAAAUCUUCGGACUGGGCCGGCCUAUGUAAGCACCUCCUAUAUUACACUCUGGGCAAACCAAUAAUUUUGUAUUUGUAAAUGAAGUGAGUAAAAGUUAAAAACUUUGAUGGGUCUUUUCUAUAUGGGUUGCCCGGGACUCGAAACCGGAACUAGUCGGAUGGAGUAGAUAAUUCUUCCUUGUUACAAUAGAGAAAAAUCCCUCCCCAAAUCGUGCUUGCAUUUUUCAUUGCACACGACUUUCCCUAUGUAGAAAUAGCCAAUAUUCUAUUCCAAAGAGGAAGUUCUACUAAUUUUUUAAUUAGUAAGUUGAUUCACCUACUCUUUAUUAUAAUAAAAGGAACAUUUCAGAAUGAAAAAUAUGAAAGUUUUUUCUUAAUCAUUUAUCAACCCUUUCCUGCAGCACACCUGUUUGGGCCGGCCCAUGCGUGGGCGCCUGUUUUUUUAGUUCAGUUUUUUAUUUUUAUUUUCAGUUCCAUUUUGUUUUUCUACUUUAAAUAAUUUAGAACUUCAAACAACUUUUCUCAAUUUUAAGAAACUGAGAAUUUCGAAAUAAAAUAUUCAAAAAAACAUUUUUUUGAGAAUUCAAAAACUACUCAGGAGUUAUGAAAAAUGUUUGCAUCUAAAAAAUGUUUAAAUUUGAGAAAAUGUCCGUAAAAUAAAAAAGUCAACGAUUUUAAACAAAAGUCCAUGUAAAAAUCUUAAAAAUAGUUCGUGCCUCUGUUUUUAGUCUCAUGUUUUAUUUUCAUUUUUCUGUUCCAUUUUUUAGUUUAAAUAAUUUAGAACUUUGAAAAACUUUUGCAAUUUAUAAAACUGGGAAUUUUGAAAUAAAAGUUUGAAGAAAAUAUAAAAUGUUUGUGAAUUCAAAAAAUGCUCAGGUUUUUUGUAAAAAUAUUCGCAUAUUCAGAAAAAUGUUCAUAAUUUUGAGAACAAUGUUGGUGAAAACAAUAAAAGUCCAUGAUUUUGAAAAAAAGUUUGUGUGUUAUUUUUUGAGUGUAAUUGAAAAAAAAUAUUUGCUAAUUCAAAAAAUGUCAUGCAUUUCAAGAAAUGUCCUAAAAUUUAAAGAACAUAAUAUGAUCAGCAUUAUUGAAGAUUAUAAUUGUUUUUCUCCCGUUGCAACGCACGGGUCCUUUUGCUAGUUAAACCAACAUGAUUUGAUGGUUGAGAUGGUUUGGUUCUCCAACCUUUCCUAUUUUUAUAGUAGUAGUAGAUAGAUAAUAACAUGGAUAAAUUAAAUAAAUGAGUUAAUUACUCCGUACAUGAAACCACAACUUCAGCCAACUUUAUAAGACAUUAGGGCAUCUCCCGGUGCAUCUAACGUACAUAUACAGAUCCAUUGCUGCUGUGACGUAAAUGCUCCAUCAAAGCUGUUCAAACUGCAUAAAGGCGGAUGAUCUGAUUAAUUUCGGCACGACAAAUGGGGCACCCGCACUUCUUGGACUCAAUAUCUGUUAAGCAGGACAUGCAACCAGCCAUGUGACCACAUGGAAUGCAGGCUCCUUCCACCGGAGCAUCCAAGCAAAUGACACAAGUAACAAAGGUUCCGUCACCGUCAGCAAGUGGUGGUGCAGUUGGUGUUUGAGUAGAUGGAAGUGCAAUUGGUAUUGGAAUAGCCGGAGGUGCCUCCUGUGGAAUCACAAUCGAUUGACUCGAGCUUGUUCCAGUCACUUCCCUCAUCCUUGAAGGGGAUGGAGAAUCUGAUGGACCCCAUCCGUUGUGAGAGCUGUUCACAGUGUUUCCCCAGCCACUGGUGGUCGUAAUUGAUGUCGUUGGCUGCACGUCGGGCACUCCCUCUGCUAUAGCUGAUUGUAUCGAGGCAUUGAUAGCCAUCUGCAAUUCAACAUCCUCGUUACUGGGAGUCGAUGGCACUGAAGGUGCUGAAGACGAAUUUGGCGUUGAAUUUGGAGUAGGAGCAUCCACUGAUUGCACAUGAACCAUGCUGGCAACCUAUGAAAAGAGGAUCUUAGGAAAAUUAGAUUAUUUGUUUUAUCUAUACUGAUGGUAGAGGCUAGGGUUCUACCAGGUCUCGGACGUAGGUUGUAGGGGUGGAAGUGCGGGCUGCGAGGUUGGGGACGCCGGCGCCGGCGGUUGGGCGCCGUCGCGGCGUGAGAGAGAGAGAGGCGGCUAGGGUUUGGGGCUCUCGUCUCCUGAGGGAGACGACAACAGAAUAUACUGUUUAUUGUCUGCUUAAUAUCGAAGGGGUACAUGUGUUUAUAUAGGAGGACAACCUCCACUAAACCCUAGAUAACUUGGACUCUAACUUGGACUCUAAUAUAACUUGGACUCUAAUAUAACUUGGACUCUAAGAUAGGUAAGAUAACUUGGGCUAAGCCCGUAAUUAACCCUGCCCAUUGGGCCUCCUCCGUUGGUACGUUGUACCGGUCAUAACAUCUCUCCCCGCCUUCUCAAACAGCUCGUCCUCGAGCUGAACAUCUGGAAACUGCUGGCGGAAAUCGUCGAGCUUCUCCCAAGUCGCUUCCUCCUUUGACAGGCCGGUCCAUUGUACCAAGACAUGCCAGAUGCCGCGACGCUGUUGCGCCUGUAGCACCUUCGCCACCUGUGCGGAAGCUGGAAGGAGGCGGCCAUCCGAAGUAGGAGGAAGGGCCGGUGUCGCUGCAGGAGGGUCCCCGCGGUAGGCCUUCAGUAAGCCGACAUGGAAGACGUCGUGGAUGCGAGAACCAGCUGGCAGCUCCGAGCGGUAUGCGAGUGUGCCGACACGCUCCAGCACACGAAAGGGACCGGCAUAGCGAGGUCCCAAUUUGCGCUUGGAGCGCAGGUCCAGAGACUGCGUGGUCCUGUGGAGGAGGCGCAGCCACACCCAAUCGCCCACCGCGAACUCCGCCUCGCGAUGAUGAGCAUCGUAGUACUUCCGAGCCAGCUGCUGUGCUUGGAGAAGACGCUGGCGUGCCUCAGCCAGAAUGUCAUCACGGGUGCGGAGUAAGUCGCCCGCCGUCUCGGACCGAGCCGUCCCAGGCUCGUAAGGGAGCAUCGCCAGAGGUGGGCGUCCGUAGACCACCUCGAAAGGCGUGGUGUGCAGGGCGGAGUGAUAGGAGGUGUUGUAGCAGUACUCCGCCCACGCCAACCAGUCCACCCAAGCUCGUGGACGAUCACCAGUAACACAGCGCAGGUACAUGGCGAUCACCUUGUUGACCACCUCGGAUUGGCCGUCUGUCUGAGGGUGGAACGCCGUGCUCAUGCAGAGCUUCACGCCUGCCAGUCGAAAGAGAUCCCGCCAGACAUGUCCCGUGAACACGGGAUCACGAUCGCUGACGAUGGACGAGGGAAAACCGUGGAGGCGGACGAUGCCGUCGAAGAAGGCCCGCGCCACGGAGGCGGCUGUAUAUGGAUGACCCAGGGCGAUGAAGUGCGCGUACUUGGAGAAGCGGUCAACCACCGUGAGGAUGACGGACUUGCCGCCCACCUUGGGAAGGCCCUCGAUGAAGUCCAUGGAAAUAUCCGCCCACACCUGGGAGGGUACGUCCAGCGGCUGCAGUAGACCCGCGGGUCAUAGUGUCUCCGUCUUGUUCCGCUGGCACGUCACGCAUGACCGCACCCAGUCGCGGACCAUCGCGCCAUCACCGGGGAUGUAAAAAUCAGCAUGGAGACGAUGGAGAGUCUUCUGCACGCCCUCGUGCCCUGCAGAGUGCGCCAAGGUCAGGACCUGGUGGCGCAUGUCGCCAUGGUCGGGCACGAAGAUGCGGCGGCCAUGUAGGAGUAGCCCCUUGUCCAAGCGCCAGGGCGCGUCCAGCUCGCCGGCGUCAAGGCGCUCGCGCAGGCCCUGGGCGUCCAGGCCGUCGAAGUUGCCCGGCGAAUGUCAUUGAUGAAGGCGAAAGAUGGCCCGGAGCGAAUGCACAUGAUAGUGCCAGCCAUGGCGACGUCGUCCGCGACAUCCUCAGUGUCGCGGCGGGACAAGGCGUCGGCGACCGUGUUGAGACGGCCGGGGCGGUACUCAACGGUGAAGUCGAAGCCAAAGAGCUUGCUGAUCCACUGGUGUUGCGGAACUGUGGAGAGGCGCUGGUCCAGCAAGAACUUGAGGCUGUAGUGGUCCGUGCGCACACGGAAUGACCGGCCCCAAAGAUAAGGCCGCCAGUGGUGCACCACCUGAACCAGCCCAAUAAGCUCGCGCUCAUAGGCCGCGAGCUUGUGAUGGCGAGCGGCGAAGGGGCGGCUGAAGAAGGCGAGCGGUCCCUCGCCCUGGUGAAGGAUGGAGCCGAAGCCGGUGCCAGAGGCGUCGCAGUCCACGAUGAACGACAUAUCAAAGUCCGGCAUCUGGAGGACGGGUCCCGUCGUGAGCGCCCGCUGGAGAGCCUCGAAUGCCGUAGUCGCCUCCUUGUCUCAGGAGAAGGCGUCGCCUCUAAGGAGACGCGUUAAUGGCGCGGCGAUGAGGCCGAAGUCCCGGAUGUACUUCCGGUAGUAGCCGGCGAGGCCCAAGAAGCCGCGGAGCGCCCGCGGGAUCGGCCACGCGGCGACGGCGGCGACCUUGUCCGCGUCCAUCGCUACCCCGUCCGCCGAGAUGACGUGCCCCAGGUACGCGGCGGAGGUCGUGCCGAACGAGCACUUCGAGCGCUUGAGGUGAAGACGAUGCGCUCGAAGCUCGUUGAAGAUGAUGGCCACAUGUUGUAGAUGCUCCGCCCAAGAUGCACUGCAGAUGAGAAUGUCAUCAAAGAAAACAAGCACAAAGCGGCGCAAGUAUGGGCUGAGCACGUCGUUCAUCAGGGCCUGGAAGGUCGCCGGCGCGUUGGAGAGGCCGAACGGCAUCACCAGGAACUCGAAGUGGCCAUGGUGAGUGCGGAACGCCGUCUUCUCGAUGUCGUCAGGGUGCAUGCGCACCUGAUGGUAGCCCGAGCGAAGGUCGAGCUUGGUGAAGAAGCGCGCUCCGUGUAGCUCGUCCAAGAGCUCAUCCACGACGGGGAUGAGGAACUUGUCCUUGGACGUCAGGGCGUUGAGGGCGCGGUAGUCGAUGCAGAAGCGCCAUGUGCCGUCGGGCUUGCGCACAAGGACCACCGGGGCGGAGAACGGCGAUGUCGAAAUCCGGAUGAUGCCCUGCGCGAGCAUGACCGCCACCUGACGCUCGAGCUCGUCUUUCUGCAGCUGAGGGUACCGGUACGGACGCACGACUACAGGUGCCGUGUCCGGCAGCAGGUGGAUGCAGUGGUCACAGGGCCGCACGGGAGGGAGGCCCUGUGGCUCGUCGAAGAUGUCGCUGUGCUGCUGCAGGAGGUCGGCCAGGAGGGGAUGCGCCUCGUCCAGUGCGGACGCCAUCAACUGGAGCUGUGGAGUCACGGCGCCGGAGCCGCCGAUGCCUGUCCACUGAACGCGACGGCCGCCCUCGCGCCAGAAGAUGAGGGACAGCACAUCGAGGUCCCAAAGGAUGGGGCCGAGAGUGGACAGGAAGUCGAUGCCGAGGAUGAAGUCGUAGCAGCCCAUGUCGAUGCCGACGCAGUCGAUGGAGAACGGCUCGUCGCAGAUGAGGACUGGAACCUGCCGCGCCACCCCUAGCAAGCAAGGCGGUCCCCGUUGGCGACGGUGACGCUGAACUUCUCCGAGCCCGCCGGUUGGAGUGCGAGGCGGCGCAUGGCGUCCCCAGACAGGAAGUUGUGCGUCGAACCCGUGUCCACGAGCGCGGUGAGACGCCCCCCGUUGAUCGUCACCGGAAGCAGCAUCGUCUUUGCCGUCUUGAUGCCAGCCAUGGCAUGAAGGGAGACGACGAAGGCGGUCGCGUCGACCGGCCCGUAGGUCGUGACGCCGGCCUCGGAGAGUGUGGUGGCGUCGAGCUCCGCGGUGAGGGCCUCCACCCCCGCCUCGUNNNNNNNNNNNNNNNNNNNNNNNNNNNNNNNNNNNNNNNNNNNNNNNNNNNNNNNNNNNNNNNNNNNNNNNNNNNNNNNNNNNNNNNNNNNNNNNNNNNNNNNNNNNNNNNNNNNNNNNNNNNNNNNNNNNNNNNNNNNNNNNNNNNNNNNNNNNNNNNNNNNNNNNNNNNNNNCCCGGCGCAUACGGCUCGUCGCAGUUGAAGCACAGACCCUUGCGGCGCCGCUCGAGCUGCUCGGCUGACGUCAAGUGCCGGAAGGUGCGUGUCCGCGCGGGGGCAGCCGCAGUAGCGGCCGGCAGGGCGGGGCGUGUCGGGGUGGCGNGUUUAUAUAGGAGGACAGCCUCCACUAAACCCUAGAUAACUUGGACUCUAAUAUAACUUGGACUCUAAAAUAGGUAAGAUAACUUGGGCUAAGCCCGUAAUUAACCCUGCCCAUUAGGCCUCCUCCGUUGGUACGUUGUACCGGUCAUAACAACUGAAGUUAACAAUUUCUGUUAGUUCUCAUUGCUACAAAGCAAACGUUACAUUCGUUCAUCAAAAGUUCAAAACACAGAUGAUAUAUUUGCAUCGUAAUUAUUAAUUACUCAUCGAUGUACUGAUAUACAUAUAAAUUACCCUCCGUCCUACAAUAAGUGUCUUAAGUUUAGUAUAACUUUGUACUAAAGCUAGUAUAUAAAAUUGAGAGAGUUAUUUUAGGACUGGGGGAGUAUAAGGGAAGGUUGUUCAAAUGACGACCGAAAAACUGAAGAUUAAUCUUCACAACUAGUUCAGAAUAUACCAUGAAUGACUAGCAGUUAGUAAAGGGAAACAUCUCAGCUUAUAUCACCUGUUCCACGCUACAACAUGCACUGUAAAAGGAUCGAAGCUGCUGCUUGUCACCUUCAUAAGCCGGUAAAAGCUCAUAUCGAGAUGCUGUAAAUAUUCAAAUGAAAAUUAGAACUGGCAGCAACGGUCAAGAGGAAUCACAAACUAUCUUUAUGUGAGAGAUUCUAAUUUUGCAGCCAACAAGAGUGAUCAAGCAUACAUGACUAUAUGUGCGUGGGUGUUAUCUUCGUUCCUCUGUAGGGUACCACCAUAAUCAUGAGUUCAUCACUAAGAAUAGGUCUCCUGAGUCUUAAUUCUUAACAGGUACUCCCUCCGUUUCUAAAUAUAAGUCUUUUUAGAGAUUUCAUUAGGGGACUACAUACGGACUACAACGGUCAAGUAUGUCUAUGUACAUCCGUAUGUAGUCCUUUAGUGAAACCUUUAAAUAGACUUAUAUUUAGGAAUGGAGGGAGUACAAAAGAGAAUAUGUCAUUUACCAUGCCAAGGAUCGUGUUAAAUGAGAUAAUAAAUUUGAGUAACUAUAACAGAAGAACUGUGUGUUCUGCUCCUUUAGCAAAUAAUCUUCAACAGUGAAAGGAGCAGCAGAAUAUGAAAUUACACUAAAAUGGCAAAAGAUUGAUGAAGCAUGUACCCACCAACACAAAAAUGCAUUUCAAAUUUGCAUAAACUGGCAAGGUACAAUAUUGCACGUACUUGUAACUUUGUCAAAAAUUGUCAUGGAAGGAUCAACAAGGUUAUACUUUGGUGCCUCAAGUUGACAUUUCCAAAGUUUGGCAACAACACAAGGUUUAGCCGCCUGUUUAAUAAUAAAAAUAAAAUGUUACAAAUAAUAAAUACUCCGUAACAUAUAUACAAAGAAACUCAAUAAAAAUAGCCAAUGUAAAUACAACAAAAAAUGGAAGGAAGUGCAGUGUAGCCAAUAGUGUAUGUUUCUAUUACUGAACUAGACAAUGGGGGAAGCAUACACUAGAUACAAAUACGAGUUCAGUAACUACAUUACUCCUUACCUCAUGUUAAAUAGGAAGAAUGUGUUCACUUUGUUGAUGAUAUCAACAUGUCAAUAUAUCAAGUAUUAUAAACAUCAAUAGGCUACACAAAACCAAAGCAGCAUUGCAACAGACUUCCAUACCUGCGAUUCAGGAUAUAUAGAUAAUUCAAGCUUUACAGGUCUUGUCGGACUCUGUGCCUCACGGGGUAAAAUAACUAUCCAGCUGGGUAAAAGAUUCAAGUUAAUAUAGAGACACAUACAUAGGAGAUUACCCUCACAACUAUGUGCUUGUGGUACAAGAAGGAGGUCCUCGGAAUAUUACAUCUUUCUAGUCAUGACCUGAGGAGGACCACAAUUCUCCCUCAUCCAUCCAGAAAAAAGUGAAAUCUGUCCCUGAAAAUAAUUAAGAAUGAAACAGCACCCAAUAAAAAAACUAUAGAAUAAUAAUAACCAAUGAAAAUGAGCAGGUCACUAGAAAUACGGUAAAGCAAAAUAUUACAUGAAGAAACAAAGAUACCUCUAUGGCCCUUACAACAUUCAGAUGGCCCUUUCCUCUAGCCACAUCUAAAGCGGUAUUGCAGUCAUCAUUUCUGACAAAGGGGUUAGCUGCAAAUAAAUCAUAAGCAAAAGGAUUUUAUUUAACAUAAAAAAUUCAAGUGGCAAAAACGUGAGGCAUGGUGAUAUAUGUUCUUCACAUACCUCCAUGUGACAGAAGUAACUGAACAGUAAGAUCAAGUCCUCUUUUCGCGGCAUGGUGCAGUGGGGUCCCAGCAUGUGAUCCUAAAAAACAGAAAAAAAAAGGGAGGCAUUACAAUAGCAACAAUAGAAAAUGGUGACUUAUUUAAUUAAGCAUGCAUCCAGUGAUAAUCCUAUGGACCCUAGUGUUUAACAACUUAGAAGGGUCACAUUUUAUUCAAGCAGAGUUUCAAUAUUGUAAGGUUGCAAUUCUCUUGAUUGAGUUGAUUCCGUUUUUCAUAACAUGCAAUGGUCAACCUAAUUAAACAUAAGCUGUUUUUUUUUUACUUGAGCACAAUCUGUGUUUGUUUUCUAUUUGACUGAGAAAUAACAGUAAGAAACUUCAAGGUGCCUUUUCAUUUCGCAAAGUAUGUGCAGCUUUUACACCCUUGGGAAAUGGUCAUGUCAAAAUUAAGUCACUUUUGGUUGAAUUACCUUAUCACAAUAGACUUCAAAUAAUUCCUAGAUCCAAACUAAGAAUAAUAACAAAUUCGUAUUCACUUCAUUACCACAAAUCGUCUGUUAUGCCUAGGAAUAAUGGAGAUAUAAUCAACUAAAGCAAUAAAAUACACUAAGUUGAUACGAGAAGAGGAUAUGUACCUGGACGGAAUGCGUUCAAAUUGGCACCUAAGGUUAUUAGGAGCCUCGCCACGUUAAGCAGAUCAGGGCGCAUGCUGGCGACCAUCAGGGGCGUCUUUCCUUCCUUGUUAAUCCACUGCAAGCAAAAAAAAAAAAUCAACCCCAACAAGAUAAAUUAACUCAUCUGGAUCCCAUGUAUCUAUACCUAAUAAUAAUAAAGCGGCUAUUGCUUUCGUCGGAAAACUCACCGCGGUAUUUUUAUAAAAAAGCCCUUGUAAUUUUUGUUAUUCAACCCGCGCUCCAUCAUUUAUCUGCAACGUAAAAGAAAAAAAAUGAUUCGCUGCAAAAAUUAUACCCGUACGCAUCGCCUCCUUCCGUCGACUCUGGGCCACCCUGGCCUGUGCCCAGGCCGCCGACACACCACUCGCCGCCGCGGCCGACCUCAACCGCCACCGCUGCCGAUCUCAACCCACCCGCCUCCGCGGCCGUACCUCUCCCCACUCACUGCCCCCGUUGCAGCGCUCGAGCGCAUCGCGUCGACCCUGGUCCACCCUGGCCUGUGCCCAGGCCGCUGCCACACCACUCAUCGCCGCGGCCGACCUCAACCACCACUGUUGCCGAUCUCAACCCACCCGACUCCGCGGCCGUACCUCUGCCCUCUUGAUGCCCCCUUUUCGGCGCUCGAGCACAGCUUCUGGAUCAAAUCAACGCGACAGCUACAGUGACUGGGGAUGAUGCGUCUGCUCGAUGCAGAACGACGGCGGCGCGGCGGAGCGAAGUACUUGCAGGUGGAGGCGGGCCUCCAUGGCUCACAUGGGGAACUCCGAGGUUAUGGCGCGGCAACGGCGACUCCUUAUGGCCAGAUAGAGGCGUCUAACCCUUGCUCCCCUCAUCGUAUCCCCUCCUCCGGCAGGAACUCAUCAUCUGGUGAGAUCCCCUCCCCAUGCCUCCAACCGUGUGCCAAGUACCGGCAAGACAUUUUGUUUUGUGGGGAUUUGUUUGCUGAUGAAUGAAUGUAUUGAAUGUAAGAUUGUAUUGUUGUAGAGACAGAGAAUGGAACACCACCUUCAGUUUGUCAUCUGAUCCUACAUUCUCUACCCCAUGAGUGAAAUAAUAUAACAGUCCACUGAUCAAUUCACGUAACCUCUCCUCUUUGUUUUGCUUUGCUUGUCCCGCUCAAUUUCUCAUCAUGGUGGAAUUAACAAUGGACGGGUUGAUUGCUCAACAAAAUAGGAUAGGACUAACUACAUUAGUUAGUUAGCUUAUUAUUUUAAUAAAUCAAAAAGAUUAUAAAAAGAUUAAAAGCGUGUGAUAUUUUUUUCUUCCGUUGCAACGCACGGACCCUUUUGCUAGUAUAAACAAUAUGCUGUCGAAACAUCAGAAAACGAUCAUCGCCAAAGAAAGAAAAGGCUGGAAAGGCAGCGAAAUUGUUAUCCUUGCCUCGACGCCUGCACCCUGCGCCCGGAGGUUUCGAAUCCCCUCGACGUUGCCGUAAUUCACCUGCUGGAAGAGCAGCUCCGCCUUGGAUUGCCGUAACCCCAUUUACUCGCCGGACUGUGCAAAAUUGAGGAAUAAAUGAAGAGCAGUUCCCUUGGAUAGGAGUUUCUCUAACUAGAGGUGGCACGUACGAAAUCUGUGCAACUCAGAGGAAAAAGAUCGUGGGCUUGGAAAGCCGGGAAACCCUACCUCGGCCGCGGAAGAAAAUUGCGAGGGAUUGAUGUUAGACCCUAAGAUGAUCUAGCUAGAAAAUGGUAUAGGAAGGAGAGGGGUGUGAGCGAGGAAGAGAACAGAGAGAAAGGAGAAGUGAUUUUUUUCAGAGAAAGAGAAAGGAGAAGUGAUGUUGCUGCAAACUCUCCACUCCUCAUAGCAUCUCUAGCCGGUGAGCUAUCCCGUCCCCAGCCCAUUUAGGACUUAUUUGGUUCACAACCGCUUUUUCUGGUUGCUGGGUAGAGAUGCUUAUCUCACCCUCUUCAUCAUCAUCAUCCAGUCCCUCUUCAAUAUUCAGAAACGUGCUCUCUCUCUCGGAAGGCUCGUCGACAUUAUCAACUUGAGUAAGAAUAGGAUGUUGAGAAGGCUCACAUGACCUAAAGUUCAAAGUUGCUUUAGCUGUUUGUCCUACACAAGGAAAAAUAACAUAAGAGAUCAAUUAAACAUAAAUGUGACAACCUGCAUAACUCGAUAUAAAGAAGUUCAGCUCACCAUCAUAUAGCUCUCCUAAAGCAUCAAACAAUGUUGGAGCGAAAAUUCUUCACUUUAGGAAAUUACUAAAAAGAGAAGAAAUUAAUUGGUGAAUAUCCACACAAGAAUUUAUCUCUCAGGCGGCUAGAUGAAGACAUAAGUAACUUGCAACGAGAAUAUUUUCCCACAAUGCAGGUUCAGCCACCACCAUCUUCCUUGAGUCAUCCCAUGAGAUUCCGCUUUGCAUCCUUGCUUCUUUGAGGAAGUGAUAGUCCCUUUUGAGAUCCUUUUCCUUAUUUUGUGUUUGCAGCUUUGUGAUUAAAGCAUAUGGAUGCUUAUCUUUCAUUUCUCUUGUUAUCUUGUUCCAUGCUUCACUAGACAUCCAUUGUCUCCCCUAAAUGAUGGGUUUUUAUGCUCAUGAAGCAACUCAACUAGAGUCUUCUCUUGUCCAAAAGUCCAUGAUGCUCUAGCUUUUGGAGAUGUCCCUUUCCUUUUUGUACUACAAGCUUUCGGUGUCAACUUCUUGGACGGAGCCAGGAACUUCUCAGAGAACCUCUUCCAAACAUCAUAGUUGUUGAGCAUAAUAAUGUGAGUAACAUUGUUAUUUAACUUAGUUAUGAAAAAAAUUAUGUGCUAACAAUUAUGGAAAGAAACAAAGAGUUCAGAUUACUAACUCUUUCCACAUCCUCACUCCUCCCCGUGUCUUCCUUACUAUUGUUGCCGAUAAAUGACAUAAUCUUCCCACAUCUUUACUGCAAUUGUGUCUCUAUCAUUAUCUCCAUCGACCAUUUGAGUACUCAACGACUCCACAUAAUUGUGGUAUUGAUUAUCACCUCCCGGGAGAUCAACAAAAUCUCUCGCUGGUAUGUUAUUGUGCUAAUUGUGUAACCACUCCUUGUCACCUUUAUGCAUUCGAAUGAUAUUAUGAAAAACCGCAGCAGCUGCCAGUAUCUUGACUUGGUUCUCUAUGCGAAGAAAUGUAUCAACUUUGAGGAUAGGAAAUCGUUUUUUCAAAAACCCGAGAGCCCUCUCUAUAUAAUUCCUUAAUAUAGCAUGACGAAGGUUGAAUAAUUCCUCGUAGUUCCUUGGUCGACAUUGACCACGUUGGAACUCUUUCAAGUGAUAUAUAACUCCAUGAUAUGGAGCAAGAAAUGAUGGUGUAUUAGCAUAGCCACCAUCAAUAAGGAAGAUUUACCUUCGGGAACUUCAAACCCAUUCUUCAAAGACGAUCUAAGGACUUACGCAUACGUUGCAGAUCCCUCCCGGCCACAUGAGAUGAAAGUGAAAUUUAAAUCAAAGUCGCAAGCCAACAUCACAUUGUGACUUAGUGUGCCCUUUCUAUUCCUAUAUGGAGCAGCUUUGUCUCCGCUUAUAGUAAUAAGGAUAUGGGAACCAUCGAUUGCUCCAAUGCAAUUCUGCAAGGAGAAGGGUGAAGAAUGAUUUUGUGAUCUUGUGAGAAAAAAAUAACUAUUCGGCAAUCCAUUGUGACGCCCUCGUUUUAAUCGGACGCUAAUCAUACACGCAAAUGCAUAAGAUCAAACUCAAGGACUCACGGGAAGAUAUCACAACACAACUCUAGACACAAAUAAAACAUACGAGCUUCAUAUUACAAGCCAGGGGCCUCGAGAGCUAGAAUACAGAAGCAUGAUAAACACACGAGUCAACGGAAGCAAGAAAUAUCUGAGUACAUACAUUAAACAUGGGGAAUCUUAGAGAAGGCUAGCACAAAAGAUACAAUGAUCAAACGAGGCGAGGCCUCCUGCCUGGGAACCUCCUAACUACUCCUGGUCUUCAGCGGCCUCCACGUAGUAGUACGCACCAUCGGGGUAGCAGUCGUCGUCGGCGAGAUACUCCAUCUCGUGGGCUCCAUCAUCUGGUCGCAGCAACGGAUAAGGGGACAGAGGGGGAGCAAAGCAACGGUGAGUACUCAUCCAAAGUACUCGCAAGACUGACAUCAAAACUAUGCUAAGCAUGCAACAGUAUAAAAGAAAGGGGUUUUAUAUGUGGACUGACUGCAGCAAUGCGAGAAAGAGAGGGGAGGCCUAGUCCUAUUGAAGACUAGCAUCUUCAGGGGUCUUGCAGCAAUAGACGAGAGUAGAACAGGUAACACAAUUAAUAGUCAUAUUGUUGCAACAAUAUUAAUAUUAGGUCAUGCCCACAGAUUCUCCCUCAACUCCCUGCGAGGAAGCAAUCUCGGAGCAACUAAUCCAGUUAAGUAAUAGUUGUAGUUGUAUAAGAUCAGGGCACAACUCCAAGUCAUCCUGUAACCGUGGACACGCUAUCCGAAUAGUUAAUUUUCAUCCCUGCAGGGGUGCACCAAGUUUUCCGUCAUGCUCGAUAACACUCUGGCCGGACACACUUUUUUGGGUCAUGCCCGGCCUUGGAAUAUCGACACGUUGCAACCCCACCUAAGCUCACCACAGAGGCCAGCCCGUCGGUCUAAAUCCUAAGCACAAAGGGGUCGUGGGCCCACUUGCCCUUUGCGCUCUUGCACGGUGCAAGGGUGGCCGAUGUCAGUCCUAGCACCCCUUAAUACAAGCGCGAUGCAUCUCGGGACCACUCGGGCGCGCGCCGCUCCAUUGCUGACGUCUGAAAAGCUUCGGUUGAUACCACGACGCCGAGUACCCAUUACUUCUCAUGCGUAGCCAGUUAGUGCGAAAAGGUCUCCGACCAACCCACAUCAAAUACCCAAAAUCCAUUAACAUUUUAUUUAACUCAUCGACACAUCCACGCGGGAAUCCAUCCGCCUAACAUCUAUUCAUCAAAGAUCCCAGCAACAAGGUCAAGUAAUUGUGUGGUUGUAAAAUCCGGGGGGGGGGGAUCCGAGGUACCACCCUCGUUGGAUCCCGAACGAUGUAACCGUCAAGGUGGACUUAGAGGAAUCACCCUCGAGGGUCUCACACUUGAGGGGUUGCACGACAGAGUCGUCGUCGGGAGUGGUGAAGGAGAGGAAUCACCCUUGAUAACUGAUACGUCCAUUUUGCAUCAUGUUUUCAUGUUGACAUUUAUCGCUUUUUGGGCUGUUAUUUCACUUCACGGUACAAUACUUAUGCCUUUUCUCUCUUAUUUUGCAAGGUUUACAUGAAGAGGGAGAAUGCCGGCAGCUGGAAUUCUGGCCUGAAAAAGGAGCAAGUUUGAGAUACCUAUUCUGCGCAACUCCAAAUGCUAUGAAAAUCAACGGGGAAUUAUUUUGGAUUUUAUGAAAAAUACUGGGCGGAAGAAGUACCAGAGGGGCGCCACCAGGAGGCCAUAAGCCUGCCAGACCCGGCCUACCCCCUGGCCGGGCCUGGGUGGCUUGUGGGCCCCCUGUUGCCCAUCCGGCGCUCAUCUUUUGCUAUAUGAAGGGUUUCGUUCCAGAAAAAAACAGGAGGAGGCUUUUCGGAGGAUUCACCGCCGCCAUGAGGCGGAACUUGAGCAGAACCAAUCUAGUGCUCCGGCAGGACGAUCCUGCCGGGGAAACUUCCCUCCCGGAGGGGGAAAUAGUUGCCAUCGUCAUCACCAACACUCCUCUCAUAGGAGGGGACUCAUCACCAUCAACAUUUUCAUCAGCACCAUCUCAUCCCCAAACCCUAGUUCAUCACUUGUAACCAAUCUCCGUCUCGCGACUCCCAUUGGUACCUGUAAGGUUGCUAGUAGUGUUAAUUACUCUUUGUAGUUGAUGCUAGUUGGAUUACUUGGUGGAAGAGUUUAUGUUCAGAUCUUUGAUGCUACUCAUUACCUCUCUGGUCAUGAAUAUGAUUAUGCUUUGUGAGUAGUUACUUUUGUUCCCGAGGACAUGGGAUAAGUCAUGCUAAUAGUAGUCAUGUGAAUUUGGUAUUCGUUCGAUAUUUUGAUGUGUUGUAUGUUGUUUUUCCUCUAGUGGUGUUAUGUGAACGUCGACUGCAUAACACUUCACCAUUAUUUGGGCCUAGAGGAAGGCAUUGGGAAGUAGUAAGUAGAUGAUGGGUUGCUAGAGUGACAGAAGCUUAAACCCUAGUUUAUGCGUUGCUUCGUAAGGGGUUGAUUUGGAUCCACUAGUUUAAUGCUAUGGUUAGACUUUGUCUUAAUUCUUCUUUCGUAGUUGCGGAUGCUUGCGAGAGGGGUUAAUCAUAAGUGGGAUGCUUUUCCAAGUAAGGGAAGUACCCAAGCACCGGUCCACCCACAUAUCAAACUAUCAAAGUAACAAACGCGAAUCAUAUGAAUAUGAUGAAAACUAGCAUGACAGAAAUUCCCGUGUGUCCUCGGGAGCGUUUUCCUCCUAUAAGACUUUGUCCAGGCUUGUCCCUUGCUACAAAAGGGAUUGGGCCACCUUGCUACACCGUGGUUACUUUUGUUACUUGCUACUUGCUACGAAUCAUCUCACCACAUAACCACUUGUUACCGAUAAUUUCAGUGCUUGCAGAUAUUACCUUGCUGAAAACCACUUGUCAGAUCCUUCUACUCCUCGUUGGGUUUGACACUCUUACUUAUCGAAAGGACUACGAUAGAUCCCCUAUACUUGUGGGUCAUCAAGACUCUUUUCUGGCACCGUUGCUGGGGAGUGAAGCGCCUUUGGUAAGUGGAACUUGGUAAGGAAACAUUCAUAUAGUGUGCUGAAAUUUAUUGUCACUUGUCACUAUGGAAACUAAUCCUUUGAGGGGCUUGUUUGGGGUAUCUUCACCUCGAACGGAAGCGCAAAGAGUUGCUCCUCAACCUGCUGCACCUACUGAAUAUAUUUGCUUUGAAUUUCCUUCGGGUAUGCUUGAGAAACUGCUGGCUAAUCCUUUUACAGGAGAUGGAACAUCACAUCCAGACUUGCAUCUAAUCUAUGUAGAUGAAGUUUGUGGUUUAUUUAAGCUUGCAGGUUUGCUCGAGGAUGAGGUCAAGAAGAAGGUCUUUCCUUUAUCUUUGAAGGAUAAGGCGUUGACAUGGUAUAGGCUAUGUGAUGAUACUGGAUCAUGGAACUACAAUCGGUUGAAAUUGGAAUUUCAUCAAAAGUUUUAUCCUAUGCAUUUAGUACAUCGUGAUCAGAAUUAUAUUUAUAAUUUUUGGCCUCGUAAUAGAGAAAGCAUCGCUCAAGCAUGGGGGAGGCUUAAAUCAAUGUUAUAUUCAUGCCCCAACCAUGAGCUCUCGAGAGAAAUUAUCAUUCAAAACUUCUAUGCUCGACUUUCUCAUGAAGAUCGCACCAUGCUUUACACUUCUUGUACCGGAUCUUUUAUGAAGAGAGAUAUUGACUUCAAAUGGAAUUUAUUGGAGAGAAUUAAACGCAACUCUAAAGAUUGGGAGCUUGAAGAAGGUAAGGAGUCAGGUAUGAAUUUCAAGUUUGAUUGCGUUAAAUCCUUUGUUAAAACAAAUACUUUUUGUGACUUUAGCGCUAAGUAUGGACUUGACUCUGAGAUAGUAGCUUCAUUGUGUGAAUCAUUUGCUGCUCAUAUUGAUCUCCCCAAAGAGAAGUGGUUUAAAUAUCAUCCUACUUUAGAAGUCAAUGUAGUUAAACCCAAUCCAGUUGAAGAGAGAGUCAUUGCCUAUAAUGAUCCUGUUGUUCCCAGUGCUUACAUUGAUAAACCACCUUUCCCUGUUAGGAUAAAGGAUCAUUCUAAAGCUUCAACUGUGAUACGUAGAGGCUACAUUAGAACACCUACACCCCCUGAGCAAAUUAGAGUUGAACCUAGCAUUGCUAUUAUCAAAGAUCUUCUGUCCGACGAUGUUGAGGGACAUAAUAUUCACUUAUGUGAAGAUGCUGCUAGAAUUGCUAAACCUCAUGCUAGAGACAAACAUAGGCCUGUUGUUGGCACGCCUGUUGUUUCUGUUAAGAUAGGAGAUCAUUGCUAUGAUGGUUUAUGUGACGUGAGUGCUAGUGUUAGUGCAAUACCUCAAUCCUUAUAUGAUGAAAUCAAAGAUGAGAUUGCACCUAUUGAGAUAGAGCCUAUUGAUGUCACUAUUCAGCUUGCCAAUAGAGAUACUAUCUGCCCUGUAGGAAUUGUUAGGGAUGUUGAAGUCUUGUGUGGUAAAACAAAGUAUCCUGCUGAUUUCCUCGUUCUUGCUACCCCCCCAAGAUAGCUUUUGCCCAUCAUAUUUGGCAGACCCUUCCUCAAUACCGUCAAUGCUCAUAUUGACGGUGAGAAGCAAACUGUCACUGUUGGUUUUGAAGGUGUGUCACAUGAGUUCAAUUUCUCCAAGUUUGGUAGACAACCUCAUGAGAAGGAGUUGCCUAGUAAGGAUGAAACUAUUGCCUUAGCUUCUAUUGCUGUGCCUCCUACUGAUCCCUUAGAGCAAUACUUGCUUGAGCAUGAAAAUGAUAUGCAUAUGGAUGAAAGGGAUGAGAUAGAUAGAGUUGUCUUAGAACAAUAUCCUAUCCUUAAGAAUAAUCUGCCUGUUGAACUGCUUGGGGAUCAACCCCCACCAAAGGGUGAUCCUAUGUUCGAGCUUAAACAGUUGCCUGAUACUCUUAAGUAUGCUUGAUGAAAAAGAGAUAUACCCUAUCAUAAUUAGUGCUAGCCUCUCAGAGCUUGAAGAAAAGAAAUUACUAAAAACUCCGAGGAAGCAUCGUGCUGCUAUUGGAUAUACUCUUGAUGAUACUAAGGGCAUUAGUCCCAUUCUAUGCCAGCACAAGAUUAAAACUGAUCCUGGUUCCAAAACAGUUGCUGAUCAUCAAAGGAGAUUAAAUCCUAAGAUGAAAGAGGUAGUAAGAAAAGAAAUACUAAAGCUCCUGGAAGCAGGUAUUAUCUAUCCUGUUGCUCAUAGUGAUUGGGUGAGUCCGGUGCAUUGCGUCCCUAAGAAGGGAGGUAUUACCGUUGUCCCUAAUGAUAAGUAUGAAUUGAUUCCACAGAGGAUUAUUACUGGCUAUAGGAUGGUCAUCGAUUUUAGGAAAUUGAAUAAAGCCACUAGGAAAGAUCAUUACCCUCUGCCUUUUAUCGACCAAAUGCUAGAAAGGUUGUUUAAACACACACACUUCUGCUUUCUAGACGGUUAUUCUGGAUUCUCCCAAAUACCAGUCGCACAAUCUGAUCAGGAGAAAAACACUUUCACCUACCCUUUCAGUACCUUUGCUUAUAGACGUAUGCCUUUUGGCUUAUGUAAUGCACGUGCCACCUUUCAAAGAUGUAUGAUGGCUAUAUUCUCUGACUUCUGUGAAAAGAUUGUCGAGGUUUUCAUGGAUGACAUCUCCGUUUACGGGUCUUCUUUUGAUGACUGCCUCAACAACCUUGAUCGGGUCUUGUAGAGAUGUAAAGACACCAAUCUUGUCUUGAAUUGGGAAAAGUGCCACUUUAUGGUUAAUGAAGGCAUCAUCUUAGGACAUAAAAUUUCUGAAAGAGGUAUUGAAGUCGAUAAGGCUAAGGUUGAUGCAAUUGAGAAAAUGCCAUACCCCACAGAUAUUAAAGGUAUAAGAAGUUUCCUUAGUCAUGCUGGUUUCUAUAGAAGGUUUAUUAAAGACUUCUCUAAGAUAUCUAGGCCCCUUACCAAUCUCUUGCAAAAGGAUAUUCCUUUUGUUUUUGACGAUGAUUGUGAGGAAGCCUUUGACAUACUUAAGAAGGCUUUGAUAACUGCACCUAUUGUUCAACCACCUGAUUGGAAUUUACCUUUUGAAAUCAUGUGUGAUGCUAGUGAUUAUGCUAUUGGUGUUGUCCUAGGGCAAAGAGUUGAUAAGAAGUUGAAUGUUAUUCAGUAUGCUAGUAAAACUCUAGACAGUACCCAAAGAAACUAUGCUACUACGGAAAAGGAUUUUUUAGCAGUCGUGUUUGCAUGUGAAAAGUUCAGGUCUUACAUAGUUGAUAACAAAGUCACUAUUCACACUGAUCAUGCUGCUAUUAAGUACCUCAUGGAGAAGAAAGACGCUAAACCUAGACUUAUCAGAUGGGUUCUCUUGCUACAAGAAUUUGAUUUGCACGUUGUCGACAGGAAGGGUGCUGAUAACCCAGUAGCAAAUAACUUGUCUAGGUUGGAGAACGUUCUUGAUGACCCAUAACCUAUUGAUGAUAGCUUUCCUGAUGAGCAAUUAAAUGUCAUCAAUGCUUCACGUAGUGCAUCGUGGUAUGCUGAUUAUGCAAACUAUAUCGUUGCCAAAUAUAUACCACCUAGUUUCACAUACCAACAAAAGAAGAAAUUCUUCUUUGACUUGAGACAUUACUUUUGGGAUGAUCCUCACCUUUAUAAGGAAGGAGUGAUACGUCUCCGUCGUAUCUACUUUUCCGAACUGUUUUGCCCUUGUUUUGGACUCUAAUUUGCAUGAUUUGAAUGGAACUAACCCGGACUAACGCUAUUUUCAGCAGAAUUGCCAUGGUGUUGUUUUUGCGCAGAAAUAAAAGUUCUCGGAAUGACAUGAAAAUUUACGGAGAUUUUUUCUGGAUUUUAUGAAAAAUACUGGCGCAAGAAUCAGUGGAGGAAGUGGAGUCGUGAGCCCACAAGCCCACCAGGCGCGGGCCCCCUGGCCGCGCCUGGCAGGCUUGUGGGGCCCACAAAGCUCCACCGCCUCCAAAUCCAACUCUAUUUAGUCCGUCUCGCCCGGAAAAAUAAAAAAAUAGUUCAUUGUGUUUUACGAUACGGAGGCGCCGCCACCUCCUGUUCUUCAUCUGGAGGGCAGAUCUGGAGUCCGUUCUGGGCUCCGGAGAGGGGAGAUCGUCGCCAUCGUCAUCAUCAACCUUCCUUCAUCGUCAAUUUCAUGAUGCUCUUCACCGUUCGUGAGUAAUCUCAUCGUAGGCUUGCUGGACGGUGAUGGGUUGGAUGAUAUCUAUCAUGUAAUCGAGUUAGUUUUGACGGGGAUUGAUCCCUAGUAUCCACUAUGUUCUGAGAUUGAUGUUGGUACUACUUUGCCAUGCUUAAUGCUUGUCACUAUGGCCCGAGUGCCAUGAUUUCAGAUCUGAACCUAUUAUGUUGUCGCCAAUAUAUGUGUGUUCUUGAUCCUAUCUUGUAAGUGGUAGUAACCUACUAUGUGUUAUGACCCAGCAACCCCGAAGUGACAAUUGCCGGAACCACUCCCGGAGAUGACCAUAGUAUGAGGGGUUCAUGUAUUCACCAAGUGUUAAUGCGUUGGUCCGGUUCUUUAUUAAAAGGAGAACCUUAAUAUCCCGUCGUUUCCAUUAGGACCCCGCUGCCAUGGGAGGGAUGAACAAUAGAUGUCAUGCAAGUUCUUUUCCCUAAGCACGUAUGACUACAUACGAAAUACAUGCCUACGUUAGAUUGACGAACUCCAGCUAGUUACAUAUCUCUCCGUGUUAUAACUGAUACAUGAUGAAUAGCAUCCGGCAUAAUCAUCCAUCACCGAUCCAAUGCCUACGAGUUUUUCCUACUGGUCCUUGCUACGUUACUUUGCCGCUACUGAUGUCACUGCUGCUACUGUUACUCUGUUGCUACUGCUGUUACUUUGCUACUACUGGUUACUGUUGCUACUGCUGCUAUCACCCUACUUUACUACUGAUACUUUGCUGCAGAUACUAAAUCUUUCAGGUGUGGUUGAAUUGACAACUCAACUGCUAAUACUUGAGAAUAUUCUUUCGCUUCCCCUUGAGUCGAAUCAAUAAAUUUGGGUUGAAUACUCUACCCUCGAAAACUGUUGCGACCCCCUAUAUUUGUGGGUUAUCAAGACUAUUUUCUGGCGCCAUUGCCGGGGAAGCACAGCUAUAUUCUCCGAGUCACUUGGGAUUUACGUCUGCUGAUCACUAUGAGGAAUCCGAUAGAUCCAAGAACUAAAGUCUUGCCCUCCACUACGAGGACAGGUAAGGAACUGCUAUCUAGCUCUACACUUGAUUCACGUUCAGUUAUGAGUAAGUUUGCGACACCACCUCCUGCUAGAAACCUUGAUAUGUCGCGUGUGCUUGAUGAUGCUACUUCUGUUGCCCAUGAUGCUAUGGUUGAUACUGCUUUGCCUGAUGACGCUAUGCUUGAUACUGCUUUGCCUGAUGAUGCUAUGCUUGAUACUGCUUUGCCACUAGGUGCAUUCCUUACUGCACAAAUUGCUAGAGUUGCUGCUAGAUGUGAUGAUACUUCUGAAACUGCUGAUACUAUUGAAGUAGAACCUGCUAUUAUGCCUGAAUUGCCUGAUAUGCCUGAGCGUUAUGUUAUGGAGGGAGAGAUAGCCGAGGAUUUUCUUGUGUGUAAGGAUAGCUAUGAUGUUGAGAAAUUACUGCUCAAGUGGAAAGAAAAAUCUCUGAACGCUAGGAUGAAAUACGACCCGAAGUUUGCUACUUCGCCUAUCUUUGUGACCGAUAAGGAUUAUGAAUUCUCUGUCGACCCUGAGUUAAUCACUCUAAUCGAAUCUGAUCCUUUUCACAGUUAUGAGUCUGAAACGGUCGUAGCACAUCUUACCAAACUGCACGAUAUAGCCACCCUAUUCACUAGCGAGGAAAAGAUCCGCCACUACUAUAUCCUCAAGUUGUUUCCUUUCUCGCUAAAGGAUGAUGCUAAGACUUGGUUCACUUCUCUUGAUGCUGGUUGUGUGCGUAGCCCCCAGGAUAUGGUCUACUACUUCUCUGAAAAAUAUUUCCCUGCCCAUAAGAAGCAAGCUGCCUUGCAGGAAAUAUACAACUUUGCUCAAGCUGAAGAAGAGAGUCUCCCACAAGCUUGCAUGCCUGCNNNNNNNNNNNNNNNNNNNNNNNNNNNNNNNNNNNNNNNNNNNNNNNNNNNNNNNNNNNNNNNNNNNNNNNNNNNNNNNNNNNNNNNNNNNNNNNNNNNNCGCGGAUUCAAGGCGGCACCGUUAGGCCUCGUUUGGUUAAGGGGGGAUUGGGGAGGUUUUGGAAGGAAAAUCCGCGGGAGGGACAAAAACCUAACAGAUCCUCGGACGCCCAUUUGGUACGAGGGGUUUGCUUAGCCCAAUCCCCUCCGUUCCCCUUCAAUCCCUUCCUAUCCAUGUGUUUCAAAACCCCUUCUCGACGGACUAGUGGAAGCAAAGCCUCGGAAAUUUGGAAGGAUUUGAUGAAAUAAAGGGAUUCACCCAAUCCACUGAAAUCACUCACUCUCAAAACCUCCCCAAUCCNNNNNNNNNNNNNNNNNNNNNNNNNNNNNNNNNNNNNNNNNNNNNNNNNNNNNNNNNNNNNNNNNNNNNNNNNNNNNNNNNNNNNNNNNNNNNNNNNNNNNNNNNNNNNNNNNNNNNNNNNNNNNNNNNNNNNNNNNNNNNNNNNNNNNNNNNNNNNNNNNNNNNNNNNNNNNNNNNNNNNNNNNNNNNNNNNNNNNNNNNNNNNNNNNNNNNNNNNNNNNNNNNNNNNNNNNNNNNNNNNNNNNNNNNNNNNNNNNNNNNNNNNNNNNNNNNNNNNNNNNNNNNGGUGUACACGAAAUUAAUUGACAGCCAGCACACGACGAAUCGGUUGGUAUCCGGCGGAAACAUAAACAUGCAGAUGCAGGUGACGAUCAUAGUAUACAGCAAGGAUGAUGGCCGAAACGCCCCUUCCACGACGCCUCCCUUCCCCUCCCCNCUCCCUCUCGCUCCGGGCUUAAAAAGUACGUGGUGCUCCGCACGUCCAACCCAGGCCUCCUGGUUUCCCGCGCGCCAAACUUAGCCUCCCCCUCUCCCUCUCCUACCCUCUCCUUCCUCCAUCUCUCCUCUGUGGGAAGGCUUUGGAUCCCUCGAUCUCCAGGGCCUUCCUUCUCCUCCGACUGCCGUACGUAUCGCCUAACCCACCACCACUAUCCACAUCGUCUCCUCCGUCCAUCC
rnacentral:lncRNA from 1 species